rnacentral:lncRNA from 1 species
GUGAAGCUACGCGGAUCGUCGUCCGGGAGGGCUUUCAUGAGCUCGAUGGCUUUUGAAUAUUUUUCGAUGUAGGCUUUAUCCACGGUGUGAGCUGCCGGCCUGACGCGGAGUUUGGUAGGGGAGGGGAAUUUGAAGUCUACGAUUUUUUGGGACGUUGGCGGGCAACAGUUGGUCGGGACUGCUCCACUUGGAAAGUCCGCAGCUCCGCAUUUGGCUAGGUCAGGCGGCGACACUGGCUUUGCAACAGCGAAGGGGUCGCUGCCAAGACCAGCCACUCCACCGUAUAGGCUUCCGAGACCUAUAAGUACAUUUCUUCUGUCUAGGUUUACUGGAGAAGGGUUUUCAUGGUCGUGAUCGUUGGAGCUAGUGGAAGGGUUUUUGUUUUGGUCACUACUAUUAUUUGUGGCUUUGCAUGAGACAGCUUGUAAAUUGGAAUGCCUAGGGUUUCCAAAUGAGGAUAUUCGGUGAUACUUUUGGGAGAAAGGGGAGAGGAAAGUUGUGGGGAUGAUACUUGUGGCGGAGGUGACGAGUGGAGCUGACAUAGAAGCCAUGGUUACUUUUGACUCUGAAUAAUACGUUGUAUUGGCUUUGCUUUUAUAAUGUGUUCUAGGUUGUACUUUUCUUUGCACAGGUGGCAGGCCGUACACACGUGGUCGGUCCUUAAGGGUUUGACGAGGAAUACUACGUAGUCAUUUAGUACAGGACAACCAUACACUAUAGCAAGUGGCAUGUAUUUAGAGAUCGAGAGAGAAUUGGGUAAGGUUCACGAGGGAUUUGUAGUUUCAGAAGGUGAAUUGGUUUUGGUCUUCUUGUGUACCAAUAAUAUUUACUUAGUCAUUUAGUGCAGGACAACCAUGCACUAUAGCAAGUGGCAUGUAUUUAGAGAUCGAGAGAGAAUUGGGUAAGGUUCACGAGGGAUUGUAGUUUCAGAAGGUGAAUUGGUUUUGGUCUUCUUGUGUACCAAUAAUAUUUACUUAGUCAUUUAGUGCAGGACAACCAUGCACUAUAGCAAGUGGCAUGUAUUUAGAGAUCGAGAGAGAAUUGGGUAAGGUUCACGAGGGAUUGUAGUUUCAGAAGGUGAAUUGGUUUUGGUCUUCUUGUGUACGGCUGUGGGUCUGCUGUCCCGGACUCUCUGUCUCAUUUGUGUCUUAUUUUUUAUUUUUUCACACGUGUCUUUUACUUAACGUCAAAUCAUGAUAGCAAUGUUAUGCAAUUGGGAGCUAAACGACCGAUGCUUUUAUUUUUUAGUUUGCUUUUUUUCCAGAUCUGAUCAAAUCAUGAUAGCAAUGUUAUGCAAUUUUCAAGAGGGAAAGAUGCACCUGGGAGAGAAACGGUACGGUGACUUCUAAAUCACCGUCCAACAGAACAAUUCUCAGUAGAGACUACUAGAGAGAGAUGCACCUCACCAAUGAAAAAUUUAACUGCAAAAAUUCUGGGUAUUGGGUAAGGAAAUUCGGUGAUACUUUUGGGAGAAAGGGAAGAGAGAAGUUGUGGGGAUGAUACUUCUCGUGGAGGUGACGAGUGGAGCUGACAUAGAAGCCAUGGUUACUUGACUCUGAAUACUACGUUGUAUUGGGUUUGCAUAUAUAUAUAAUUAGGAUUGAAGGAUGUAGAGCUUAUUUUGUUAUGUAUUUUAACGAUUUAAGUGCUUAUCUUUUAGGUUUUCUCUUAAACAUCAUGUCUAUAAAAAAUCACCAAAAUUCAAACCAUAUGACCAUUAGAUCCAUAGUCAUUUUAGUGUUUAUUUGUAAAAUGUAUUCAUUCAUUUUCUUCACUACAAAUGAGUGAAUUAAUGAUUUUAGAAUUUGUCUAAUUUUUUACAUUGAUUAUUUAUGAAUGUUGAAUUGAAAUUUAGACGAUUCAAAAAUAGUUGAUAUGCAUUACAAAAUGAACUCCACAAAAUAAGUGUCAAAAUAUGUAUAAAAAAUGGACAGCGUGAAUGGCUUGGAAAUUGGAAUAGGUUUGAAAAUUGUGCUUUUUGUAGCAAAUUUUAGCAAAGUUUGCUUGGACUUUCACAACCGUAUAAAUUAAAGGGAAACUUGAUAUAACUCCAAUUUUUUGAGCCAAUAGUAGGAAUAGUCCAGUUUAUUAAAAUAAGUUCAAUUCUUUAAAUUUAAUUAUUUAGUUAUCAAUAAUUAUCUCUUAAAAGAAAAAACUUAUUGUAAAAAUCAAAUUUCUUCCUAAUUAUCUCUUUGAUUAUUUCUUUUUAUUUAUUUAUUUGUUAUUUCUUGUUCUUCCUCCUGCUUUAACCCAUUUAUAGAUUUUUUUUUUAAUUUUAUAAUCAACCUAUGUCACAGGUUAAUUGUAUUUAUCUACCUAUAUGACAUAUUCUUUUUCAUAGUCAACAUUUCACAGAUUAAUGUGUCUUGCUUGUAGAUAUAUUAUGUUUUUUUCUACCUUUUAGUUAGGUUUCAUAUCUCACUUAUAGGUAUAAUAUACAUUCAUAUAUUUGCUACUUGAGUUAGGGUAGAAUGUUUUGCAGAUAGAUUUAUGUUAGUAUAUUAAUUUUUUUUUGUUUAUAAGAUAUUAAUUAGAUAUUUUGGAGUUGAAAAAUGCAUAAUAUUAAAAGCUUUUAAUUGAUUUUUAAUAUUUUUAGAAAAUAUAAAAGGAGUAUAAAAGAAAUCAAAACAUAUAAUUAGAUAACGGGAGUCACUCCUAAAAACACUCUAUGUUUUUUGACCUGGAUCUUAAAGCCCCUAAAUUAAACUGUUCGCUUUGUUGGGAAAAAGAAGUGGCCCUAGUUUCCCUUUGAUUUUUCAAGCACGGUGGGAGACUGGUCAUAGUUUCUAGAUUGAUGCUCUAAUUCUAAUGUUAUACAACGCGUACGCUAUAAUAUUUUUAUCAAAAUAUUAGUUUUAGUGUUAUCAAAACAAUAUGUUAUUCUUACCAUGUUUUUGUAUCACAAUUAUAUACCACCUUAGAUGGUAUCUGAUGUGGACAGCCACAUCAUUUAAAUUAAUAAGCAUUUAAUUUCAAAAUGUUAAUCAAUAAUUAAUAAAAAGAUUGUUAAUUAAAUGAUGAUUGUGGUAUACAAGGAGUCUCCUUCUUCCUUCCUCUUUCCAUUCUGCUUUUUCUUCUUACCUCUUUUUUUUUUUUAAUGCCAGUUUUGUAUUGAUUUCUGUUGAUUUCCAUGAUUAUGGUCAAUCUUUAUAGAAUUUACUAGUAUGCCACAAUCACCAUUGAUUUCUAUCUCCAGACUCAUGCCCCGUAGCCCUAAUCCUCAUUCCCCUUCAAGUAUUUCUGUCUCCAAUCUUCUUUGGUACUCCAUGAUUGUUCAUCUCGUGAUAUUUUUUUUUUUGAUUAUUUCAUUAAGUAACGCUUAUUAGCUUUCAUGCGAAUUAGGAGUCAAAAUCAAAUUUGUCUAUCGGAUUAGGGUUCAUACCCAAUUAAGUUACUAACGCCAGAGGGAUUUUGAAGUAUGCAAUUUUCCUUAUUUAAGUGUUUUAAUUAAUAAGAAAAUUGAAAUUAAACAAUUUAGCUUGUCCAACUCAUCUGCCACCUAAGAUGGUAAAUAAAUGUGGUAUAAAAUUGUGGUAAGAAUAUCAUUACUCUUAUCGAAAUUACAAAAAAAAAAAAAAAAGCUGAUUCAAUAUUUAGUUAUUAAAAAAAAAAUGAUCAAGUAACUAUCCAAUACCCAUGUAUUGGGUGCUUUGUUUGAAAAUUUUCAAAAUGAUAUUGGGCUCGUUUGGAUAUGUUUUUAAAAUGACUGAAAGCAUUUUUAGAGAAAAUAUUUUUUUGAUUCCAAAAGCACUUAAAGUGCUUUCUGCAAGAAGCACCCGUUAUGUGCUUCUUCCUGGAAGCACUUUAAGUGUUUUUCCAGCAUUUACUUGCUUUUUUACUAAGGACUGGUUCCAAAAACAUUUUCACAAAAAGUGUUUUCAGUCAUUUUAAAAGCACAUUCAAACGAGCUCAUUGUUUUUCCUAUUUUAAUCGAGUGCGUCGUCCUCUGUUGAGAAUGAAUCUCAUAUUAUGGGAGGAGGGAUCUUGCAUGAAUGGGAGGAGGGACCUUGCAUGAGCUUAUAAGUAAGUUGGGUUACUCUCCAUAUUGCCAAAAGAAAUUUUAUUUGGACCCAGUUUUCCUCUCUCUAAACCCAACUUUAAUAUUUUGUUACCUAUAAACUCUCUAGUUUACCCUCAUAAAUUAUAAACAUAAAUAAACUAGAAAAAGAAAAACUCAUCAAACCCAUUUCCCAACUGUUCUGGCGUCUCUUCCCUGUAUUUGUUGGGUCUGUCUCCCUCCCGACUGUUUUUUUUUUUCUGAUAUCUCUGUGUGUUCCCCCACCUCUCCCACACCCACCAAUUCUUUGUGGUGGCUAUUCCACCAAACGUCCAGUGAAUCUUUCCAUUUUUCUUCUAUUGCGCGUGAUAGGGCCUUGCUAUUAAUAGGCAAAACUAAGCGGCAUCGUCGACUCCGUAAGCGACUUGUUGCAUAAGUCCAAAAUGGAGUCAAAUGGAUUUUGUAUUGGGUCGGGUUGUUGAAGGCGAUGGCUGAUUUAGCAAUCCCGCCUAACUAUUUCUAUAUGUAGGAGAAGGAAGAGGGAGGGAGGUCUGAAGUGGUGGUUGAGUGGUGGCGAUGUAUGUGGGUUCUCUCUCGGUUGAAUGGGUGUAGAAAGAUAUUUAAUUUUCAAUAUCUUAUUUUAUUUUGUAUAAGGGAUAAUAUAGGAAUUACAUAAAAAGUUUUUUUUAUAGCUAGGUGUAGAAAUAGUAUUGUUGGGUCUAAAUAAAAUUACCCUAUUGCCAAUUAGUUUUAUGGUGAAAUCUUAACUUUGUUCAUGCUUUCAUAGUAGGUUGUUCCACGUGUGAAGUCAAACAUCCACACGCGCUGCACGUCACCCCGUUGUGUUGUUCACGUGUUAAGCUUGAAAAUUCAUCACACAUGAGGGAGCGUGUUGAGAAUAAAUUCCACAGUUUAUAAGUAAGUUGUACUACUCCGUAUAUUACCAAUUAAUUUUGUGGAAUUCCGUCAAAGCUGAAUUUGACGGAAAAAAAUAACUUCAUGUUUGUUCUUAACUAUAAAGUCAGUGAUACACUAAUUCUGGUUUGUUUGUUUUUUCCUUCCUUCUUAAGGAAAUUCCCAAUCCAACCAAAAAAAUGAAAUUCCCAAGAGAAUAGUAGCACGAACAAUCGUAGCUUUCUUCUUCGAUAAGCCUUGGGGAAACAGAAAAGGGAAAACCGGACUUUAACCCUAAUUUCUCCCAAUGCCGCAGCACUCUCUAUUUUCUCUCUCGCUCUAUAUCGCGGUCCCUCUCUCUCGCCGUCCUCUAUUGCUCAAACUCAAUGUCUCCAACUUCCUCUGUAUGGUUCCCGAGGAAGAUGGUAAAACAGUAAGGGCAAGAAAUUGUGACAAGGUUAGAUUUGGGUAUUAAUCUGGUGGGGCUACAAUUCUCCAAUCCACACCCCUUUCAUCUGUGCUAGUGUUUGAACCCAAUAUUAGAUAACCGGUCCAUGCAAUCGAUGCCGUUGAAUGAGAAAAAUUCUAGGCCGUGGGAUCAAAUAUAAUGAUGUGGAUUAAAUAAGGAAAAUUUAAAGAGUAAUGAUAUUCAUACCAUGUUUUUGUACCACAUUUUCAUACCACCUUAGGUGGCAUUUGAUGUGGAUAGCCACAUCAUUUGAAUUAAUCAGAUUUUAAAAUUUAGUUGAUUAUUUAAUAAACUAAUAAUUAAGAAAAACUAAUUAAUUAAAUGAUGAUUGUGAUAUACGAGGAGUCUUUCUCGUUCAUUUCUUUGGGUUUUGCAAAUUUUUCAAAUGAUGUGGCUGUCUACAUCGGAUGCCACCUAAGGUGGUAUAGAAAUAUGGUAUAAAAAUAUGGUAUGAAUAUCAUUACUCAAAUUUAAAUGUUUAUCUUGGUUAAAUUACCAUGAUAAUAUUGUGGAAUUAUCUUUUGCAUAACGGAAGAGCGAGAAAAGUCCAAGGGUGUAGGGAAGUUGUGUGGUUGACUACCGCUAUUUUGAUGGUAUAAUCUGUAGAGUAAUAUUACAUUUAACAUCUAUUUGUAUCAUAUUUCUAAUAAAGAUAAGGACCAUCAAUGCAUAAAUAAUUAAACAAAUAUAUAAUAAGAGUAUCAUUUUUGUAACUAGAAUAGGAGAAGAAAGACUUCAAGAUGGGAUCAGCCAAAUAAUUAGCGUUAAGAUAAAAAUAUUGAAAGGAAAACUAAUGAAAAUGGCUUGAAAACUUUGAGUUUUAACGAUAAGGACAAGAUAAAGGGUAAAGUGAAUAGUACCAGGAUUGACUUUUUAAUGUAAAAAUAUAGUUUUUCGUUAAAGUGAACAUUACCGGGAACUUUUCGUUAAAGUUUCCAAUGAGAUAAUAUUGCAACAGCUGGCAUGAGACAAUGAUGGUAUAAAGAUGGCUACUACGGCCAAACUACUACAUAGGAUUCCAUACAUGCGGUCAUUAUUUCGACAAAUCAAUGGCUGCCGCAAUCAUGUGCUCAUUAUUCCGACAAAUCAGUAGCUACUUGCAUUGGAUUAGGAUUGCAUGCGUGUGGUCAUUGAAUGAGGAUUGCGUGCACGUGAUCUUUAUUCAAACAAAUCACUAUUGACCAUAUAUUGCAAUUGGUUAAUGGUAGGCAAAUUGAAUUUUUACAUCAAAUAAUGUGAUUGCUGAUAAUUGAAUUAUUAUUUAAAUGUUGAUUAAUAUGCUUAUUUUUUAUUUGUGAUAUAUCAUUUAAUUUGUACAUUUAGUUUACCUAACAUUACCAACUGUAAUUUGUAUAAAUGGACUGGUACCUAACAUAACCAGUUGUAAUUUGUAUAAAUGGGACUGUAAUUUGUAUAAAUGGACUGGUGCCUAACAUUACCAGUUGUAAUUUGUAUAAAUUUACUGGUCCCAAGAGCACAUGCUACUGCUCAAGAAGCAAAGUUCUUAUUUGCCCAAAAAAAAUCAUGGUUUUUUAAUUGAUGCUCUCAUUUUAAUUUACUAGCCCCUUACUUGGCCUUUUUUAUUUAUCAUUUUAUACAUAUUAAUAUUUUUUUGUAAAAUAUAUUAGUUUGAGUUUUAUUAAAAUUAAAAAUAAAUAAAAAAACUUAGUUUUAGUUUUAUCAAAUUAAAAAAAAAUGACUUAAUAUUUAGUUAUUGAAAUUGUAAAAAAGUGAUCAAGUAUUGGGUGCUUUGUUUGAAAUUUUUCAAAAUGAUAUUGUUUUUACCAUUGAAACCCUGUUAUAUACAGUGAUGGCUAAUUUGUCAAGUUCUACGAAGUUGGGAUACCCAGCGUUUUAGCAUAUAACAUAGCUUAGUAUUACAAGCAUAAUUAAUUAAAAUAAAGGCAAAAUAAGAGGAUAGCUUAGUAUUACAAGCAUAAUUAAUUAAAAUAAAGGCAAAUUGUAACAGCCCGUCCCUAAAAAUGACGAUUUUAUAAUCUUAACACGUGAGUUUAUGAAGAUGCCCUUCGAGGCAAAGUGUUGACUACCGCGUCGUGUCAUGUGAGACUCAUCUUCUUGGCGUAUUCUCGUUUUACUCGUCGCUACGGAUGCGUGGGCGCAAACGACACGUGAUUUGGAGCUAUAACAAAAGAGUUAUUAACAUUUAAAGUUAAGGACAUUUUAGUAAAUUAAUUAAUUUCAGAUUUUGUUGAGGGGAAAAUCUGGAGUGCCAUGUGGGUGGCCCAGAUUAAAGGAAAUGAGGAAUGGAUGGUGGAGGUGUAAAGGAAAGAAGAUAAAAGAAAAAUGAGAGGAAAUGUGUGACUAAUAGGGAGAUGAGAGAGUUAGGAUGGCCCAAUUAGAAACAAACGAAAGGAGGAAAAAGGAGAGAAGAGGGGAGCAGGGGAUCCCUUCAACCCGGUUCCACUUUCCGACCCGACCCGAUCCUUUUCAUCUUUUCCGGUGGUUUUUCGUCAGUUUUUCCGGCGAACCACGUUAUCUAACCCCGUUGAAAAUGUUCCACGACCUUCCCUCUACCAUUACAACCCAAAAUUGUAGAAAUUUAGCCAUGAAAGUAUGAAAACCGCACCGGUGGGUGCGGGAAACCUUUGUCGUCGAUUCUCCCAUUAUUGAAACGAUUUUCACCAAUUAUCACCACCUACAGCAUCCUCUUGAGGUCUGGAAUAAAGCCCAAACAAGUUUUGGGGCGUUGGAGUUCGUUUAAGGUCGAAUUGAGCACACCCAAAUUCAAGGGUUCCGUACCGUUCAUGGUGAUUUGAGGUGUUUCUCGGCCAAAUUGGCCUUAGUCACAAGUAUGAAAGUUGCUCCACUCGUUGAGAUCUUCAUUUAUGUGAAAUUUGAGAAUUUUUUGAAAUAUUUGGAUUUUCCAGCGAGUCGGGGUGGCGGACCGCCACCGGCAGCAGCGCAUGGCCAGUGGUCCACCAAUGUCAUUUUACGUUAAAUUGAUAUCUUGAUUUUAGAUUUGAUGUCUAUAUGUUAUGACUUGAUUAUGUGAACCUAGUUUGAUUAAGGUGCGUUAAUUGGUAAAAAUAUGAAACGACGAUCCGACCGUGGGAUCGUCACCAAACUUUAAUAUGUUAUAGUACAUAAUAUUUGAGAAUCAUAGGGACUGACAGAUAGGAAAUCCGAGAUACAGAUCUUCCCGAAAUGGAAUUGUAAGUUUGAAGAAUAAACGUUAACCGCCACUUUGUUUUGACUAUUGGUGGAGAUCCAACCGUUGGAUCAUAAUGAAAUUUUAGGAUGAUGUUUUAGAAGCAUAAUGUGGAUCUUUGGAAGUUACUGAUCGGAAAUCCGAGGAGUGAAUCUUCCGAAUUGAAUUACGUAGGGUUGUGGACCUUACCGUCGAUCGUUGACCGAUGAUCGACUUUUGGUCAAUGGGGCUUAAAUCAAUCUAAAACGUUUUUAGGGAUGUGUUUUACGUAAAUUACAUGAUCUAUUGAUAAGAAUUAUGAGAUGUGGUUUGAUAAUUGUCCUAGGUGCCGAUCGUUAGGAACGCUUCGAUGGUUAUGCUAGGAAAUUGUAGCACAGACUCCUUGUGAGUGAAUCUUUUCCUUCUUAUCAUAUAUAUAUAUAUAUAUAUAUAUAUAUAUAUAUGAUUGACAAUUCCACAAACGUUUAUAAAUUGAUUAUUGCAUAUAACUACUGUGAAUACUUUGAAGUACUUAUGCGAACUACGAAUGGCUUGAUCCGUGUUUAGGGUACGUAGGCAGUCUAACAAGACGUUAGAUGUAGUCAUACAAUAAUUGAGAUUAAACAAUUGAGAUAAAGCCUUGUUUGGGGAACUGGGCAAGGUGAAGGAAUUUGGUAAAAAGGUGAGAUUUAACCUUAUGAAUUGGUGAUUAAAUGUUGGUCAUAAAUCAAUGUGUAAAGAAUCAAGAAUUUGAAGUAAGGAAACGUAAGUAAUGAUAAUUAAUUAAACUAGUGUCUAGUUGGGCUUGUCACCUAUAAUUAUCCCCGAAAAUGAAUAAUUCGGGAGUAGGGCGUUACAGCUUCUGCAUUUUUAUGCCACAUUAUAUAUAUAUAUAUAAUUGGAAAUGCUAUAACAUGGUUGAGUAUCAGAUUUCAUCAUGGUUUAUCUAUAUGUAUAUUACCUGCACACAAUUAUUAUGAACGCGUUGAAGUGCAAAGGUGAAUGCACGACACCCAGGUAAGUUCAGGUGAGUUUAUGGUAUUAGUUGAAAUGAUGGGGUUAUGGUAUGACUACAUGUAUGUUUAGGUUGCAAUGAUAGGCAACUCCAACACUGUCGUACAGGUUGCCCAUGAAUUGUACAUGUUACAAUAGAUACAGUUAGAGCUCAUAAACCUACACCCCGGUGUUAGUACUCCCGCUCGUGGCCAGGGCACAGUCCUUCACGUGAUGUUCACCUCCCGCACCUUACGCUCACCUUGGAUCCAAGGUAGGUGCACAAUCAUGUCGUACCACUAUAGGUGGUUCCGACUCGUAGAUGACCCGCGAUUAUUUGCACAGUCUUCACGUGAUUGUAGCACUUGAGCGUAUUUAUUUACACCCAGUUCUAUUGUACAGACCACUUUAGGUGGUUCCGACUCGUAUGCAGGUAUACUUAUUAAGCUAUGGAUAAGUCGUACAGGUCACUAGAAGUGACUCCGACUUAUGAGCUAGCAUAUGUGAUGAGCUAGCAUAUGUGAUGAGAUAAGUGAUGAGUUAGUAUAUGUAAUGAGAUAUGUGAUGAGCUAGCAUAUGUGAUGAGAUAUGUGAUGAGCUAGCAUAUGUGAUGAGAUAUGUGAUGAGCUAGCAUAUGUGAUGAGUUAGCAUAUGUGAUGAGCUAGCAUAUGUGAUGAGAUAUGGGUAAGUCGUACAUGUCACUAUAGGUGACUUCGACUUGCGUGCUAGUAUGGGUUAUUAAUCACAUGAUUAUUGAUAUUACUGAUGAGAUGCUGUGUUGUGGUAUAUUUAUGAUCUUUCUGGAAACUAUGCAAGUGUUGUAACGAGGGGUUAUAAUGAGGUGUUGUAACGAGGGGUUAUAAUGUUUUAUAUGGUUUCUGUUAAAAUUUUAUUUCUAGGGUCACUCACCCUUAUUUUGUUUUCACCCUCUAGGUUUUAUUAGCUGAGCUUUCUUAUCGUCGAAGAUUCGUGGCGAUUCUUAGUAUUGGAGAUUAUUUCGAGAGUACGAUUCUUAAUUCACUUUACUGUACUUGCUUAAGCUGUAACGUCACGUGUGAAGUGGGUUCAUUUCCGCUUACCAGCGCAUUCUGGUAUUUAGGCACUCUUAGGUUUAAAUUUAUUCACAUUUUUCCACAUCAUCAAACUUUAUGGCUUUGUCACUCUUUAGGUGUCGGCCAGCACAGCUCGAUUUGGAGUCCUAGUGGACAUUCCGGGUCGGGGUGUGUCACAAAUGAAGAGGAUGGUUGAACUUGUUAAGUUUCUUAAGUGUGUCUACUUGAAGUGUGUUGCUAAUAAAUAUUUUGUUGUAGGCAUAAUUUACUGAACAAUUAUGGAGGCAGAGAGAGAGAGAGGGAAUAUGCGGCAUAGAGAGAGAAGAGAGAGAUGUGUAAUUGUGAGGUGUGUUCUAUUCCACCCCAUUGUACCUUUAUUAUAUUAGUAGGGAAAGUUAAUUCCUUACCCUUUUAGGAUUACAACUCUAAUAGGAAAAUAUCUAGUCUAAGAGAUAUGAUAGAAUCUCAUAAGGAUAUCCUAGAUAUGUUAGGAUUUACACAAUCAUAUUCCUAUUCCAAUAAGACUGCAACACAUUUGUAUUUUUUUAGAAUUUUUUUGAUAAUUUGUUGGUAUUCUCAAUUUUUGUUAACAUUGAAAAUAUAACGGUUCAGAUGAAAAACCUUUGGAAAUCCAACAGCUUGCAAGACGUUGGGCUGUGCUGAAGGAAGCUGGGCUGUCACGUGGAUGGGGCCCUCCCUCUCCCUCUUGUUGAUUCAAAGGGCGCAGGCCCGUGCAACAAUUGGCGAGGCAGCCCAUAGAGAUCCUGCGAUUCACCCAUUCGCCAUUUUUUCCACCGCUGGAGCACCAAAAUUCGGUCAAAAGGCAGGGGUAUCAAUGGCAAGGGCAAUUUGGCUUCCGCUGGAGGUGCUCUUUGUCGACUUUGUUUUUUCUCUCAUUUUAGCUUUUGCAGUAAUAUUGAAGUAAUCACUCCAAUUUUAUCCAAACUUUUGUUGUCCGUCAAUUUUUAUCAAAACUAUUGGUUAAUUUACAUAUUCAGACUAACCUUCUCAUUAUUUUUAGUAUUUUUAUCAUAAAUAAUAUCUGAAAUAGUCACAUUUUAUUCAACAACCACUCAAUUAAAAAUUAAUUAGUGUUGUUUCUAAACCAUUACAUCAAGCUUUUGUAGAUACACAUCAAUAUUGCAGCGAUCCGAGGCAUUGUUUUAGUGACGGUAGUACUUUCUACUCCUUGGAUUUGGUGAAUCGGAAAAGAGAAGAGUUACGAGUAAAAGUCCCUCGCAUUGUUUUGGGGAGAUGAAGAUGAUGAUCUUUUGUUUUUGUUUUUUAAUGAUUAAUCCACGCAGCAACAUAUAAUUAAAUUGUUGGGAUCUACUCAAGUUCCAUAUCACACACUAACAUAAAAUUUGACAAACGAAACGAAAUAUGUGUGUAGACAUCGAAAUUUCGUAAAUAAAUGUUGACCGAUAAAUCAAAGUGUCAACGCUCAUGUAUUACAUAAAUUUUACACGUAGCGUGUGACUCAACGAAAAUUGAAAUGAGUUGGAAAAGUCAUCAAAUAGGACACGUGUCAACACCUGGCAGAAACGACUUAUUUCAUCUGGGAUAUUAUAUUCAAAAUUAGCCAUUGGAAAAUUCUAUAAAUACAAGCCCAUUUCAUUCAUUUAAGGAGAGGAAUUCAUAUUACACCUUGAAGCUCUGAAGCUCUGAAACUCCGAAGCUCUCAAGCAUCCAGGUUCCCGAAGAAUCAAGAAAGUGUUCUUCGUUCUUCGUUCAUCGUUCUUCCAAGAUCAAGCCUCGACGGCCCUUGGAUCAACAAUCAUCCACCUUCAAGAUCAAGCCCCGACGGCCCUUGAAGAAAGCGUUCUUCGUUCUUCGUUCAUCGUUCUUCCAAGAUCAAGCCCCGACGGCCCUCGGAUCAACAAUCAUCCACCUUCAAGAUCAAGCCCCAAAGGCCCUUGAAGAACUUCCACCAAUUCAAGAUCAAGCCCCGACGGCCCUUGAAGAAAGCACCAUCGUUCAUCAUCCGUUCAUCCAAGAUCAAGCCCCAACGGCCCUUUAGAUCAACAACGUCGACAAAUCCACACAUCCAACCGUUCUUCAAGAUCAAGCCCAAAAGCCCUUGAAGAUCCGUUCAUCACUGUUCUUCAAGAUCAAGCCCAAAAGCCCUUGGAGAUCCGUUCAUCACUAUUCUUCAAAGAUCAAGCCCAAAAGCCCCUUUGAAGAUCCGCUCAAAUCCACCUUCAAGAUCAAGUCCACGGCCCUUGAAGAACGUUCAUCCUUAGAUCAAGCCCAACGCCCCUUUGGAUCAAUCGCACAUCCACAAAUCAACACCUUACGGAGAUCGAAUCAGAGGAUCAAAAUAGAGAGAGAUUGUAACCCAAAAUCAUCAAAUACAAAUAUUUGUUUGUGCGCGUUGUUCUUGUCUCUUUCGUUUCAGGAAUUUUCCGUGUUCACAAUGUGCUCUUGAAAUCAAAAUGAGGGCACUGCUCCAAGAACAAGAAGGGCACCUUGUCGAGGUCGCCAUCCGCCGUGAGGGAAAACCGGAAGAAGUUGGACAACAAUGAUAACAUCAAUUUGCGGCACCCAUAUCGGGACAUCACACUGUGAAAUAAAUAUUGAAAUAAAUACUCAAAACUCCUGGAAAGUCCUCGAGACAACAAACUUUCAUCUCCUUCAAACAUUUCAUUUUACUAAGUUUUAUCUUUGAAGGGAGGGAAAAAAAGAGAAGAGAGAAUCCUACUCCUUAUUCCUGAAUAUAUUCAAGAAUAGCUAUUGAAUAAAGAGAGAAUGGAGGGUGAUCGAAAGAGGAGGGAAGAGAAUUCUAGUUCCAAACAUAAAAAGGACCACAACUUUUAAAUUAUCAGCACAAUCAUCACCUAAUUGAAGAGACCAUUCACUGUGAAACAUAUUGUCAAUCAGUCUAUCUAUAUCUAUUUAUAUACCAUAUUUUUAGAGUAAGAUUCUCUCACCUCCUAUUACCAUCCCCUUCCAUCCUUUCAUCUCAUACUCUUUUUUUGUUGUCUUAUUCUCUAUAUAAAAAAAUUCAAAACAAGAUGUAUACGUGACGUAAUCGUAACCGUUUAAAUAAGAGGGGAUAGAAGAGAAGAGAGAUUAGGAGAAGGGAGAAUCCUACUCCCACAUUUUUCUUCUUCAUAAACAAAAGAGAGGUUCUAGAUUACUUGACUCUAUGCCUCAUUUUUUUCAUCAAGUAUUUGUGAUAAGUGGGUUCAUUUUCAAGUAUUUUAGUUUUUUUGUCAAAAUUGAGAAAACUGAAAAUCAAACAUUAAUAUGAAAAAUUAAAAAAUCAACAUAUAAUUAUUUAGAAAUCGCAAUAGAAAAGAAAAAAAAUGGAGGUUUGUGAUGAAAAAUCUUUUAUACUAAGUAAUUUAGUAUCCUUAUGCAUGAAGAUAAAUCAAUUUGUUCGUUACGGUCAUACUCUUUUUUGAAUUUUUGAACACAUUCUCCAUAGGGCCUUCUUAUAUGUUCCUUCUCCAAGCUCGGGUUAUGGAAGAAGUAAAAGAAGGAAUCGAAAAGAAAGUAUUGGUAACAACCGAUUUCAUUACGAGACAACUCUUGAUAUUCAUAUCAAUCUAUUAUGUACCUUUGCAUCUAGCAUUAGACAAUAAUUGUCAUAGCUUUACCAUAUUUUUUUGUUUCAUUUCUUCUGAAACAAUCUCACACACUUUUUUAUUAUGUGUCUACUACUAGGAAUUCAAUACGUAAUCUUAGCAUUCAAUAGUUAUUCCUAAAUAAUUUCAAUUUUCAAAUGAUCAACCAUUUCAUUUUACCAAGUUCAAUCAAUGUUAGUCAGAUUAGUCAACAUUUAUAUAUUUUGAUGCAACAACAAGAUGUUAUUUGUAACAAGUGAUUUUGUUAGUUGGUUAAUUGGUCACAAGUUAAUGUUCGGUUCAGUUUAGUUUUUCUCUCGAUUUUUUGUGAUUCGGUUUUUUCAAUUCUCUUUAGGGUCGGUUCGGUUUUGUUUUUUUAUUUAUACUUGAAUUUUAUUUUAAUUUAUUUUAAUUUAUUUUAUUUUAAAUCUGGAAACACCAAGAACAACACAAGCACAUAGUCAAUCAAACAACUAUCCUUCUCCACAAAUCAUAGUAAUAAUUACAUUCAUUGAGCUGAAAUGCAAAUAACUAACAAACUCACAAAAAUCAAAUAAAAACUACAAAUUGCUUACUCUUUUUCUUUGGGUUUCACUCGAAAAGUGUCGGUAAAAUUUAGGGUUUGCAAGAACGCAACUGAAAUCUAAAACGGAGGCCUUGUGGCCUAUGGGUUGCUAUUGAGUUCCAGUACAGAGAACCUUGCUUAAUCUCGAUCACGGUACAAAGUAUCGAGUACCUUUAGCACUGUAUUUUGGUAUGAUUGGUAGAACCAAAUUAAAAGCUAACAUCAACAACAACUACCAGAGACAAAAGCUCUUAUCAAUGCUUUGGAAACAUUUAUGUAUCUCCAAGUGUAAUGAUAUAAUUGGUUGGAAACUUGUGAUUUCGUAUCAAAUCAAUAAAAAGUUACAAUAUUGACAAUAUAUUAGCAAUUUUUAUGUUAAUUAUGAACAAGUCAAUCAUGUAGAACCAAAUUAAAAGCUAACAUCAACAACAACUACCAUAGACAAAAGCUCUAAUCAAUGCUUAGGAAACACAGUCCUGUAUCUCUAGGUGUAUUGAUAUAAUUGGUUGGAAAUUUAAAAGAAAAAUGGUGAUUUUGUAUAAAAUUGAUAAAAAGUUACAAUAUUGACAAUAUAUUUGACACACCCCGACCAAGAUCAAGGCAUGCUGGCCGUCACAUGAGAGUGACGUAACCAUGUGCACAGUGCGGAAGCAAUAAUGAUAAGAAAUAUAUGAAUAAUUAAAAACCGAAUCUACUAGAGUGCACUACUAAACAGGAAGUAUUAGGAGUAAGAUACAAAAGUAAAUACUCCUAAUCAGAGCAUAGAAAGUCUAGGUGCAAUCCAGUAGGACAAGUACUAAUUAUACAGUAUAAAAUGUCUUACAAUUAUUUAGAUAGGUCAGAACCGCCGAAGUCCUCACACCCAACAACUGCAAACUUACUUAAAACCUGAAGGGGCGCAAAAUAGAAAACGUGAGUGGGAAAAAACAAAUGUUUUACAAAACCAUUUCAUUUAUCAAUAUAUCUAACCCCUCGCUGUAAACAUGUAUAAUUUUUCCCAGAAUCAAGAUAUAAGCAUAUACAUAAAUAUAUAUAUAAAUAUAUCAAUUCAAAUCAUGCUUCACAUAAUCAUAUUCAUAUGUAUGUCAUGCCAAGAUAUAACAGAGUAAGCAACUCAGGUAAGAGUAAUUUCAUAGAAAUAUAACAUGUUAGCCGGAACCCCUGUAGUAGUCUGUACGGCUGAAUUCAUAGCUCAAAAGUCAAUCUAGCCGAAGUCACUACAAUGACCUAUACGGCAAUAUACUGCACAAGAGUCGGAACCAAAUGAAAAGAUCUGUACGACAAUAAUGGGUGUUGUUGAUGCACAAAAUCAGUGAGGACUUUGGUACAACAGAAAGUGUUAAGUUUGUGACAUUCUCUAGAUUACUCCGAUCACUAGUGUGGAUAAGUAUGUAAAUGGAUAAAGACAGGGAAGCAAACACAAGAUGUACGUGGUUCACCCAGAUUGGCUACGUCCAUGGAGUAAAUGAGUUCUUAUUAAUUGUGAAGGGUUUACACAAGUAUAUAGGUUCAAGCUCUCCUUUAGUGAGUACUAGUGAAUGAUUUAGUACAAAUGACAUUAGGAAAUAUUGUGAGAGAAUGAUCUCUAUUUAUAGAAGAGAGUUUCUAGUUUCAUUCUGACAUUGACACGUGUCAUGUUGUGAUUGGCUUCUGAUGUUGACAUGUGUUGCACUAUGAUUGGCUUUAGAUGUCAACAUGUGUCGCGUUGUGAUUGGCCUCCUGGUUUGAGGGAAACUCUUCUGGCUCCUUGACGGUAUAACGUUGAUCGAUGCUCAGUAGUUUCGGGAUUGGUCAAGUAUGGUACAAACAGGUGUAAUAUAAUCAUACUCAAUACUACUCUCACAUAAUAGCUGGGUGAUAAAUCGCUAGUCACCUAUGAGUCAGAACGAUAAUAAAGGUCUGUACGAAGACUGUGCACCUAAAUUGGAUCCAAUAUGACCAUAUGGUGCGGGAUGUGACAUUAUAUACAGGCUUGUGCCAUCACUGGCGGAGCUACACCCACGGCUACAGUAGGCUGUAGCCUAGGGAGGAUUUUAACAAACUGCUGGUAUAAUAGUUUAUAUAUGAGUUUGUUGUUGCUUAUUGUAUGUAUAAUAGCCCACAUAAAUCCUGCCAAAAUUAUUAGUUAAUGUGUUUCUUAAUUUAUAAAUAAUACUUUUAUUACCUUUUAUUAUUUUAUUAUUUUUAGGCUAAAAGUAAAAAUGGUAAAUUAAUACAUAAUUAGGUUUCUCCUAUUCCCCAUGCUUUUUACCUAUUCGUUCAAAACAAAAAAAUUAAACCCUCUACCCUAAGAAAAGAAAAACUAUGAAUCACCAUCAAAUUAUUUUCUAAUGAAAUUCAACACUAGAUAUGCUCUUCAUGUCUUCAUUUAACCUAUUUCUUGAUUCAAUUGUUCAUUCCAUAUAUCUACAGCACGACUUGAAUUGGUAUCCCCUAACCUUUUUUCUUUUGGGUACUUGUUAUCAACAAAAGUGAUAAUAUUUGUUCUCUUUCUAUUGCUUUUUUGUAUGCAUGUUUUAUUUGUGUAAAAAUUAGUUGGAAAGUAAUUAAUAAACUUGUUUGGAUUAUUAGUACUUCAUGUUCCUACUUUUAUGUAGAUUACUAUAUAAUUUUAUGUAGGCAAAAAAAAAAUUCAUAAGAUUAUAUGCUAAUGAUUUUAGUUAGCCCACCCAAGAAAAAUUUUCUGGCUCCGCUAUUAUGUGCCAUAACUCUGGCAAAAUCACAAUCACCCUAAGUGCAGUUUUAUGAGUUCAACGUUAUUCUAUCACAUAUCACAUCAUCGAUAAUUCACAUAACCAAACAUAACUCACAUGAGCUUACCUGAGCGUCCACAGUACCAUAAUUAUAUAUAAUGCAUCAUAUACGAAAUAUAAAUUCAUAUGCAUGGCAUUUAAGGUAUACUUUCAUUUAAACACAUAUUUCUGGGAAAAUAUCAAGUAUAUAAAUAUAUACUGAAAACCAAAAGCCCACUCAUUGGUAUGUCGAAGGGUCGUAGCCCCCGAGUCGCCUUUGAAUACUCUCGUCCUCGUGAUAAGUCUCACCUAUAUGCGAAUUAACUAUAAAAACGUUAUUUUAGAGCACAUACAAAAAAUUAGCUAAUAACUCUCAUACAAUGCUCAAUUUUUGUAUUUGAAUAUAUCACAGUGACCUACACAACCUCAAGAUCAUCCCUAAAUUUUUACAAUAUUUUUCUGACCCCUCACGCGCUGCCACGCACCGGCAAGGGCAACGCCUUACUCGCCCCCACGCGCGGCCACGUGACAAGCAUACUGAUGGCGUCAAUCAACAUCAUCAGGAAUAUUCUAGGGAAUAUUCUGUUAAAACCCAAUGGUAACUGUUAAAGAUGACUGACGGCAUGAGCAUAUUCUGUCAACCUUGACGGAAUAUACUCCUUUCUUCUCCGAUGAGUCGUCGGUCGCCGGCGACUUCGCCGAUUUCUUGGUAAAACUUUAAAUCGCUUAUUCUUCUUCGUUUCUUCGCCAUUUUUCAUGAAAUUGGUACCAAAAUGAAGCUAAUAACAUGUAGAAUCACUUUGUAUAAGUUUCAAGGCUUAAAAUCUACUAGUUUUUCCCUGAGAAAGCUCGAUAGUUCGGCUUACCUAGAUAUGCGUCGAUCUCAGCCCUCCGACGUCCAAUUCCUUCCAACGAAGUACCCCAAGACUCGUGAGGACCUCCUUAAGCUUCCUAUAAGCUUCAAAUUCCCUGAAACACAAGAUUUUACGUAUGCAUGAACAAUGCACAAAGUCGGAGCUAGGGUUUCCACGUGAAAUCGAAGGUUUCCUUACCUGAAAAUGGUUCCUUUGAAUUCGUAUGGUUCUCACGAACACAAUGGUGAUCUUAAAACCUUCGAUCUACAAGGUUUAAGAGGGUUUCUGGGUUGGUCCGUACGAAGAAGGGAGAGAGAGAAUGAGAAUCUGCGAGAGAGAGGGCACGGGAAGGAAAGAGAAAUAAGAUAGGUGUGUGUAUGGUCCAAAAGCCACCAAUCAAAACUAAGAAAAGUCUUAGUUGUAAUUGGGUCACCAAUCUAAAACAAUUUAACCCAAUAAUAACUUACACACAUCAUUUAACAUCCGAGGGUAAUUCCGUCAUUCUACGUCAUCGAGAAUAAUCUUCCGGGACGGGCUGUGACAAUAUCAGCAAUAUUUAUGUUAAUUAUGAAUAGGUCAAUCAUGUAUUUAAUACUUAAAUGUAUUUAAAAUAAACACCUUAUCAAUGUUUUCUGAACUGUGCUCGAUUUUUCUCCUUCGCUUUGGUUCUGUCCCAUUGGAUUUUUCAAGCAAGAUUUUAUCAAGGCAACUAUCAUUAACUGUGAACAUAAUUUAUCAUUGAGACACGAACAUCCAAGGGGGAGUGUCGUGGAAAAAAAUGUAGAUAUCUUUAUACGUUGUAUGGUAGUAAACCAUCAUAAACACCAUAAAUAUGUAGAAACGCCCUUGCGGUACCUUUGAAUGAUAACUCAUGUAUUUGUUGCCCUAUGUAAAGAUGGCUAAUGAUAAUGGAAGACUAAUUUUCUCAUCCCAAUCUCUCCUGUCUCUCUUAUUCUCUUUUCUCUAUAUUUUAUUUCCAACAAGUUGUGUUUUUUUUUUAGUAUUGUUAAGCAACCCAAUAGAUUUUAAUCGUAGUCUUUGUUUUUUUUCUUUUAUAUUUUUAAUCAAUUUCAGUUGCUUAUCAGUUCUAGCUAAUUGAGCUCUUUUACAGCAAUUUUUUUCUUUAAAUAAAAUUAUUAUUAUUAAAAAGAGUGAGAAAAUUCGAAAUUGUUACAAUAAUUUAAAAAAAAUAGGAGUUUCAAAUCAUGAAGGUAGAGGGAGUUAACAACAUUUUAGGGGGGGGUGUAGUCAAACUAGGAUUUUGAAGGAUUUUAAAAGUGAUAGAUUUGAUAGGAUUUAAGAUGAUUAAAGACUCUUACAAAAUUCAUAUGGAUUUUAAAGAAUAUGAAUGGAUUGCGGUGGAUUGUGGGGGAAGGAUUUGAAAUCCUAGGGGGUGAGGUUUGAUUCUUUUUAGUUUUGGUUAUAUAUGGUAUGCUUUCAAAUCCCAGAAAAUCCACAACUUUUUAAAAUCCUUUAAAAUCUUAAUUUUUUUAAUACACUUAGAUUUGGAUGGAUUCUAAAAUCCUUUAAAAUCUUUUAAUUGACUACACCUAGAUUUGAAUGGAUUCUAAAAUCUUUUAAUUGACUACACCUAGAUUUUAAUGGAUUCUAAAAUCCUUUAAAAUCUUUUAAUUGACUACACUAUGAUUUUAAAGUCUUUAAAAUCCUCUCAAAUCCAAGUUUGACUACACCCCCUAAAGAUUUUAAGGAAAACUAAUGAAAAUGGCUUGAAAACUUUGAGUUUUAACUAGGGGUGGGCAAACGGGUACAGGAACCGCGGGUAGGGGUGGGUAAUUCAAGUUCGGGGCAGGUAUGGGACAUGUCCAAUAUUUCUAAACACAAAACGGGGCGAGGCUGUUCGGGUAUAUGAAAUUAUCGGGGCGGGGCGGGUCUUAAAAUAGAAGGGAACGGGCCCCCAGCCUGACCCGUUUCUUUUCCUCAUCCCUAGUCUUCUCUAUCUCUCUUCCCCGACACUUUUCAUUUCACUCAAACCCGGCCCAUUUCUUUUCCUCAUCAGUCAUCCCUAGUCUUUUCAAUCUCUCUUCCCUAACUCCUUUCAUUUCACUCGUACCUCGAGACCUCCUCUUAACUCGCUCCCAGCCUCCCACCGUCCUAGCUCCGUACCUCGCCAUCAUCAUCGUCAGACCUCCAUCUCUCCUGAUUUACUCAUGUCUUCCUCGCUGCGUCCGCCGCCAUGUCUCUCUUUCUGUGACGAACUUAAAGGGACGGACGAAGUUGAACAACUCGAAACGACGCCUCUUCUGUCUGAAUUAGACCCAUAUUUGCAGCGCACGACUCUGCUCAUAGUCCUCUUCGGUUUUAAGGUAUUACGUUUUAGAGAUUUAGGAUUGAAAAUUAAAUUAGGGUUUUCUAGAUUUAGGGAUUUUGUUGGGUUCUUGAACCUUGACCUCUGUUAUGUUCCAAUUUCAAAUAUAUAUUGAAUUGAAUUUGAAUCGACUGUGUUUGAAACUUCUGUUGAAUUAAAUUGAAUUUGAGCAGGAGAAGAGGCAGAUGUGGGUUGGGCAAUGUCGAAUCUCAUUGUGGGUGGUGAGGUGGGCAUGGCGGGCGACAAUAUUGACUGGCAAUGGUACGGGCGGUGCUAUUAAGUUGCAGAAGAAUACGAAGGAGGGGGUGUGGGCAUGGGUGGAUAUCGCAAGCUCAAUUGAAUUUUUUCUGGUUUUGUUUGUGAUUAAUUGCUUGUAUAUGAUAGUUAUUGAUGGAUCUUGACAUGCCCAUUUAAUUGUUAUUGGCAAUGCUAGUUUGAUUGUAACAAAUUCAAACCGAUUGAAUUGUAUCCCAGAAAAAAAAAUCAAUAAAGGAACUGAGGACCCGGCCCGAACCAGCCCAUUUCAACCGGGCCAGGUUAGGUUCGGUUCUUAUAUUAGAAAAUGUUGUUCCCGGCCCGUUUCUCUUAAGCCCGGAUCCAGUCCGAUCACUUCGAAAUUGGCCCCAACCCGGCCCGGGCCCACCUCUAGUUUUAACGAUAAGGACAAAAUAAAGGGUAAAGUGAAUAGUACCAAGUUUGACUUUUUAGUGUAAAAAUGUAAUUUUUCGUUAAAAUAAGAUUUUAAUGGAUUCUAAAAUCCUUAAUUAAGAAAUUAGGCUUCAACCCAACUCAUCUUUGCAACGCCGGUUCCACUUCACAUCAACAGGCAAUGUUUUCUCCUCAACAAAUAGUAUUCUUUUAUGAGACAAAGACUAAUGAGGGUGAUAUAUAUAAUUAAUAAUAAUACUUGUGUUCCCUUUGUGAGUGAAUGCACUUAUUUUACCAUUCUCUAAUAAUGUAUCUUUAUUAUAUAAAUUUAUAUCAUGUGGAUAUCUUCCUAUAAAAAAGUUAUUCAAAUUGGAAAUCCUUACGUCAUCAAAAUAUAUAAAAAAAUGGACGAUCUCAUCGUAAAUAUGUUAGUUACUCACACUAUAACUUUGUAUAUUCCCUCACGUAGGAAACGCAAUAAUUAUCCUCUAAUUAAUUCUUCUUGAGAGUAGAAUUUUUAUUGUUGGUUUUUCGCAACCUUCAGACCUAAAGCUGAUAUGGACCUCUCAUUGUUUUUUGGGUUGCCGUUCUUAUUUUGCUUGGUCCUUUUACCUUUUCUAUAGUUGUUUAUCUAGUUCUUUUGAGCCUCGUACUAAUUUUUAAUGUAAUGAAAAUUAUCUUCGUGAUAAAAAAAAAAAUCAUUAGUCCUCGUAUGAACAUGCGAUGUAACACACUUUCAUGGAACAACAGAUGAUAAAGACGAUAUCCAAAUUUUCUCUGUGUUAUGUGGACUUUCCCAACCAAAUAAAUAAUAACCAAUAAACAAAUAAAUAAGAGUUUAACUUCAAACAUUGAGAAGCGAAAUUCCAACACUACGAGCCUAACUUUUGUCUUCAUCAUCAUCAUAGACUAGUCUCCUAUCCAUCAACUCCUACAUCAAUUUUUUUUUUUACUAGAUUGUAGCUCACUUUCAAAAGAGUUACGUAAAGUAUUUAAGCACCAUAAAAGAAAAUUAAACGACAACGAUUGACAUAAUAUUAGUAGUAUCAUGGUCUAAAAUAUUCAUAAUAUCUUGAUAUUUUUAUUGAAAUUUUCGUGUUUUUAGACUACCUAUAUUUUCAAUAUCAUCGAUAUUUUAAACCUUGCUAAGUCACUCAUGUAUCUUACCAUGCAAUGUAUAAAGUGUAAAAUAUUGUACUAAUUCAUUAUAUAUAAAUGAUUAUAGUGUGUUUAAACUUCUUUCAUUAAUUACUACAUAUUUUCUACACUCACAAUGUUUGCCAGCUCGCUAUAUAAUCAACUUAAAUCAAUUAUAUCUAUCAUGUAAUGCAUUUCCUUCCAAUUUUUUGUGAUAAACUAAUAGAUAAUUGACUAAAUAAACAUCCUGCAAAGUUUCAAUAAAAAUUUCCAAGUUUUUCUUACAAUUUCCGUAGUUUUUAUUCAAUUUUUAUCGAUAUCGAUAAUAUCCCGAUAUUUCCAUCGAAAUUUCCGUAUUUUUAGACUACUGAUAUUUCCGAUAUCAUCGAUAUUUUAUACCUUGGUAGUUAUACAUUUUAUCGGCCUCAUUUUUAUGCAACUUAUACAUUAAAUUAUUGUCAAAAUGUACAUAUAAAGUAGCUGAUCAACGAUGAGAUUUUAGGCAACCAUUUUCUUCUACGACGUCAAAGGUUGUAGAGGUGGCCAUGUGCACUACAUGCGUAAAUCAACUAGGGACUUGGAUCCUCUCUUAAGCCCAAGGAGAGGAUCCUCCUAACCAAAUGACUUGGAUUGUUGGAUGAAAAUCUAACGAUUACAAACAGAUGAUCUCUUUAAAGUUAUAAUAUUUAUUACCGUUGAAUUUUCAUCAAACGGUCAAAUAUCAUUGGUCAAAAGGGUCCUCUCAUUGGGCUCAGAGAGGACCCAAGUGCAUCAACCAGAACUAUUGCUAUUAUAACAAUUCAUGAAAUCAAUUAAACAAUAAUUUUCCUUCUGGCAGGCAUGUUAGUUAUUUCUUAUUUGGCCAAUUGCCUAGUGGAUUUGGUAGAUUUAACCUCUCCACCACAAACACAUUUAAAAAUUUCCAGAAAUCCGUAACGUAAAAUUUAAAAAUAAAUAUUAAUAACAGCAAGUUCUUUUCACCGACCGUGACCGAGAUCUGUCACAUAUCCAAAAUGUCACCUCCUUAUCGCAAAAACCAAAUUUGACUUGGGAUAAAUACCGUGUACAAAUUAAACGCGUUUCUCUAGCUUUUGCGUAAAGAGGCAACCCAACACUAAACUAGGAAAACGUUGGGUUGACAAAGAUACCAUGAAGAAUAAAGGGGUUAUGCAAUCCACUUUGCAAGAUAAUCAAAGUUUCCCGUUGUAGACUUGUCUUAACCCAACACUAAACUAAGAAAACGUUGCUUUCCCGUUGUAACAUGAAACAACAUUAAACAACAUUAAACAAUAUUAAAUAACAUUAAAUAACAUAAAAAUUAUACAACAUAAAAAAAACCAUUUAACAACAUAAAACUUAAAAUGCGUACUUCUUGCUUCUUGUGGCCUAAAGAUGUGCAACAAGAUCUUGAUGUAGGUACUUGUUUGUGGCACGAAAACGUAUCAUCCUAGCCGUUGGAUUUGAAUUUUUUUUGUUUUCGGCCAAAAAAUUUUAAAUUUAAAAGUUGAAGAUGGUGAGAAAUAUGAUCCUACACUGUUCAUUAAAAUAUUAAUUUCUUGAAUGACCAAAAGGCUAAAACAAGCCAUCCUUCGGUUGGAGAUGCCUAAGGAGAGACUAGAGAUAGAGAGUUUCCUAUAUAUGAUUUUCAUUAACAAGAUUGAAAUGAUUUCAGAGAGAAGAUCAAGUAUGGUUAUUUUUAUUUUGUAGAGUGUAGACAUUAUAACUAUACAUUCAUAAUAACAUGAGUAAUGUUAUAUUUAUCACAUUUGUACUCUUUCUCUGAUAAAGGUAGGGUUCAUCAACACAUGUGGGUUCUAUUUGCCCAUCAACACAUGCGGAUCUCAUUUUUAUUAGAAAAAUAGUACAAAUAUGGUACGGAAAAUAUGAUAAGAUCGCAAUUUUGUAAUAACAUAUAUACUCAACUAUUUAUAUACCGACCCAUCUCCUUUUAGUGUAGAUAAUAUCGUUUGUUAAAAAAAAUGUUGAACUUGUCAUAAUCAUUGAAUCCAUUUACCAUGAACAAACGGCAGUUUACUAAACUUGCCCUCAGAGUAUAUAUAAAAGGUGAAUCACAAUCUAUUGCAUUAAUAUAAGGAAACAAUUUAUAGGGUUUGACGGGUGACUUAAUAUGCUAUAUGGCACAAUGAAAAUUAAGUUCACACUUUAUCCCAAAUAAGGUGUUGCACCUUUAAUUUAUGGAUGCUGGUUUGACGUGUGACCGAAAUAAUCAAAUUGUAGCCAUUAAUCAUUUUACAAGUAAUAAUAUGUAGUUUUUACUGUUUACGAUUCACACAACAAUCUGCUAGGAAGUAGAAAAUGCAGUACUUGUCCCUCUCACAGAAGUCAUGAAUAAUUAUCAAAUUCAAAGAUAAAGAAAAACCACACAAUUUACAAGAGGAAAGAAAAUGAAGGGAUAAAGAAAGUAAGAAAGGAAUACCUCUAUGGGAGGACUCUUAUUUGCUUCAGAUGCCUACAAUAUUCAUCAUAUAAACACUGAUUAAGUAGUCAUCGAAAACCAAAACAAAUGUCGAACAUAGGGUGAAAAACAGAAAGAAUAACCGCAGCUCAUCAUACCAAUAGAGAUAGAACUGCCCGAUGCCCAAGUAUGACUGAAAAAUGGCAAUCCAAACAUGGCGCCUUCUAGCUCAUCAAACUGUCAAAACCUAGGUUCCACCAAAAAGAUACAAGUCACCUAGUUACUUGUAAAAUAAAAAUCUGUUUCAAAAUAGUGGAAAAUAUUAUUAACAUUGUUCAAAGUCCACAUUGUUGUACCUACCAAGAAACAAGAAGGAUUGUAUCUUAUCAUGAAAAAGAACAUAGGUACCUUUUCAAUUGUAAUUGUACAAAAAUGAGAGACCACUUCCGAACUUCUCUUGGAACUUCAAUCAAUUUCUGCCCACUUUUAAAUGCCUUGACAUACUUAAGCCUAUUUCUUUGAGCUUCAGUUUUGGCUUCUGAUGCCUUUAAAUUUCUUAAAGAUUCUUACCAAGUUUUACAAACUCACUUCUAUACAACCAUUUGUCAGUAUACAUACCAUUUUCUUUGAGCUUCAGUCUUUGCAACACCAAAACCCCCCAAAUAGACCCGGAAUUUUGCAAUGUGCAGGGAAUAUACAAAAAAAACCCUCCUAUCCAUCUAAAACGAAAUCAGAACCCAAACCACAAUCAAAAUCCGUAAAAUUAAUUUAGCCAACCCUAAAUCUAAUAAUUCUAACAAAUAUUAUAGUAUCAAUUGAGAGAGAAUUUGAGAAGAUACCUAGAGAUGAAAGGAAGAGCGUUUCCUCUGAUAGGGGUUCCGUGAAAGCAUCUGUUGACCAGAAAAGAAAAGGCAAAAAACCCCAAAUUACAUAUCAAGCAAUUAUAGAUAGAUCGAACCUUGAAAAUUGAAAUUUCAAACAAGAGAAAGGUUAUAAACUUACAACGAUCUGGGUGUUGGUUACUGGGUUUGGAUUUGGGUUUCUGAUAAGAGAGAGAAUCGUAUGAGGAACCGAUAGAGGAACUGCACCGGCAACAGAGAGCAACUGAUAUGGUGGAGAAUAGAGAUGGGCAAAAUAUCCCGGUUAUCCGCCCAUUUAAAGUUCACAGUUACGGUUAUGGUAAUUGAACGGUUAUGGGUACUACCCGUGGUUAUAACGGGUAUCUAUUGGUUAUGGGUAUUAUCCGCGGUUAUAACAGGUAUUCAUUUACCCAUUUAAUUUCAUAUAUGUAAAAUUUAUAAUAUUUUUAACAGUUAUAACGCGUUUUUGUAUUUGUUGCCAAACUUUUCGUAUACAAAAAAUUUGAAGCACAAGAAGCCAACAAGGAGAAAGAUCAAAGAGCUUACUUGAAGCUUAUGAUCUAUCCUGCGGUUAAUAGAAAGUACUGGUAUUAGUGUAGAAAAAUGUUUGUUUUUAGAAGCUUUAUUUUGUAAUCAUAUGAAUUAUAAUUAAAGACUUGCUUGGGUGUAGUAAAAAAAUAUCGUUUGUAAACUAUUAUUUCAAUUAUUAGAAUUGUAUGAUGACCUAAAUGAUUAAAAUAGAGAAAUGCAUGCUAAAAUGUAUUUAUAACAGUGUUUAAUUGUCAGAUUUUUUUUUUUUUUGUAAUUUUCAAGUUGUUAAAAAAAACAUGCAGAGAGGUGAAAAAAGGGAUUAAAAAAUGAUAAACGGGUUCAAAACGGGUAAACGGGUAAAUGAUUAUGGUUAAAUAGGUAAACGGUUAUGGGUAAAUGGGUACACGGUUAUGGGUAUGAGUAUAACCGUUUAUGCAAUUACCCAACGGGUAAACGGCUAUGUGGGUAUGAACAUAAAUGGUUAUGAGUAAAUAACCGCGGUUACCCGCCCGCUAUAACCAUUGCACAUCCCUAAUAGAGAACAUACGAGAAUAGCCGCUUGGAUGGUCAAUCCAAGAAGAGAAAAUCUUGCCACAAUCACGGUACUUGAAAAAAAAAACAAUUUUAAAGGAGGGAAACAAUCGCGCCUUUUUUUUAAUAGACUCUGUCGACGAUAUUCUUGACAAAUAGUCGGGUGAGCUUAUUUUUCACAACAUUUUAUUUAGGACUAGGUUCGGUUGGCAAAUCGUGUCAAAUUUCUUGUGCCAUUUGCCAGCCACAUAUACAUAAUUACCAAAAAUCAGUUACCGUUCGCCAACCAUCUUCUUGCGGUUGCCAAAAAUCGGUUCAACCAAAAUGAUUGGCUGGUUCGGUUGGUAAAUGGCACAACCGGUGGUUUCCACUUCUUCCUCGCUAUCUUCUAGUUGCAAGGGCUCAAUUUGAUUUUCAGAUUGGGAUGCUUGUUCGGUUGCAUUGUGUGGUUCAUUUUGGGUUAAUCCAUGUUGUGCACUAGCAAUUAAUUGGCUAGACUCCAUCAUCCUAAACAUAAGCAACACAUAUACAUUCAAAAUCAUAUAUAUGUACGUGUAUAUAUAGUAUCAGUAAUCAUCAUGUUAUCAAUUUUGUUAACAAUAUUUUCUAUAUUGAUUAUGGCAUGAAUCAUAUACAUAUACAUAUAUUUUUUAAACCCUAAAACUAAGGAGUUAUUUAUUUUCUAAGCCCUAAAAUUGAGGAGUCAAGCAUGUAAAAAAAUACUUAAAAUAUCUAAAUAGAAAAAGAAAAAAAAAAAAAAAAAUAUAUAUAUAUAUAUAUAUAUAUAUCGGUAGGUAUGGCAUACCGCCGACAUACAAAAUCAAUUACCAAAGCCAUGCCAUUAAUUGUCGGUUCGGUAAAAUGCCAACCGAUUAUGAAAAAAUGCCAAAACUAUACCAUACCAUUUUGAGCCAACCGGUAUGGUUCGGUCGGUAAAUCGGCUUAUGGCAAAAUUUCUCACCCCUAAUUUUAUUUGUCGCCUUAAACCUAUUGGUUUCUAGCCUACAAUUUGGAUAUUUUGUUGGGGAAAGAUUUUUGUACCAAUAAAAUUUUGCUUUGUCAGCUUAGGAUUUGUCGGCAAAAUGACAUUUUCUAGUCGUUAUAAUAUUAGGUAGAUCAAAUUUGUAAACUAUGUGAUGUGUCACCAAUAGGAAAAAAAUUCAGUGUGCUGAAAAUACAGUCUAGAACACCAAGUGUCAUAAUAUAUACUUGGUUGGAAAUUUUUUAUUUUCAAGUUUCCAACUAAUUGUAUUGUAACAGUUGGUGUUCCAAGCUAUUUUCUCGAUGCGUUGGAAAAUCUCUUCACCAAUUAAAAAUAAACAUAUUAAUUAACACUUAAGUAAUAAUCAAAGUAUCAACAACUACGUCAUAAAAUUUACGAAAUAUGAUCUUAAUUAAUGAUCUCCAUGGCAUUACCCUUUAUCUUAGCGUAUACGUACGCCUUCACAUGUUUAUUUGCUGAUAUGCAGCUUGAGUAAAAAUUUCUUUUUAAGAACAUAUAUGUGAAUAUAAACAUAUAUAUCUAGUGAUCCAUGUUGCGUUAUUUAAAAAUAAACAAAUUAAUUAAUUAAUAAAUGAACUGUGUGCAUGUCUGUGUAGAGUAAUCCAUAUGCAUGCUUGAAUCCUGAUCACCACGAAACCAUAAUAUAAGCUACUCAAGGCCCGGAAGCUAGGAUUGAAGAGAAAAACACCCAGUCAGAUUAAGCCAAUAUAUCAAAGUUAAUACUUCGAAAUGUAAGCUUUAAGAUAGAAAAAUCACUUACUACCUUGAGCAGUCGAGCUUCUUCAAUGGCAUGAAGCUUUUAGCAUGAGAUUGACUGCAUCACAACUAAAAUUUUCUCUUGGAAACUACAUAAGGAAUAGCAUGUAUACCUAUAACGUUGAGAAAGUACGCCAAUUUUUUCCUUCUGCACAUUCAUGUUUAAAAGUAAUCCUCAAAUGAACUUGCCCACAAUGAAAUGCAAUUUGAGGUAGUCGAGUGUGUUCCAUUUCCAUUCCAUGGGAAUUACUACUAAACUUUGAGAUGGUAAAGGAUUCAUGAAAUUUUUUACUUUUGAGAUAGCCUCUUUAACAUUUCUCGACUAUAACAAUGAGGGAAUACUUCACCUUGUAUCAAACAAGGGAGAGCGAAAAUCAACUACUAAUAGCAUCACAGAGCCAGCAGAAGAUUGAGGAGGCCAUGAAGAGGAGAGAGAAAAUACACUCUUUUUUUUUGUAAGGACAGAGAUAAUACAUUCAGUAAGGGGUACUGAUGUUUAUAUGCAAUGCUGAUUAGGUUUAAAUAGUCCUAUUUAUUCUGUACAGUGCCAAUAUUACCACCCGUUAGUACACUUUCAAGACACUGUACUCCAGUGUGUGCGCUAUGCAGUACGUAGUACUCCUCAUUUUUUGGGGAAAUUCAUUAUUGGUCUUCAUAUCUUCUUUAUUUUCCUUUUCCUCAUUGUGCCACGUGUUUAAAUCACUAAUUGUAGGUAAUCUUUCAAUUUAAUUAAAUCUUAUGUAAAAAAAGAUAUUUAAAUAUCAUUUAGUAUUACAAGAUAGUGAUAUUCCUCUUUAGUAUAAAAUUUUUAUAAUUAAAAGCGUUCAGUUUUUUAAUCUUCAUUUGAAUACUAUCUAUAAAGAAAAAUUAUUCGAAUAAGAGAUCGUUUAUGCAUUCAAAUGUACAAAAUGCAUCGACAGUGUGAGAACGAAUUAAUAUAUUUUUGAUGAAGUACAAUUAUUGAAUACAUUUGAAUGAUCAAAUGAUAUAUGAUUCAAAAUACAUAUUAAGAUAAUAAAUAUAAGUGAAUUGUUAUUAGCACUCCAAGAAUCUUAUUAUACACUCUAAAUUUUCUAUAUUUUGAAUGAAAAAUAAAUUUAUGAAGAGUGUAGAAUGAGAUUUUUUAAUGCUAAUAACACUUCUCUAAAUAUAAUUAUGAAAUUAAUAAAGUAAAGAUACAUGACCUCGUGAAUGAUGUAUGUAUUAUUCAAAAAAUUAUUAAAAACAAAUUGAAAAAGGACGCUGUUGUUGCCACCACUUAUGCAAUGAUCGUCGCUGCCAUCACCAACCCCCAACACCCCAUUACAGCUCAUAAAAGCACAUCAUAAGCAAUUUAUGAAAUAAAUUUACUGGAAUACUAAUUUCCCCCUUAGUUUAGGUCACCAAUGUUUAAAUUUAGGGGUGUGAUAUGCACAUACCUUUUUUUGCUUCUCUCACACUUUUUUUGUUGUUGUCGAAUCAGAUGAAUUGAAGAAGAUCAAUUGACAGAAAUUAACAAGGGGUGUAUGAAAAGUAAAAAUGGAUGUGUAGAUAACACAUCCCUAAAUUUAUCACAACUUUCAUUCCAAAUUUAAUUUUUAUGCGUAGUUUUGUUUGUUCAAAUUUACUUUGACAUUUCAAUUAGUAUUAAAAUCUAAUUUAAAUUUUAGCGUUCAAGCUAGAAAAAGUGUUCCAUUUAAUAUUUAAUCUCAGUUUUUCUCUUUAUUCUUUUAUUCCGAUUUGGUUGCAUCGUAUCUCCAUUUUUCUCGGUGUUGUAUGUUCAUAAGGCCUGGGAAACGUUGGCACGGAGUGAAGGGUACUCACUUUUUGGCCCAAAAUGCAUAAGGCAUGUAGAUAUGUUAAUCAAAUUUUGUAAACUAAAGGAUAUAGAAGUUGAUACUUAGAUUAUAAUUUAAGAUAAUACUAAAGAGACUAAAUUUGCAAACUAAAUGAUGUGUCACCAAUAAAAAUAAGCACGUUUAUCAACGCUUAAGUAAUAAAUCAAUCAUCAACUUUCAUGUCCUUUAGUUUCCAAAAUUUAAUAUACAAAUUUAGUCUCCCAAGCAUUACUCUAUUACUUAAGUAUUGAUUAACAGACUUAUUUCUUAUGGUGACAUAUUAUUUAAUUUACAAAUUUAGUCAACCCAACAUUACUCUUUUGAAAUUGUCUUGUCCACUGAUAUAAUUCUAUUUUUCUUGUGAUCAAAACUUCAAAUGUUAGCAAGUCGCACGUAAAGUCACUUCUGAGAGAAUGUGCUCACAUUGUAGUUGAAAGAUUAUGUGGCUAGCAACAUUACAAAUUUAAUUUGGUAUAAUUUAAAAUAUAGAUUGAGGAAAAAAUGAUCACAUUAACUAGAAACUGAAAAGGUUUCAGCACAGUUUGUUCAAGCAAGAAACUCAAUUUUGAUGCUACCGAUCUUAACAGCCUGAGCGCCGUACCUGGGCACUAAAGUCACCACCACACUCUCAUCAUCUUCAGCACCCAAAUCCUCCAACAGGUCCGUUAACCCCAACCUUAAACAACUCUUGCUCUUUUCCUUCUGCUUAUGUGGAACACUCACAAAACUCCCAGCAAACUCGCUCUUGUCGGGUCCACUCGGUGCCGCAUCCUCAUCGUCCACGUCAUUCACAUACACAUCAAACUUCACAGCCACAUCUUUGUCAAGCUCAAUCCCCUGAAUCACCAGUAUCUCCUCCUCAUCCUCUUUCUCCUUCUUGCUCCUCUUCUUCGGCUUCGGCCUUGACACCACCGUACUUAUCUUUGUCUCCAAAUUUAUUGGAAAAUCUUUACCCGCCACCACCUUCCCCGAUGACGUCGUCUCAGCGGCCUUCGCCACUCCAGCCGCCUUUGCCUUUCUCGCAAGCUUUGUCCGACGUGGCGUCGGUCUAGACUUGAGCCAUGGAAUCUCAACAUCUUCAUACGUAUACCCUAGCUUUUUAUUAUCAAGAGUGUCCCUCACCGUGACCCUAACAAGCUCAGCAUUCUCGUCAUAAAACAAAAACCCCGUAUCCAACCAAUCCUUAUCGUUAAUAUCUUUAUUUUUAGUCCCUAUACUUUUCCAAAUAUUCCACAUUCGAUCUAUAUUCGAAUGGUGCGAAAAAAAUAUUGGAUCCCUUGCAGCGGAGUAAAAAUUCCCCAUGUCUUCAAAAUUAGGUUGCGUGUUAUCUCCGGUCCAUGUAUGAACCGGACCAUGUGGGGUCGUUUCGAUUGAACCGGCCCCUGGAUCUGGUUCGGUGCCAGCCCUGUAGGGCGAACCAAAGAACAACAGCGGUUUCUUGGAGUUGGAAACCAUCUGCCUAUACAUGAUUUUGAGGUUGGCGUCGAUUUGAGCAUCCUUGGACAUUGUUUCAUCCGUGCCGUUAAAGUCAAGAUCGAUGAGAGUCGGCGGCUGAUGGCUGGCAGCGCGGAGCUCGUCGUAAAGCGGAGAGUCCGGGUUAGCGAACAAGGCAGGGAGUUGCAUGCCAGCUGGCGCGUCCCAGUUCCAAAACGGCAACGCGAACGUCGGAUCGUCUAUGAGUUUGGCCAAGAUUCUUUCGUGGAAGUAUAGGUAGUAACGAUGGAAGGGGAAGAAAAGCCAGGAUUGAUGGAUUUGGAGCUCGAGGUUGGGGAAGCCGACUUGAUCGUACGCGCCGUCGCAAUAGGCACAGUGGAUAUCGGCUUGCUGGGUGAAGCUACGCGGAUCGUCGUCCGGGAGGGCUUUCAUGAGCUCGAUGGCUUUUGAAUAUUUUUCGAUGUAGGCUUUAUCCACGGUGUGAGCUGCCGGCCUGACGCGGAGUUUGGUAGGGGAGGGGAAUUUGAAGUCUACGAUUUUUUGGGACGUUGGCGGGCAACAGUUGGUCGGGACUGCUCCACUUGGAAAGUCCGCACCUCCGCAUUUGGCUAGGUCAGGCGGCGACACUGGCUUUGCAACAGCGAAGGGGUCGCUGCCAAGACCAGCCACUCCACCGUACAGGCUUCCGAGACCUAUAAGUACAUGUCUUCUGUCUAGGUUUACUGGAGAAAGGUUUUCAUGGUCGUGAUCGUUGGAGCUAGUGGAAGGGUUUUUGUUUUGGUCACUACUAUUAUUCGUGGCUUUGCAUGAGACGGCUUGUAAAUUGGAAUGCCUAGGGUUUUCAAAUAAGGAAAUUCGGUGAUACUUUUGGGAGAAAGGGAAGAGAGAAGUUGUGGGGAUGAUACUUGUGGUGGAGGUGACGAGUGGAGCUGACAUAGAAGCCAUGGUUACUUGACUCUGAAUACUACGUUGUAUAGGCUUUGCUUUUAUAAUGUGUUCUAGGUUUUACUUUUCUUUGCACAGGUGGCAGGCCGUACACAUUGGCGGUCCUUAAGGGUUUGACGAGGAAUACUACGUAGUCAUUUAGUACAGGGCAACCAUGCACUAUAGCACGUGGCAUGUAAUAUUUACGUAGUCUCAGAAGGUGAAGCGGUUUUGGGCUUCUUGUGUACCAAUAAUAUUUACGUACUCAUUAUUCCACUGGAUGGAUUGCGUGCACGUGAUCUUUAUUCAAACAAAUCACUAUUGACCAUAUAUUGCAAUUGGUUAAUGUUAGGCAAAUUAAAUUUUUACAUCAAAUAAUGUGGUUGCUGAUUAUUGAAUUAUUAUUUAAGUUUGAUUAAUGUGCUUAUUUUUUAUCGGUAAUACAUCAUUUGAUUUGCAAAUUUGAUUUACCUAAUAUUACCAGUUAUAAUUUGUAUAAAUGGACUGGUACCUAACAUUACCAAUUGUAAUUUGUAUAAAUGGACUCGUACCUAACAUUACCGGUUGUCCCAAGAGCACACGCUACUGCUCAAGAAGCAAAGUUCUUAUUUGCCCAAAAAAAAUCAUGGUUUUUUAAUUGAUGCUCUCAUUUUAAUUUACUAGCCCCUUACUUGGCCCUUUUUAUUUAUCAUUUUAUACAUAUUAAUAUUUUGUUUGUAAAAUAUAUUAGUGUUAGUUUUAUCAAAAUUAAAAAUAAAUAAAAAACUUAGCUUUAGUAUUUAGUUAUUGAAAUUGUAAAAAAAGUGAUAAAGUAUUGGGUGCUUUGUUUGAAAAUUUUCAAAAUGAUAUUGUUUUUACCACUGAACCCCUGUUAUAUACAGUGAUGGCUAAUUUGUCAAGUUCUACGAAGUUGGGAUACCCAGCGUUUUAGCAUAUAACAUAGCUUAGUAUUUCAAGCAUAAUUAAUUAACGAAAAAUUAGUAUCCGGUCCCUAGUUUUUACUGUUCAUUGACUAAGACCUUAUUAGUUCUCAAAUUUUGAUUCAAGUCCCUAGCAUUAAUGUGAUAAUGAAUUUACAUGUUUAUUAUAUAAUUUUUUAAUAUAAAAAUUAGUAAUUAAUUUAGGGUUUAAUACUCACACCUCUAUUAAACUUCUAAUUAAUUUUCAAUUCAGACAUUUCCAAAAUAAUAAAAAAUUAAAUUAAAUUAAGUUUGUACCUAUUAGUUUUUUUUUAUAUAUAAAAAGAUUCUCAAUUUUUAAUCUUAAAUGUACAUCUUAAAUGUACCCAUUCUCAAAUAUAUCAAUUUGUUAUAUGUAAAAUGUACCCUUUUUUAAUAUAAAAUCCAUUCAAAAUUUUUAAUCCAUGUUUAAACUUAUAUGGGUACAUUCUUUUUCGUUGAUUUGAGAAUGUAUCCAUGUUUUGGUACAAUAAAUUUUUUGUUAAUUUUGGUUAAUGUACCCAUACAUAUAUGUACACACACACACACACACACACACACAAUAUAAUAGAGAGUAUAAUUUAUAUUUUAUUAUUUUUAAUCCCAUAAAUGAUGGGUUUUAUUUAAAAUCUCAUUAAUAUAAACAAUUAUAAAUUUCAAUUUUUAAUUUUUAAUUUAAAAAAUAUAGUAACUUACAUUAUUACAUUAAUGUCAGGGACCUCAAUAAAAAACUAAAAACUAACAAGGUUUCAAUCAAAGAAUAUUGAUAGCUAGGGACCACAUCCAAAGUGUCCCUUAAUUAAAGGGUAAAUUACAUAGUAACCCCUCAGGUUUGAUGUCUAUUACAACCCCAUACAACAUCUUUAAAACAUUUCACUUUCAUACCUCAAGUACUAUUUUAUUUCAAUAUAAUACAUCUGUUAGAUUUUCCAUCCAUUAAUCCGUUAAAUGCUGACAUGGAUACCACAUUUGUGCCACGUGGCUGCCAAAUGCGUGUCAUGUGGCAAAAAUAAUAAUUUUUAAAUUUAAAAAAAAAUGAAUCUUCAACCCAAAAAAAAAAAAAAAAAAAAAACCCCAAACCCAGAUCCCAUCAACCCCCCCCAAACGAUUAUCCCUUCCCCAUAUCCCCCAUCCCACCCCCCAACCCCCCCUCUGCGACCAACCUUACCAUAGCGCCCCCCAACCUCGCGACCCACCUCACUCAAGGCCCUAAUCCACACUACCUACAACCCAGAAACGAAAAAAAAAAACAAAAAACAAAAAACUCAUCUCCCUUUCCCUGCAACCCAAAUCCCAUCUUCCCUAAUGGGUAUGGAUUUAAGAAGUGGGGUGUGUAGAGGAGGGAAGAGGGUGGGUGCGGAGGAUGGGUAUGGUGGGUUGCAAGGAAGGGGGGUCGGGUAAGAUGAAGAUGGGUUUUUUUUUUCUCUCUCUCUUCUUCUUCUUCUGGGUUGCAAGUUGUAGGUUGGGGUUUUUUUUUGGGGGGGGGGGGGAGGGAGGGAGGGAAGACGACGUGGGGUUUGGUUUUUUUUUUUUAAUUUAUUUAGAAGAUUUAGGUUUUUUGAAAAAAAAAAAAAAAUUCCACGUGGCACAAAUGUGGCAGCCACGUCAGCAUUUAACAGAUUAAUAGAUGGAAAAUCUAACGGAUGUAUUAUAUUGAAAUAAAAUAGUACUUGAGGUUAGAAAGUGAAAUGUGUUGAUGCACAAAACCGAAGGUCUUUGAACAACGUAAAUCCGAUCGUGAAUAUGCAAGUAAUGUAAAUAACACAAGAUGUAUCGUGGUUCACUCCAAUGUUUGGGCUACGUCCACACUGAUUAUUGUAUUUCUCUGAGAGGUGAGGGGGAGAGCUUUGAGAAAGCUUAGAGCUUAGGGGAUGUGAGAAGGCUUAAGAAUUGGCCUCCCUUAUUUGUGAGGGUGAUGAGUCCUUUUAUAGAAUAAGGGAUCCUCACUUAUUACAUAUUUGCCCAUUCCUUUAUUACAUAAUUACAUUUAAGUCCCCUGAGUACUUGUACAAGGUCUAAAUACGGAGGCCCUAAGUAUGGUACAAACAGUAGUCCCCCAAGUCUUCAGUCAAGAGAGUCUUUUGGCUAGAGACUUGAAAUUCUGUCCAUGUGUGAGCCGAAAUAACUAGAUGUCGUCUAGAACUGAUAUUUGAUAUGCGGCAGUGCCCAUUUUGAAAUAAUGCUCAACUAGAAGUAGCACAUGCUGCGAGGCUGCUCUGCUUGUGUUGCCUUGGUUGGCUCGACUUGUGGCGUUGAAGGUGAGAGAGUCCCUUUUAUAGAAUAAGGGCUCGCUCCUCAUUACAAAGAUGAUGGGUUAGUUGGUGCUUGCGGUGAGGCGGAUGCUCAGCUGGCGGCGAUGCUCUCUAAUGAUAGUGAGGGAGUCCAUUUUAUAGAAUAAGGGAUCGCUCCUCAAUACAUAAAUAAUAGGUGCUCUCUAAUGAAAGUAAGGGAGUCCCUUUUAUAGAAUAAGGGCUCACUCUUCAAUACAUAAAUAAUGGGCUAAGUCCCCUAAGUAUUUUUUAUGAGGCCUAAUUGAGGCCCAAUAUAUGGUACAUAAUGUAGUCCCCCAAGUCUUCGGUCAAUAGAGUCUGUUGGCUGGAGACUUCAAAUUGAAUCCAUGUAUGGGCCGAAGUGGCGGUUGUUCGGAAGCGGUAUUUGUAUACCCUGCACUGAAGCUUUAUAGGUGAAGCUUUGCAAGUGAAGCUUUGAAGCUGGAGCUCAGUAAAUGAAGCUUUUGAAGCUAGAGCUUUUGUAAAUGAAACUUUUGAAGCUGGAGCUCUAUAAAGGAAGCUUUUGUAAAUGAAGCUUUUGAAGCUGAUUCACAUGAGUGAUGCUCAUGAAUGUUUAUGUUGAUUGAUAUGAGUGAUGCUUAUGGAUGUUGACAUGAGUGAUGCUCAUGGAUGUUGACGUGAUGCUCAUGAAUGUUAACAUGAGUGAUGCUCAUGAAUGUUUAUGUAUGAUUGAUAUGAGUAAUGUUCAUGAAUGUUUAUGUAUGAUUGACAUGAGUAAUGCUCAUGUAUAAUUUGAAGUACUGGGCAUACUUUUGAUUACCUGGUUGGCGAUAAUAGCGGCAGGGUGCCGAAUAAUUUUUUGUAGUACUGGGCGUACUUUUGGUCACCUGGUUGGUGAUAAUAGCAGCAGGGUGCCGAAUAAUUUUUUGUAAUACUGGUCGUCCUUUUGGUCACCUGGUUGGUGCUAUUUUGAGCUUAUGGGCCUUCGCCCUCUACACAACAUUCCAGCCUAUUUAUUUUGGGCUUUACCGUUUUUUUUAAUUACCCUAUGAUGGGGUUUAUACAGAUGUCUCCGAAAGAUAUGAAAAAUAAAUUACAUCAUUCAAAAAUAAAUCCGACCCUCUGCUCAAUGGGUCACGCCAAUAAUUCUUUUUUUUUAUGCAUGCCAUCACCACCGCAAUUAUGUCUGCUUCUUUUUAUCUUCUUUUGCUUUCUGCUUUUGCUUUUACUUUAUCUUUCUCUUUUGGCAUAUGGCAGACAACGCCAAAACGGAAUAAUGAAUUAUUAUGAGAACAUGAAUCUUAUCUUUUGCCUGGUUUUCCACUAGUGCUCGUGGUAUUCUCAGGAGAUUGGAUCUGGGGGUAGGCGACUACCCCAGCACCUUGCCCUGAUACGUAAUAGCCUGAUGUCCCACUGCCAUCUCCAUACUGGAAGGUGUACGAACAAUGGUUAUUCUGUGUGGAACAAAUAGAAUCCGAUUGAGAUUCAAGACUGCACCUUCGAUCUGAGCAAGAAAUGAAUUGUGACGUUGAUGAACUUCUAGGAGGAGAAGCAGAGGAUCUUUGACUAUGAUGAUCUUUGAAUUCCAGAUGAAACUGAAUAAAAUGCAGGUUGUGGAGCUUGAUGUGGGCCCAGAUCUGCUUGACAGCUUUGGGGCGGGAGGAUUCCUUGACACUGAGGAAGAUUCCCAGAGCUGGAGGGAUGAGAAUCGACUUCAUAAUCCCGAUGGUGGGUUUGUGCUUGGUCGAAAGAUCAUUUCUGGCAGGGGAAAACAUGUACCAUACCUAUUGCAAAUCUUGCAAAUUCUCUGCUUCUCCAUGGAAGAUGAAGAGCAUCGAAUCUCUGUUUUCUCUCUCUCUCUCUAAAACGUUUUCGUUAUAGAGUGCCCCAAUAGAAGUGGACGGGCAGUGAGCAUGCCAUUUAGUGCCUCCUCCAAGACAGUAACUGAUACGGUGGUCUUUAUUGGCACUCCAAGUUUACUAAAAAGGGCAGCAAAAAUAGUAUUUACAGCACCCAAACUUGAAAGAUCUAGCUCCAACUAGUGGCUUUCUGUUUCAACAGCCUGAAAGCCGGCAGUGUCAUACCGACGCCGUUUGUCUGGAUCAAAUAAUAUAUUAUAAGAAAACAUGACCUUCUUGAAGAUAUCAGCUGUUUUAGAGUCAUUAGCAUUUUUGUCAGGAUGGUACUUGAGAGCCAUUUUCCGGUAAGCACUUUUGAUUUCCUGGUUGGUGGAAUUCCUAUUGAGGCCGAGGACCGCAUAAGGGUUUUGUCGGAGCUGCUUCUUAGCUUCUUGCUUCUCCGAUUUUGAUCGGCUGCCCUGCAUUUUUGAAAUUGACGGUCAAUUUCUUCACAAAACCCUAGAAAUUGCCUCUCGAUUACCUCCGAAACACAUAAUUCACGACUCUUGGUUGAAAUUUUUUUUUUUCAUUUCAAAGAAGUGGCGGAGGUAAAUCAGUUGUCACAUAGCACCGGAGCAUGAGGAAAACCUAGAAAACCAAGAGGCAGAGAGACUCCAUGCACAUCUAACCUGGAACCUUGCAGGAGAGAGCAGAGAGAAAGAGACAAGAAAGAUUGAGGGAGAAGCGAUCUUGGUGCAUCGUCUGUGAUUCCUUGGUGAUUUGCUCGAUCGGGACUCUGAAUUCGUGCAAGUCAUUGCUGUUAAGCAAGAAUCGCGAGGAGUCGGAGAGCUUGGAAAUCGAGAAGGAGAGAGGGCCUUUAGUCAGGGCUUGGAGGGUGUCGGACUCCGUCGGCCAAGAUUGGUGCACGGUCACGGCGUCUGGGCCCAUGGCGGUUGUGUAAAUGGGGGAGGUUCUAGGAGUCCAAGAAAGAAGAAGAAGCAGCGACCAUAGAUCUGGGAGUCCAUGGCGCUUGAAAGAUACGGCGAACAAGUCGGACUUGCUGCUGGGCAGCUGGCGGUGAUAAUGUUGGUGCAUGGGUUUUGGAGUGGGAGUGUUUGGAAUGGGUUUUUUGUUUAGUUUCUAUGUGUUUUUUCACAGAGAGAGAGAGAGAGAAGUGAUGGUGUUUAAGGGAUGAGUUUUGGAGCUUAGUGAAUGCUUUUUCUGGAAAAGCCCAGUGAGGUUUGUGGGUUUUUGCAGAUUUUGCAGAUUCGCGGUGGAGGUGAAAGAAUGAAAGAGAACCGACACAACUUUUCGUAUUGAUUCCCACAUACGGCGCCAAAUGUUGAUGCACAAAACCGGAGGUCUUGGAACAACGCAAAUCCGACCGUGAAUCUGCAAGUAAUGUAAAUAACACAAGAUGUAUCGUGGUUCACCCCAAUGUUUAGGCUAUGUCCACACUGAUUAUUGUAUUUCUCUGAGAGGUGAGGGAGAGCUUUGAGAGAGCUUAGAGCUUAGGGGAUGUGAGAAGGCUUAGGAAUUGGCCUCCCUUAUUUGUGAGGGUGAGAAGUCCUUUUAUAGAAUAAGGGUUCCUCACUUAUUACAUAUUUGCCCAUUCCUUUAUUACAUAAUUACAUUUAAGUCCCCCGAGUAUUUGUACGAGGUCUAAAUACGGAGGCCCUAAGUAUGGUACAAACAAAAUGUUUUAAAGAUGUUGUAUGGGGUUGUAAUAGACCUCAAACUUGAGGGGUUACUAUGUAAUUUACCCUUAAUUAAAAUAAGGGCAAAUGAAGAGGAUGGUUGAACUUGUUAAGUUUCUUAAGUGUGUCUAAUUUAAGUGUGUUGUUAAUAAACAUUUAUUAUGGAGGCAAAGAGAGGGAAGGUGCGGCAUAGAAAGAGAAGAGAGAGAUAUGUAAUUGUGAGUUGUGUUUUAUUCCAUCCCAUUGUGCAUUUAUUUAUAUUAGUUGGGAAAGUUAAUUCUUUAACCUUUUAGGAUUACAACUCUAAUAGGAAAAUAUAUAAUCUAAAAGAUAUGGUAGAAUCCCAUAAGAAUAUCCUAGAUAUGUUAGGAUUUACACAAUCAUAUUCCUAUUCCAAUAGGACUGCAAAACAUUUGUAUUUUUUUAUAAUUUUUUUGAUAAUUUGUUGGCAUUUUCAAUUUUUGUUAACAUUGAAAAUAUAACGGUUCAGAUGAAAAACCUUUGGAAAUCCAACAUUGAAAAUAUAACAGUUUGACGUUGGGCUGUGGUGAAGGAGGCUGGGCUGUCACGUGGGUGGGGCCCUCCCUCUCCCACUUGGUGAUUCAAAGGGCGCAGGCCCGUGCAACAAUUGAGGCAGCCCAUAGAGAUCCUGCGUUUCACCCAUUUGCCAUUUUUUCCACCGCUGGAGCACCAAAAUUCGGUCCAAAGGCAGGGGUUCCAAUUGCAUGGGCAAUUUGGUUUCCGCUGGAGGUGCUCUUUGUCGACUUUGUUUAUUCUUUCUUUUUAGCUUUGCAGUAAUAUUGAAGUAAUCACUCCAAUUGUAUCCGAACUUUUGUUGUCCAUCAAUUUGUAUCAAAACUAUUGGUUAAUUUACAUAUUCAGACUAACCUUCUCAUUAUUUUUAGUAUUUUUAUCAUAAAUAAUAUCUAAAAUAAUCACAUUUUAUUCAACAACCACUCAAUUAAAAAUUAAUUAAUGUUGUUUCUAAACCAUUACAUCGAGCUUUUGUAAAUACACAUCAAUAUUGCAGCGAUCCGAGGCAUUGUUUUCUACGCCUUGGAUUUGGCGAAUUGGAAAAGAGAAGAGUUACGAGUAAAAGUCCCUCACAUUAAGAGGGCUCCUCCUCGGGGAGAUGAAGAUGAUGAUCUUUUGUUUUUGUUUCUUAAUGAUUAAUCCACGCAGCAACAUAUAAUUAGAUUGUUGGGAUCUACUCAAGUUCCAUAUCACGCACUAAUAUAAAGUUUGACAAACGAAACGAAAUAUGUGCUCUCGAAAGCAAAAUGAGGGCACUGCUCCAAGAACAGGAAGGGCUCCUUGUCGAGGUUGCCAUCCGCCAUGAGGGAAAACCGGAAGAAGUUAGACAACAAUGAUGACAUCGAUUUGCAACACCCAUAUUGGGACAUCAAACUGUGAAAUAAAUACUCAAAACUCCUGGAAAGUCCUCGGGACAACAAACUUUUAUCUCCUUCAAAUAUUUCAUUUUACCAAGUUUUAUGUUUGAAGGGAGGGAAAAAAAGAGAUGAGAGAAUCCUACUCCUUAUUCUUGAAUAUAUUCAGGAAUAACUAUUGAAUAAAGAGAGAAUGGAAGGGGAUCGAAAGAGGAGGGAAGAUAAUUCUAGUCCCAAACAUAAAAAGGACCACAACUUUUAAAUUAUCAGCACGAUCAUCAUCUGAUUGAAGAGACCAUUCAUUGUGAAACAUAUCGUCAAUCAAUAUGUCUAUAUCUAUUUAUAUACCACAUUUUUGGAGUAGGAUUCUCCCCCCUCCUAUUACCAUCCCCUUCCAUCCCCUUCCAUCCCCUCCUUUCAUACUUUUUUUUUUCUUAUUCUCUAUAUAAAAAAUUCAAAACAAGAUGUAGAUGUGUCGUAAUCGCAAUAGUUUAAAUAAAAGGAGAUGGAAGGAGAGAUAAAUUACGAGGGGAGAGAAUCUUACUCCCACAUUUUUCUUCUUCAUAAACAAAAGAGAGGUUCUAGAUUACUUGACUCUAUGCCUCAUUUUUUUCAUCAAGUAUUUGUGCUAAACGGGUUCAGUUUCAAGUAUUUUAGUUUUUUGUCAAAAUUGAGAAAACUGAAAAUCAAACAUUAAUAUGCAAAAUUAAAAAAUCAACACAUAAUUAUUUAGAAAUCGCAAUAGAAAAGAAAAAAUGGAGGUUUGUGAUGAAAAAUCUUUUAUACUAAGUAAUUUAGUAUCCUUAUGCAUGAAGAUAAUCAAUUCGUUCGUUAUGGUCAGACUCUUUUUGAAUUUUUGAACACAUUCUCCAUAGGGCCUUCUUAUUUGUUCCUUCUCCGAGUUGGGGUUAUGGAAGAAGUAAAAGAAGGAACCAAGAAGAAAGUAUUGGCAACAACCGAUUUCGUUACGGGACAACUCUUGAUAUUCAUAUCGAUCUAUUAUGUACCUUUGCAUCUAGCAUUAGACAAUAACUGUCAUAGCUUUACCAUAUUUUUUUGUUUCAUUUCUUCUGAAACAAUAACACACACUUUUUUAUUAUGUGUCUAAUACUAGGAAUUCAAUACAUAAUCUUAGCAUUCAAUAGUUAUUCCUGAAUAAUUUCAUUUUUCAAUUGAUCAACCAUUUCAUUUUUCCAAGUUCAAUCAAUGUUAGUCACAUUAGUCAACAUUUAUAUAUUUUGAUGCAACAACAAUAUGUUAUUUGUAACAAGUGAUUUUGCUAGUUGGUUAAUUGGUCACAAGUUAAUGUUCGGUUCAGUUCAGCUUUUCUCUCGAUUUUUUGCGAUUCGGUUUUUUCGAUUCUCUUUAGAUUCGGUUCGAUUUUGUUUUUUUAUUUAUACUUAAUUUUUUUUAAUCUGAAAACACCAAGAACAACACAAGCAUACUCAAUCAAACAACUAUCCUUCUCCACAAAUCACAGUAAUAAUUACAUUCAUUUAGCUAAAAUGCAAAUAACUAACAAACUCACAAAAAUCGAAUAAAAACUACAAAUUGCUUACUCUUUUUCUUUGGGUUUCACUCGAAAAGUGUCGGUAAAAUUUAGGGUUUGCAAGAACGCAACCGAAAUCCAAAACGGAGGCUCUGUGGCUUGUGGGCUGCUAUUGAGUUCCAGUACGGAAAACCUUGCUUACUCUCUAUCACGGUACAAAGUAUCAGUACCUUUAGCACUGUAUUUGGUAGAACCAAAUUAAAAGCUAACAUCAAUAACAACUACCAGAGACAUAAGCUCUUAUCAAUGCUUUGGAAACAGUCAUGUAUCUCCAAGUGUAAUGAUAUAAUUAGUAAGAAAUUUAAAAGAAAAAUGGUGAUUUCAUAUAAAAUCAAUAAAAAGUUACAAUAUUGACAAUAUAUCAACAAUUUUUAUGGGGUAAAUUACAUAGGACCCCCUCAGGUUUGAGGUCUAUUACAACCCCAUACAACAUCUUUAAAAUAUUUCACUUUCAUACCUCACCUACUAUUUUAUUUCAAUAUAGUACCUCCAUUACAUUUUCCAUCAAUUGAUCCAUUAAGAGCUGAAUUGGUUGCCACAUUUGACACGCCCCGAUCCCGAUAUCCUCGGGAUAUCAGGAUGGUCACGUGCUGGCCGACACCCGAGGGUGACGAAAGCCAUUUAUUGAGUGCAAUUGCUGAAAAUAAAGGAUAGAUAAAACUUAUAAAUGUAAAAGAAUAAGGAAUAUGCAUUUAAGGAACGUGUUCAGAGCAUACAACUAACUAGAACACUAAAAGAAUGAUAUAAAAUGGAAUGAAUAAAAGAAUGAGUCUUACACCAAGAGGACUCGAAGAUGCCGAUGCGGAAGUACCUUGAUUGUCGGGAUUGUACGCCUCGAUCCUAAAUCCUGAAGGGGGCGCAAAACAAACAUGAGUGGACCAAGUUGAUAUAUAUAUAAUAAAACAGUUAUCAAUAUACUAACCCCCAGGUUUAUGAAAACAAAUAUAUAAUGAUGAACAUAGGUUUUCCGAAACCUAGCAUGAUGUGCAGUAUCUCAAAUCAUAACUCAUAUAUAAUAAUCACUAGUGAAUUGUCCGAUAACCUGCAGGCCCCAUGCCGGCUCCCCGUCUCUGAGCAGACAGUCAGAGGAAAAUACACUUCAGGCCCCAUGCCGGCUCCCCGUCCCUGUGCUAAAUAGCCAGAGGAAACACACUCCAGGCCCUAUGCCAACACCAAACCGUCGCCCGGGACGGACCGGAAUCUAUUCCUACGUCCCGUAGCGGAAAUGACCACUAGGUAAGUACAAAACCAUUGAACAUACAUAUAUUGAAAAACAACUUCAUAGUAUAAAGUCAUCCAUCAUCUAUACUAUAAAGAGGUGUUCGAAACAUGUUCUAAAUAUCAUAUCGUCAUCCAUCAGAUAUUCUAUAAGAACACGGGUUAUAGGAAAAAUAGUAAUAAUUCAAGGUAGCCUCAGUAAGCAUGUUAUCUCAAAACGUUUCAUAAAACGUAAUCAUUAAAUCAUGCAUUUCAUGUAUGCAUUUCUACUAUUAAAACAUGCUUUUGAAGGGGUCCACUCACAGUACUUAGCCGCCGAAGAGCCACGCAAACUAACGUCACCAAUAUUGCCCCUAAGCACAUAAAUGGUCCAAUUAAUAAAACUAUAUAAUAGCAAUUGGAUUUGGGAAAACGGACGUUGGAAACGGAUUCAGAACGUCGAAUUACCCUAAGAAGGGUCCCGGACGAAAACCCGAAAAGUCAACUCUAAAGUCAAUGUUGACCGGAGGUCAACGGUCAAAUUAGGUCUAACGGGUUUUAGGCUUGAAAUCCGGAUUAGGGUUUAGGUUAAAUAGGAUUAGGAUUUAUUGGGUUUUGGAAUUCUAAGGUUUUUGGGUUAAAAGGGUUUAGGGUGAAAAUGGGUGGUUUGGGCUUAAUCCCAAACUCACACACAACACACACACACACUACACAAACCCUAAAACACACACACACACACGGGCUGCACUAGGGCAGCCCUCACAACACUUCACAAAGGCCCUAAGGCCUUAUUAAAGGACAGGGCUUUAAGCCCUUUAAAGGAUACUGGCCCAAGGCCCGUCAAAAUAAGGCCCGAGGCCUUUGGGUUUUAAAAAGAACAAGAACAAAUUUAAAAGAAAAGGGGCUGGGGUCUACUGGGCUAAGAUAUAACGGGCUUAAGGCCCGUGGGGUUUUCUAAAGGGCCUGAGAGGCCUGGGUUUGUCGAAGGAGAAGGCCGGAAUUUCGGCCGGAAAACCACCCAACUUUAAAUGGCCAUAACUUUGUCAAUACUCAACGAAAUCAAGCAAGACAAAAAUGAAAGUUGUAGCCCUUGAAGCGACGAAGAGAAUGGUUCCUCACACGACGUCUAACUCGCCGUGGUUUGGCCGGAAAAUGCCUCGAAAUCCGUCGGACUCGCCGGAAACUGGGUAAGAUUCAAAUGAGUAUAACUUCUUCAAUACUCAACGAAAUUAAGUGAAACAAAAAGGAAAGUUGUAUUACUCGACGAGACGAAGAGAUUGAUACCUUACACGCCGGCCAACUCGCUGUGGUUUGGCCGGAAAUGGCCUCGAAAGGGGCGGUGCUCGCCGGAGCUUACUCCGUGCCGUCGAACUCGCAGGGUAGGGUCCGGGGUUCGUUGCAAGCCUCUCUUCGAUGGUGACUCGGUCCUAGUGAGUCCAGGGGAAGAGAGAGAUGCGAAAGGUUGAGGGAGAGAGAGACGGGAGAGCUGAGAAAGAGAGAGCUACGGGAGGGAGAAACGAAGAAGAAGAAGAGAGAGAUCAGAAAACAUAAAAAAAAUAAACAAGGUGGGCCCCACGGGCUCACCAAUUAAGGCUUUAAAACAAUUUUAAAAUAUAAAAGAGGGUUGGGGUGUUUCAACAUUUGUACCACGUGGCAAAAAAAAAACCUAAAUCUUCUAUACAAAAAAACUAAAAAAACCAAAAAAAGCAAAAUCGAACACUCCACCCCGCAAAAAUCCUAGCAUCUUCCUUUUAUUCCCCACAACCCCAAAUUCCCCCCCAAAACCCCUAAAACCCAAACCCUAAUUCCUCCCCCACAUGAAGAAAAUCCCAGUCCAAUUCAAUCCCAAUUACCUCAAAUCCCACCAUAGAAACCCUAAAUUUUGGUUCCUCAAUCCCUAGAUUUCCCACGCCUCUGUUGCCUACACCUUAUCAAUCUUUAGCUUUCUCCCUCAUCCCCUCCAUGAACGACACUUUCUCUCAUCCGCUGUUCCCCAGCAACGGCACCGAUACCUACGAGGCCUGGUACGGCAACAUCCAGUACCUUCUCAACAUCUCCGCCAUCGGCUCAUUCUUAUGUGUCUUCUUUUUCACCUUGGUCAAGCUUUGAAGCGAUCGCCGCCGCAUGCCCGGCUCGUCCUCCCUCGUUGCUAAGCUCUUCGCAGUGUGGUAUGCUACCUGUCGAGAGAUUAUGCUCCCAUGUGGCGCUGAGGCCAUAAUACUCACGCACCCAUCUACACACCCACACCACCACUACCGUGGACUCUCUCUCACUCUCCCUCGUCUUUGUAGAGCUAGGUGAAGCCUAGAAACCGAGAACUAGCUCCAGCAAACCCCGUGAGUUUCGAGCCAGAUCCCUGCCGACUCCGACCAUCCCAUGACCAAUCUAAGGUACAAAACAUUUCCCCUUGACUCUAUGCUCUUUUUCGUAUGUAGAUCGUAGGGAAAAGCCCACAGAAUGAGAGAGAAUAGUGACCUGAGAGAGUCCACGGUGAUGGUGGUGUGUAGAUGAGUGCGUGCGUGGGUGUACUGUCGGGGAUAGAGUCUGAGAGAGAUAGAGAGUGAAAGAGUCUGAGAGAAGAGUGACUUGCGAGAGUGAGAGAUUCGAGAGAGACUCGGGAAAAGAUUUAUGGGUUUGGGUUUUUCUGGUUUUUUAUUUUUAUAAUAAUAGGGUUAAUAUUAUAAUAUUUUUAAUGUAUAAAAAUUUCUUUUUUGCCACGUGGCAGCCACAUCAGCACAAAUGUGGUAGUUGUAGAUGCAAAUUUCUUCCUCUUGAUCUUGGACAAUUUUGCACCUACAAAACAAUUAACACCUUAGGUUAAGGCCAAAAGCCUCACACACCCACAAUGAAUGGGGGGCUUUGGCCGAAGAACCUCUGUUGCCAAAGUUAGAAUUUAGAGAGAAAGAGUCUUUACAGAAUUUUGGGAUUUUUGCCAAAGUGUUGGAAUGGCUUUCUGGUGAGAACGGGAUCACUUUUAUAAGGAUAGGAAGUGGUCGGCCUAGCUAGGGUUUUUGGGUUUAAUUUAGGUUUAAUUCUUCAAUUUAUUUGGCUAAUUAAACCCUAAAGAAUAAAUUGGUGGUUACAAAAUUGAUUAUUUGUAUAAAUGGGGUAAUAAAAUGGAGAAAAGUGAAAAAGGUUAGGAAAAGGGAGGUAGCUAGCUUCUUAGUAGUUUUAGGUGUGAGUGGGUGUUUUAAUUGAUAAUUAAGGGAUUGAUUAGGUAAUUAAUCCCUUAAUUAAACAAUUUUUAGGGAAUAUGAAAGGAAAUUAUUAUUUAGCUAAUUGAUUAGCUAAAUAAUGGAAUACAAAAUAUAUAGAAUAAAUUAGGCUUUAGGUAUUACCUUAUAGAAAUGAUUUGAUGAAAUAGGCUUUAAAUUGUUAACUAUUUUGGGCACUUUUGACUUGGUUGAGGAUGAUUGUCUGCCGCUCGCACGUAGGAAUCUCGAUAUGCCUUAAGGGUAUUUUUGUCCUCUUUUACCCAAAAAUCCACGUGUCGCCUUGUGAUUAUUUUUGGCUCCACAAAUGCCCCCACACCUGUUGGGCUGCUCGCAGAAAAUGGCAGCAGGUGUAGAGAUCAUCUUGCUUUAGGAAACGUAGGACUACUUCCUCUUUAGAUGUAGAUUCUCUCUUUAAUAGGAAAUUAGGUUCUUCUAGGAAAGGGAAAUAAAUUUCUGUUAAAGCCUAUUUAAGUCUACCUUAAGUGGGUUAUUAAAUCAACUUUGGAGAGCGAUUUCUUAUACCCUACAAGAGAGAGGGAGCUUAGAGAAUAUUUGUUCCCCCUCUUCUAGCAAUCUUCUACAUCUUUCCCGUGCAAAGGAUCGUCUUUCGUUGAUUUCUUCGUCUUCUCCGUGCCGCACCGAUGUAAGAAAAAUUUAAUUUUUUGCUUAUCUUCUUCUUGGAUAGUACUAUUACAGGGCAACCGUUAAGGUAGUGCGGCACGUCUACUGGCAGGGGCUAGGAGUUGGCUCGGCAUCGGUCGAUGAGGCAUUAUGGCAGGGGCCACUGCUUAGGCUGUUUGGCUUGGCUAGAGCCAAUGGCAGCUUGUGCGGCUGGGGUCGCGGAUUGUGGCGUUGGGGCGCAAUGCUAGGCGAGCCACAUGGUUAAUGUCCUUUAGGCUCUUAGACCUUACUCGGGCCAGGCUAGCGACUGAAAGAAAUGAGGAGGUCGUGGGCCUCAUGGGUUGUUGGAAUGUUGGGCAUGCAGGCCUCCUGUCUGCUAGAAUGCUAGGUUGAGCUCCUCUGCUGAGUACCGUGAAUGGCGUUGGCUGCUUAGUUCUUUUUACAGAGAGAAAGGUGGGCUGCUCCCGAAAGAGGAAGUAAAGAGGAUCAAGGUGGAUGCAUUGGCUCGUCUAAUCGCUGUCGUGGAACCUCCUAUGAAUGAAGAUGGAAAUAAGAGAUCUUCCCUGCCUACUCAAGAGAUGCCGAUCGAGAAAAAUUGAAGACUUUCUCCACUGCUGCUCAUGAUGAUUUGUCUGCUGUCGAUAGGCCUGUGAUUGGCAUGACUUCUUCCAAUGGGAAGAAAAAUGAGGCUGCUAGAUCUGAUCAUGUGGUGCCUUCCAUGUUGAGAAUUGCUAGUACAAUUGUUGAUAAGAUUGCUUAGCGCAAAGGUUUUAUCAUGCCCCCAGUACCGAAGUCUGUACCAGGACUUUCGUUUGGAGCAAAGUCUGGUUCACCUUUGGAGAUACUUGCUAUUAUGAAAAGUGGUAAGGUGGACUCUGCUGCUAAAGUGGCGUCAAGGCCCACUCCCUUUGUUGCUGAGACUGAUUCGCCUGCUAGGAAGGAAGAUACUACUUGUAUGGGCAGCUGUGAGAAAUCCACUAAACUUGCUUCUGGGGAGGCUGCUGAGAUCAUUGUGCUUUUGAAACUAUAUCUGCUUGAAGACAUGGACGCUUGUGCCAAGUUUGUUGAUGGCGGUAGAAAGGUUGUUUACCUAAGUUCCUUUGCGAAACAUACGACCCAAUAUAAAAUGACUGCUCUGCUUACUAGGAUGCAUAAAUAGCAAGGUUGUCAAGGAGGUGGCGAAGAUUAUGGCAGCUAAAGCUUAUUCCUCAGUCGAGGAGAUCAAAAGGUUGAAUUAUGAGCUUGUUGCUUUGAAAGAAAUGGAAGAACUGCAACACGUUCGUGUUAGUCUGUUUGAGAAGAAUGAGCAGCUAAACGGUAAGAAUGAUGGGCUUGAGGUUUCUCUAUUUUUCCGGAAGACUUGCUUACUUUUACUUUUGAGGCUUCCAUUGGUGAAGUAGUUGGAGACGUUAGUGCCCAGGCUUAGGCAACCGGGGGUGAAGCACCGGAUGAUGCCGCUGCUAAGAACGUUACGGCUGCUGAAGGUGUGGAGACCAAGUAGUCGUGGGAUGUCCAAGCUGCUGUAGUGUAGUAUUUUAGGUAGCUUUUAUGAUUUUCUUUGUUUUUCCUUGUAGCUCUUGUUUUGCUUGAACUUCUUCGGCCUUUGCUAGUUGUAUAAACAUGUUUUCCUUCGCUUUUCUUCAUCUUCGCUUCUUUUGUUCAUGCCCUAACCUUUAGACUUGAUAGACCAAUGGCAGGCAUGCUACUUUUUUAUAAGCAGACAAGCUCGCGUAGCCUAUGCAGCCGUAAAUGUUGGUGUAGAACUUUGCAAAGUUGUUAGCCAUUAGGUUGGUAACCAGAUACCUUACUUACAGAAGUAGACAAGUCCGCAUAACCACUAGGCUAUUAACCUUGACUUUCUCCAAUUCUGUAGGUUGCGUAGCAAGUAUCACAACACUUUAGGAAUUGGUAUAGGUUGCUCCGCACUUGGCAGAGGUGAAGCCUAUCGACUACGUAGCAUGUCGGCAGUGGAUAAAACUUCCAUAUAUGCGCGCUAGCUUGUUUAACCUUUCACAAGAAUGUGCGGUUGUAUAAGUCUAGCACGGUUUUACUGCUUGAAGGGCAAGCCGUAGGCAGUCUUCCGGAAUCCGUAGGCUACCUUAAUGUACUCGGUAGCAGCUUUAGGGUUCCAGGGCAGCCGUCUAUAGAGCGUACUGCGUAAUGUGCCCCAUCCGUCUCUAGCUCCCGGUUCCCCACAGAUUAGACCAAGAGACCCAAAAUCCUUCAGUUAGUUAAGCCUUGAAAAAGACCAUUGUGGCUACUUCUAGGAAUCCCGGCUCAAGCCAUCGUACAUCUAGUUAUACUAGGGUAGCCAGGCUCAUCAGCGUCUGGAUAUUCGGAGUGUAAAGUUUAUCCUCCCGUCUUAGAGAGCUGACCCAUAUGAGUGUCGGGGAAUUGGUUUACCCUCUCACACUAGAGAGUAAUUAAUUUACCCUCUCGCACUGGAGAGCAAUUAGUUUACCCUCUCGCACUGGAGAGCAUGGUUGGUCCAUCGGGGGGCGCAAUUCCUGCGAUGAGUCCCUAAGAAGGGCGCAGUCUUCUUUUGAAGUGCAGGAAUGAUUAGUUGUUAUAAGCAUGUGAUCGAGUCAAGUUGUGAUUACUUCUAAAUUCCUCAUUGAAAAACGAGUGAAACGAACGAGAACUUAGCCGUAAGGUAGGAACUGCAUAACAACUGGAUAGUCCUCAACUUGUGUGGUGGUACCCAUCGAGCUUCUUGAGUCUUCGGGCUUUGAUGUAGUGGGAGGUUACACAUGGCACCUUUUCAGAUUGUAGGCGCUCUACUGCUUUUCGAACUUUUUUUUUGUUGUGUAAUUGCUCUUGCUGCCUACUCGGCUAAUCUUAUACAGACUUUCUCGGAUGAGAUUCAUCUUUUUGGAGCUUCUCUGCUGGCAGUGAUGAAGGCUUUUCUUAGGACUAGAUCUCUGGGCUGGAACUGCCAGAUUUUGGCCUUUUUGUUGUGGCUGGAAAAGAACCACUGCUGGUAAGUUGUAAUGCAGAUGAUAGUCUGCUCGCACUUCUCCUCUGCCAAAUUUAAGCUUGUGGCCAUCUCCUUUCGGUUGCUCGUCUUUUGGUGUUGCGAUGUGCCCAUAGACAUCCAGGGAGUUUGUCUGGCCAUUUUCUUUUCUUAUUGGUAGGGGAUUUCUUGUGGCAGUCGAGGAUCAUCUUAGUGGAUGUUUUGGCCAGCCUAUUGCCUUGAGGAUAUCUUGGCGUAGACAUGUGCUGCUUGAUGCCAUAUUUUUAGAAGAAUUUCGCCAAAUCUUUGCCCACGAAUUACGGGCCGUUGUUGGUGACGAUGGAUUAAGGUAUGCCAAAUCGGCAAAUGAUGCUCUUUCAUAUGAAGCGCUCUAUGUCCGUUUGAAUUGUGAUCGUCAUGGGCUCUGCUUCUACCUAUUUGGUGAAAUAGUUGGUUGCCACGAUCAUCAUGCAUUUGCCCUUAGUAGUCUGGCUGGUGAUUAGCUGGGAAUCAGAAUGAAUUGAAAGCUUUUUCACCACCAAGUCUUUUGUCACUCGAAGGCCUGCUAGUGGGGCUUUGUACUCUGCUUCGUUGUUAGGUGCUUUGACGCUUAGAGUGAUCGCUUACUCGAGCAUUGAACCGUCUGGGGUGGCAAGAACCACGGUUACUUAUAAGCCUUUGUAGUUGGAUGCGCCGUCGACAUGCAAAUGCCAGAAAUUUCCAUUGAGGGAGUAGGUAUGGCUAAAGUGUGCUCGGCUACCUUCGAAGCGUCGUUGGGCCGCUUUGUUACAUUGUCAAGGCUAGGUUUGAAGGCGCGGUAGAGAGUCGUGGAGCUGGGGCCAUGUUACAUGUAGCAGGAGAUGCUCAACUUCCGGUAUUAGGCCACUCUAGAGCUGAAUAAUGGAGCAAAGGUCGGCUAGGGUCGUAUGACGCGCAGCAGAAGGUAGUGCUCGACUGCUAGUACAUGUUGCUCUUACGUAGAAUCUUCUGAGGCGACGAGGACAAAACUUGCUUUUAAGUGUUCCUUCUAGUGUUCGUCUGCCCUUGGCGUGUCUUUUGGGCUGAGUUGUUGCGUUCGUCAGAAAACUUUGCAUCUGCCAGGGUUUACGUCUUUAUCAUCACGGGUUUGGAUUAGGCGGAAUAGUGCGUCAUGAUGAUGACUGCGUACAUUUGAAGGUAAAACUUAAGCUUUUGGGUUACAACAACUAUCACCAAAGUUAGCUUUUGAAUUUUUAAUAGCAUCGAGGAGAGCUUUUGAACUAUAAAAUACAUGUAGUUGGGCCCCCAACUCUUCUCGCAUGACGGUACAGCUUAUUUCUACUUUAGAUACCGUCAAACAUGCGAAUAAGUCCUCUGCUGCUUCUAGGGAGGUGAUGUUGGGUACUUCUUCAAGCCCUUGAAUGUGCAUUGGCGAGCCUCAUCCCAAAGUGCAUGCUUCUCUGCCAAAGAAAAAGAGUCUACCAGAGUUAGAUAUUCUUUCAUGAUCAAUUUUCUAAAUAGCGGUGGUCUGCUGGAAGGCCUUUUUGGAAGGCUGCUCUAGCUAUUGAGUCGCUGCAUCCGACUAUCAUUGCCUUCUCUGUUUUGAAUCUCUUCACAUAGUCACGAAGUGACUCCUUUGGGUUCUUUUUUACGUCAAACAAAUGGUCGGACUUCUUUUUGAUCGAGCAAUAAGAUGAAUAUUCUUUGGUGAAAACCAAAGAAAGUUCGUAGAAAUUCUAGAUAGAUUGUGGCGGCAGGGUGUAGAACCAAUCUUGUGCCUCGCCUUCAUAGUGGUGGCGAAUAUCUUGCACAUGAGAUCAUCGUUGUUUCGAUAAAGGAUCAUUGUGCUUCGGUAGCGCUUUAAGUGUCUCUUCGGGUCUUCAUCCCCUUUGAAAGAUAUGAAAUGUUGCAUACUGAACUCGCAUGGAGGCUCUGCCAGCUCGAUCUCAUCCGUGAAGGGUGACCUGCUUAUGUUGGUCAUGUUCCGUCGUAGUGCCUCGUCGGUGACCUUGUUGCGUUAGAAAUCAUGCAAUCGCUUGAUUAAAAGUCUCUCUACUUCUUCCUGAAUUUUCAUUUGUUAGGGUAGCAGAGCUCUCGGCUGCCCCUAGCCAUAACUUACUGGUCUAGGAUGCUCUUCCAUGUGUUUGGCUCGUAUACCGUGGAUGCAGUGUAUGUGGUGCGGUCCUAGUAGGUGAGCGAGUUCUUCGCAGGCUGCUAGUUGAACUUGAGCUGGAUUGAGUGACUACUUCUCUCCGUCCGUCGUGCUGCCUACUCCAAUGUGAGGUGAAAGAUGCUCCUUGCAGGCUUAGCCACGAAUGAACACUUUACCUGGAAGGUUGCUCAUGUUGACUAUCAGAGUAUGACCCUAACCGUGAAUGUAUAUUCACCCGUGGGCUUAGUCGAGAGUGCACGCUCCUCCGCGCGCUAAGACGAGAGUAUACGUUAUCUCGGGAGCCCAAUUGGGAGUGUACACUGCCCGAACGCUCGGCUCGUGGCUGGUCGAGUGGCUGCUUGCCGAAACGCUGCGGGAAAGGUUCGUCUGCCCUUGUCCUACUUCGGGAUACCUUGUUUGGGGCACGUUGGAUUCUGGUGCAUUGCAAAAGUUGAUUCACCAAGGUUGUCUGUUGUGCAAGGGUGCUCGUAAACGCUACGACUUGUCGAGACAAGUGUUGUUCGUCAUUUGGAUUGGAAUAGCUUGGAAGGAAUGUGCCUUCUUGGGCAGUGGAAGGGUGGUAGACUCCGGGCUCGAGAUUUGAGUUGGGAAAUGUCAAAUCUACGAAAAAAUGUGGUGAGAAUGCCCCCGGCUCGAUGGUAGGUCCGGAUGGUUGAGAUAGUCUUGGGCCGACUUGGGCUGCUUGGAAAGCCACGGGAGCAGGCUGGGCCACGAGAGUGAGCUGCUCGGCAGGAGUAGGCUGGGCUACGAGAGUGGGCUGCUCGGCAGGAGCAAACUGCUUGGAGUGUGAUGCACAUGGGUGCGAGGCUUGGGCUCGGCUUGGUAACACAUUGAGUUCGGGUUUGGCUUGGAGUGACAUGACUUGGGCCGUGGCCUUGGUGUCGUGAGCCUUGGAUGGCACGGCUCGGGCAGUGGUAGCUGUGCCAUGGACCUCGCCGCGGGUAGUGGUGACCGUGAUGGCCACCGCGGUGGUUGCCAUGGUGGAGCCCCGUAGUGAUGGUGCCGCUCCUAUGAUCACAUUUAGCCUCGUGGAUCGUCGUGGUCCCAUUUCUUGAAUAUUAGAAUUUUCACUUAUGGAAUUUUCUAAAUUUCUAGCCAUUAUAUUUUUCUUAUACGUUUUAUCAAAGAACCUUUGCAAAUAAAAAAUUCUAAUAAUAAGAACGUAUGAAAAAAUAUUCAAAUGGACUAGAAAAUAGAGAAAAACCUUUUUAUGCGAGAGUCUUCUACGAGUAUAGAUCUCAACUCUCAAUGAAAGCACCAAUUUGUGGAUGCAAAUUUCUUCCUCCUUGAUCCUAGACAAUUUUGCACCUACAAAACAAUUAACACCUUAGGUUAAGGCCAAGAGCCUCACACGCCCACGAUGAAUGGGGGGGCUUUGGCCGAAGAACCUCUGAUGCCAAAGUUAGAAUUUAGAGAGAUAGAGUGUUCAGAGAAUUUUGAGAUUUUUGCCAAAGUGUUGGAAUGGAUUUUUGGUGAGAAUGGGAUCACUUUUAUAGGGAUAGGAAGUGGCCGGCCUAGCUAGGGUUUUUGGGUUUAAUUUAGGUUUAAUUAGUCAAUUUAUUUGGCUAAUUAAACCCUAAAGAAUAAAUUGGUGGUUACAAAAUUGAUUAUUUGUAUAAAUGGGGUAAUAAAAUGGAGAAAGGUGAAAAAGGUUAGGAAAAGGGAGGUGGCCGGCUUCUUAGUGGUUUUAGGUGUGAGUGGGUGUUUUAAUUGAUAAUUAAGGGAUUCAUUAGGUAAUUAAUCAAUUUUUAGGGAAUAUGAAAGGAAAAUAUUAUUUAGCUAAUUGAUUAGCUAAAUAAUGGAAUACAAAAUAUAUAGAACAAAUUAGGUAUUAGGAAUUACCUUAUAGAAAGGAUUUGAUGAAAUAAGCUUUAAAUUGUUACCUAUUUUGGGCACUUUUGACUUGGUUGAGGAUGAUUGUCUGCCGCUCACGCGUAGGAAUCUCGAUAUGCCUCAAGGGUAUUUUUGUUCUCUUUUACCCAAAAAUCCACGUGUCGCCUUGUGAUUAUUUUGGCUCCACAACAACCACGUCAGCAUUUAACAGACCAAUGGAUGGAAAAUCUAACGGAGGUAUUAUUUUGAAAUAAAAUAACAAGUGAGGUAUGAAAGUGAAAUGUUUUAAAGAUGUUGUAUGGGGUUGUAAUAGACCUCAAACUUGAGGGUCCUAUGUAAUUUACCUAUUUUUAUGUUAAUUAUGAAUAGGUCAAUCAUGUAGAACCAAAUUAAAAGCUAACAUCAAUAACAACUACCAGAGACAAAAGCUCUAAUCAAUGCUUCGGAAACAUAGUCUUGUAUCUCUAGGUGUAAUGAUAUAAUUUGUUGGAAACUUAAAAGAAAAUUGGUGAUUUUGUAUAUAAUCGAUAAAAAGUUAUAAUAGUGACAAUAUAUCAGUAAUAUUUAUGUUAAUUAGGAAUAGGUCAAUCAUGUAUUUAAUACUUACAUGCAUUUAAAAUAAACACCUUAUCAAUGUUUUUUUAACUGUGCUCAGUUUUUCUCCUUCGCUUUGGUUUUGUUCUAUUGGAUUUUUCAACUAUCAUUAAUUGUGAACAUAACUGAUCAUUGAGACACAAACAUCCAAGGGAGAGUACCGUGGAACAAAAUGUGGAUAUCUUUAUACAUUGUAUGGUAGUAAACCAUCAUAAACACCAUAAUAAUGUAGAAACGCUCUUGGGGUACCUUUGGAUGAUAACUCAUGUAUUUGUUGCCCUACGUAAAGAUGGCUAAUGAUAAUGGAAGUCUAAUUUUCUCAUCCCAAUCUCUCCUGUCUCUCUUGUUCUCUUUUCUCUAUAGUUUAUUUCCAACAAGUUGUGUUAUUUUUUUUUUUUAGUAUUGUUAAGCAACCAAUAGAUUUUAAUUAGCAGUCUUUGUUUUUUUCUUUUAUAUUUUUAAUCAAUUUCAGUUGCUUAUCCGUUCUAGCAAAUUGAGCUCUUUUACAGCAAUUUUUUUCUUUAAAUGAAAUUAUUAUUAUUAAAAGAGUGAGAAAAUUCGAAAUUAUUACAACAAUUUAAAAAAAAGAAGUUUCGAAUCAUAAACACAGAGGGAGUUUACAACAUUUUAAUUAAGAAAUUAGGCUUCAGCUCAACUCAUCUUUGCAACGUCGGUUCCACUUCACAUCAACAUGCAAUGUUUCAGAAGGUCACGCGGUUUUGGGGUUGUUGUGUACCAAUAAUAUUAUAUAUAUAUAAAUUAGGAUUGAAGGAUACACGCAUUUUGUAGAGCUUAUUUUGUUAUGUAUUUUAAUGAUUUAAAUGCUUACGUUUUUCUUCACUACAAAUGAGUGAAUUAAUGAUUUUAGAAUUUGUCUAAUUUUUUACAUUGAUUAUUUAUGAAUAUUGAAUUGAAAUAUAGACGAUUCAAAAAUCGUUGAUAUACAUUACAAAAUGAACUCCACAAAAUAAGCGUCAAAAUAUGUAUAUAAAAUGGACAGCGUGAAAGGCUUGGAAAUUGGAAUAGGUUUGAAAAUUGUGCUUUUUGUAGCAAAUUGUAGCAAAGUUUGCUUGGACUUUCACAACCGUAUAAAUUAUGCCGCAGCACUCUCUAUUUUCUCUCUCGCUCUAUAUCGUGGUCCCUCUCUCUCGCCGUCCUCGAUUGCUCGAACUCACUAUCCUUUAUUGCUCGAACUCACCGUCCUCAAUUGCUCGAACCCACUGUCCUUUAUUGCUCGAACUCACUGUCUCCAACUUCCUCUGUUUGGUUCCCGAUGAAGAUGGUAAAACAGUAGGGGCAAGAAAUUAUGACAAUGUUAGAUUUGCAUAUUAAUCUGGUAGGGCUACAAUUCUCCAAUCCACACCCCUUCCAUCUAUGCUAGUGUUUGUACCCAAUAUUAGAUAUCCGGUCUGUGCAAUCGAGAUCGUUGAAUGAGAAAAAUUCUAAGCCGUGGGAUCAAAUAUAAUGAUGUGGAUUAAAUAAGAAAAAUUUAAAUGUUUAUCUUGGUUGAAUUACCAUGAUAAUAUUGUGGAAUUAUCUUCUGCAUAACGGGAUAGCGAGAAAAGUCCAAGGGUGUAGGGAAGUUGUGUGGCUGACUACCGCUUUUUUUUAUGGUGUCAUUAGUAGAGUAAUAUCACACUUAACAUUUAUUUGUACCAUCUCUCUAAUAAAGAUAAAGACCAUCAAUGCAUAAAUAAUGAUACAAAUAUAUAAUAAGAGUAUCAUAUUUGUAACUAGAAUAGGAGAAGAAAGACUUCAAGAUGGGGUCAGCCAAAUAAUUAGCGUCAGGAUAAAAAUAUGAGUAAUGAUAUUUGUAAACAUCGAAAUUUCGGUAAAUAAAUGUUGACCGAUAAAUCAAAGUUUCAACGCUCAUGUAUUACAUAAAUUUUACACGUAGCGUAUGUCUAAACAAAAAAUCGAAAUAAGUUGGAAAAGUCAUCAAACAGGACACAUGUCAACACCUGGCAGAAACGACUUAUUUCAUCUGGAAUAUUAUAUUCAAAAUUAGGCAUUGGAAAAUUCUAUAAAUAGAAGCCAAUUUCAUUCAUUUGAAGGAACCAAAAUCAUUAGGCAAAAUUCUUGAAGCUCUGAAGCUCUGAAACUCCGAAACUCUCAAGCAUCCAGGUUCCCGAAGAAUCAAGAAAGCUCUCUUCGUUCUUCGUUCUUCGUUCAUCGUUCAUCCUAAGAUCAAGCUCCAACGGCCCUUUAGAUCAACAAUCAUCCACUAAUUCAAGAUCAAGCCCCGACGGCCCUUGAAGAAAGUGUUCUUCAUUCUUCGUUCAUCGUUCUUCCAAGAUCAAGCCCCAACGGCCCUUUGGAUUAACAAUCAUCCACCAAUUCAAGAUCAAGCCCCAACGGCCCUUGAAGAAAGUGUUCUUCGUUCUUCGUUCAUCGUUCUUCCAAGAUCAAGCCCCAACGGCCCUUUGGAUUAACAAUCAUCCACCAAUUCAAGAUCAAGCCCCAACGGCCCUUGAAGAAAGUGUUCUUCGUUCUUCGUUCAUCGUUCUUCCAAGAUCAAGCCCCGACGGCCCUUGGAUCAACAAUCCACCAAUUCAAGAUCAAGCCCCAAAGACCCUUGAAGAACUUCUACCAAUUCAAGAUCAAGCCCUGACGGCCCUUGAAGAAAGUGUUCAUUGUUCAUCAUCCGUUCAUCCCGAAGAAUCAAGAAAGCCUUAUUCGUUCUUCGUUCAUCGUUCUUCCAAGAUCAAGCCCCGACGGCCCUUGGGUCAACAUCAUCAACAAAUCCACACAUCCAACCGUUCUUCAAGAUCAAGCCCAAAAGCCCUUGAAGAUCCGUUCAUCACCGUUAUUCAAGAUCAAGCCUUAACGGCCCUUGAAGAAACACUCAUCCUCAAGAUCAAGCCCCAACGGCUCCUUGAAGAUCCGCUCAAAUCCACCUUCAAAGAUCAAGCCCACGGCCCCUUGAAGAAACAUCCAACAGUUCAUCCAAGAUCAAGCCUCGACGGCCCUUGGAUCAACGAAACAUCUACAAAUCAACACCUUACGGAGAUCGAAUCAGAUGAUCAAAUUAGAGAGAGAUUGUAACCCUAAAUCAUCAAAAUACAAAUAUUAUUUUGUGCACGUUGUUCUUAUCUCUUUCGUUUCAGGAAAUUUUCGUGUUCACAAUAUUCUUACCAUCUAAAUAUACUAUAAUUUUAUACCAUCUUAUGUGGCAAUUGAGAUGGACUUCCACAUAAGUUUUAAAAAAAUCUCAUGUCAGCUAAGGUGGAUAUUUACGAUUUUACGAUUUUACUCAAUGAUUUUUAUUAAUAAAAUAAUUAAAAAAUAAUAAUGAAACCUACUUGCUCCCGUUUUCAAGCCUCAUCGCUGGGCCUCCUCCCUCUUCGCUCUCCAAUUUCACCUUCCUUCACCAACGAUCGAUGGUGCUCGACCCCCUUCAUCAUUGCCAACUGGCCGAAUAUCUUGAUGGUGCUCCCAGUGAUUGUUUUGCUCUGCCACCAAAUCAAGUUUGCAAUUUUAAUGGUUUAUGCCUUCUGGCCAAGUGUUGGAUUUGAUAGGUUUUUAAUUCCAGCAACAUUGAACAAAAAUAUGAAAAGGAUUGGAUACGAUAUUUUCCUCUGUUCUACUGCUGAGGAUUUUCCGAAUAGAAGAAGAUUUGGAAGACAACCUCUUUUCUUUUUUCUUCAUGGACUUUUGGUUAGCACCAAAAUCUUUUCCUAAUCCUCUAUAGGAAUGAAAAUUUCAUUCCAUGUUAUAUCCCGAUGUUGUCCAAGGUUUUGGCUUGAAUUUUCAUUGGAAUUAUCAUAUGUUGGAUCAGAUCAGGUGGAGAGAUGAAACGUAUCUAACAAGGAAGUUGAACGGGUAGGGUUUGAGCAAAAAUAAACAGAAAUUCCACCUAGGUUGACACCUAAGCUUCCACAUCAUGUGGUAUACUAAAUGUGGUAUAAUAAGAUGGUAAGAAUAGCAUUAUUGAAUGGGUAAUGUUAAGAGAAAUUUUUAGUUGUGACGGGAACACGGAUGGUACACCAUGCGUUUUUAUGUAAAUGGUGGAAAAUUUUAAUUUUUAAAUUAUUAACCUUUUAGCACACAUAUCCCACCAUUUAUAUGAAAACACGUGAUGUAUCACCUCGUGUGAUAGUCACAUUGAAAAAUCUCUCGUAAUGUUAGGAAAACUAAAUUUAUAAACAAAAGUUACAAAUUAAAUGAUGGGUUACCAAUAAGAAUGAUUACGUUUAUCAAUGCUUAAAUAAUAAAUCAUUCAUCAACUUCCAGUCCUUUAGUUUUUAAAAUUUUGUCUAACAUUACCCUUUCAAAACUCAUGAAAAUAAUUUUCAAUUUUUUUAACUGAAAAGUGAAAGUUACUAAACAAGAUUUCAGUUUUUAGCUUUCAAAAAAAUAAAAACAAAAGCUAAAAAUAAAAUGGUUAUCAAACAUCCCUAGAAGUCAUUCUUAGUGAUAGUAAGGUCAUCUCCAACCGAAAGAUCCAGGGGGCUAGAGGGCCGAAAAUAGUCUGAAAACCAUUUCCAAUCAAAGGCCAUGCCAAAGGGGUCGUGGACCCCAUUAGACAAAAAAGGGCCAAAGGGCCAACUGGCUGGCCCCAGUUCCAACAAUAACUAGAUGACGUCAGUUAACCGUUAUUUUUGAAUUUUUUUUUUAACAAAUUUUAACUUUCUAAGCCAUUAAACAACAUUAAAUUAAGUAAAAAAGAAAAUUCCUAUAACUUCCUAAGUCAUUAAACAAUAUUAAAUUAAGUAACAUGAAACAACAUUAAACAAUAUUAAACAAAAUUAAACAAUAUUAAACAACAUUAAAUAACAUUUAACAACAUAAAAAUUAUACAACAUAAAAAAAAACAUUUAAGAACAUAAAAUUUAAAUGCCUACUUCAUGCUUCUUUUGGCCCAAAGAUGUGCAACAAGAUCCUAAUGUAGGUACUUGUUUGUGGCACGAGAGCGUAUCAUCCUAACCGUUAGAUUUGAUUUUUUUUUGUUUUCGGCCAAAUUUUUUUAAAUUUAAAAAUAAAUUAUGUUUGACCUUUUGGCCCUCGAUUGGAGAUAGUUUUUUUUGUGACAUGACUAUGUUUAGCCCUAUGACCCUUUGGCCCUCAGUUAGAGAUGGUAAGAAAUAUGACCCAACAAUGUUCAUUAAAAUAUUAAUUUCUUGAAGAGCCAGAGGGCUAAAACGAGCCAUCCUUCGGUUGGAGAUGGCCUAAGAAGAGACUAGAGAUAGAGAGAUUCCUAUACUUAGCUGUGAGAGUUUCCUAUAUAUGAUUUUCAUUAACAAGAUUGAACUGAUUACAUAGAGAAGAAGAUCAAGUAUGGUUAUUUUUAUUUGGGAGACUUUGGAUGUGGUCCUUAGUUAUGAAUAUUAUUUGAUUGAAAUCUUGUUGGUUUUUAAUUUUUUAUCAAGAUCCCUGAAAUUAAUGUGAUAAUUUAUUUCUAUGUAAGUUACUAUAUUUUUUUAAUUAGAAAUUAGAAAUUUUAGUUGUUUAUAUAAAUGAGAUUUUAAAUUAAAAAAACCAUAAUUUGUGGGAUUAAAAAUAUUAAAAUAUAAAUAUACUAUUGUGUGUGUGUGUGUGUGUGUGUGUGUAUAAAUAUGGGUACAUUCAUCAAAAUUAACCAAAAAAUUUAUUGUAUCAAAACAUGGGUACAUUCUUCAAAAUCACAAAAAAAGAAAGAUAUUAGGCUUAAUAACAUUAGUAAAUUUCUUCGAUUAAACUUGACAUGGAUACAUUUUAAAAUCAAAGAAAAAAAAUGUACCCAUAUAAGUUUAAAAAUGGAUUAGAAAAAAAAAUUGAAUAGAUUUUAUACAAAAAAAGGGUACGUUUUACAUAUAACAAAUUGGUAUAUUUAAGAAUGAGUACAUUUUAAGAUUAAAAAGUUUUACAUGAAUGGGUUCAUAUAAUUAGCAUGGGUACAUUUAGCAAAAUAAAAAGUACAAAUACAAAAAAAUAUAUGUGUACAAAUACAAAUAAACUUUAAAAAAUAUGGGCACAAAAAGAAAUUAAUAUAUGGGUACAAAUUAAAACCGAAAAGAAAAUUGGUACAAGUUAAAAAAGAAUUACAAAUUAAAAAUGGGUACAAACUAAAACUAAAAAUAUAUGAUAAAAAAUUUAGUCAUAAAUAUAAAUAUACUAAUUGUAACAUUUUUAACAUUAAAUGAAUAUAUUUAGACAUAAAAAAUAUAUUUUAUUAUUGAAAUAAUUAAUGAUGUUAUUAAUACCCAAGGACCUUGAUAAAAAAUUGAAAAGAAAUAGAAUUUUAAUCAAUGGAGUAGCAAAAGAAAAGAUGAGAACCUAAUUUCUCCUUUGUAUUGUGUAGACAUUAUAACUAUACAUUCAUAAUAACAUGAGUAAUGUUAUAUUUAUCACAUUUGUACUCUUUCUCCAAUAAAGAUAGGGUCCAUCAACACAUGUGGGUUCUAUUUGCCCAUCAACACAUGCGAAUCUCAUUUUUAUUAGAAAAAUAGUACAAAUAUGAUAUGGAAAUUAUGAUAAGAUCGCAAUUUUGUAAUAACAUAUAUACUCAACUAUUUAUAUACCAACUCAUCUCCCUUUAGUGUAGUUAAUAUUGUUUGUUCAACCAAAAAAAAAAAAACUGAACUUGUCAUAAUCAUUGAAUCCAUUUACCAUGAACAAACGGCAGUUUACUAAACUUGCCCUCAGAGUAUAUAUAAAAGGUGAAUCACAAUCUAUUGCAUUAAUAUAAGGAAACAAUUUAUAGGGUUUGACGGGUGACUUAAUAUGCUAUAUGGCACAAUGAAAAUUAAGUUCACACUUUAUCCCAAAUAAGGUGUUGCACCUUUAAUUUAUGGAUGCUGGUUUGACGUGUGACCGAAAUAAUCAAAUUGUAGCCAUUAAUCAUUUUACAAGUAAUAAUAUGUGGUUUUAUUGUUUACGAUUCACACAACAAUCUGCUAGGAAGUAGAAAAUGCAGUACUUGUCCCUCUCACAGAAGUCAUGAAUAAUUAUCAAAUUCAAAGAUAAAGAAAAACCACACAAUUUACAAGAGGAAAGAAAAUGAAGGGAUAAAGAAAGUAAGAAAGGAAUACCUCUAUGGGAGGACUCUUAUUUGCUUCAGAUGCCUACAAUAUUCAUCAUAUAAACACUGAUUAAGUAGUCAUCGAAAACCAAAACAAAUGUCGAACAUAGGGUGAAAAACAGAAAGAAUAACCGCAGCUCAUCAUACCAAUAGAGAUAGAACUGCCCGAUGCCCAAGUAUGACUGAAAAAUGGCAAUCCAAACAUGGCGCCUUCUAGCUCAUCAAACUGUCAAAACCUAGGUUCCACCAAAAAGAUACAAGUCACCUAGUUACUUGUAAAAUAAAAAUCUGUUUCAAAAUAGUGGAAAAUAUUAUUAACAUUGUUCAAAGUCCACAUUGUUGUACCUACCAAGAAACAAGAAGGAUUGUAUCUUAUCAUGAAAAAGAACAUAGGUACCUUUUCAAUUGUAAUUGUACAAAAAUGAGAGACCACUUCCGAACUUCUCUUGGAACUUCAAUCAAUUUCUGCCCACUUUUAAAUGCCUUGACAUACUUAAGCCUAUUUCUUUGAGCUUCAGUUUUGGCUUCUGAUGCCUUUAAAUUUCUUAAAGAUUCUUACCAAGUUUUACAAACUCACUUCUAUACAACCAUUUGUCAGUAUACAUACCAUUUUCUUUGAGCUUCAGUCUUUGCAACACCAAAACCCCCCAAAUAGACCCGGAAUUUUGCAAUGUGCAGGGAAUAUACAAAAAAAACCCUCCUAUCCAUCUAAAACGAAAUCAGAACGCAAACCACAAUCAAAAUCCGUAAAAUUAAUUUAGCCAACCCCUAAAUCUAAUAAUUCUAACAAAUAUUAUAGUAUCAAUUGAGAGAGAAUUUGAGAAGAUACCUAGAGAUGAAAGGAAGAGCGUUUCCUCUGAUAGGGGUUCCGUGAAAGCAUCUGUUGACCAGAAAAGAAAAGGCAAAAAACCCCAAAUUACAUAUCAAGCAAUUAUAGAUAGAUCGAACCUUGAAAAUUGAAAUUUCAAACAAGAGAAAGGUUAUAAACUUACAACGAUCUGGGUGUUGGUAACUGGGUUUGGAUUUGGGUUUCUGAUAAGAGAGAGAAUCGUAUGAGGAACCGAUAGAGGAACUGCACCGGCAACAGAGAGCAAUUGAUAUGGUGGAGAACAGACGAGAAUAGCUGCUUGGAUGGUCAAUCCAAGAAGAGAAAAUCUUGCCACAAUCGCGGUACUUGAAAAAAAAAAAAACAAGUUUAAAGGAGGGAAACAAUCGCGCCUUUUUCUAAUAGACUCUGUCGACGAUAUUCUUGACAAAUAGAUGCUUCGUCGGGUGAGCUUAUUUUUCACAACAUUUUAUUUAGGAUUGGGUUCGGUUGGUAAACCGUGUCAAAUUUCUUGUGCCACUUGCCAGCCACAUAUACAUAAUUACCGAAAAUCAGUUACCGUUAGCCAACCGUCUUCUUGCGGUUGCCAAAAAUCGGUUCAGCCAAAAUGAUUGGCUGGUUCGGUUGGUAAAUGGCACAACCGGUGGUUUCCACUUCUUCCUCGCUAUCUUCCAGUUCCAAGGGCUCAAUUUGAUUUUCAGAUUGGGAUGCUUGUUCGGUUGCAUUGUGUGGUUCAUUUUGGGUUAAUCCAUGUUGUGCACUAGUAGUUGAUUGGCUAGACUCCAUUAUCCUAAACAUAAGCAACAAAUAUACAUUCAAAAUAAUAUAUAUGUACGUGUAUAUAUAGUAUCAGUAAUCAUCAUGCUAUCAAUUUUGUUAACAAUAUUUUCUAUAUAUUGAUUUUGGCAUGAAUCAUAUACACAUACAUAUAUUUUUAAAACCCUAAAACUAAGGAGUCAUUUAUUUUCUAAACUCUAAAAUUGAGGAGUCAAGCAUGUAAAAAAAUACUUAAAAUAUCUAAAUAGAAAAAGAAAAAGAAAAAAAAAUAAAUAUAUAUAUAUAUCGGUAGGUAUGGCAUACCGCCGGCAUACAAAAUCAAUUACCAAAGCCAUGCCAUUAAUUGUCGGUUCGGUAAAAUGCCAACCGAUUAUGAAAAAAUGUCAAAACUAUACCAUACCAUUUUGAGCCAACCAGUAUGGUUUGGUCAGUAAAUCGGUUUAUGGCAAAAUUUCUCACCCCUAAUUUUAUUUGUCACCUUAAACCUAUUGGUUUCUAGCCUACAAUUCGGAUAUUUUGUUGGGGAAAGAUUUUUGUACCAAUAAAAUUUUGCUUUGUCGGCAAAAUGACAUUUUCUAGUAGUUAUAAUAUUAGGUAGAUCAAAUUUGUAAACUAUGUGAUGUGUCACUAAUAGGAAAAAAUUUCAGUGUGCUGAAAAUACGGUCUAGAACACCAAGUGUCAUAAUAUAUACUUGGUUGGAAAUCUUUUAUUUUCAAGUUUCCAACUAGUUGUAUUGUAACAGUUGGUGUUCCAAGCUAUUUUCUCCAUGCGCUGGAAAAUCUCUUCACUAAUUAAAAAUAAACAUAUUAAUUAACACUUAAGUAAUAAUCAAAGCAUCAACAACUACGUCAUAGAAUUUACGAAAUAUGAUCUUAAUUAAUGAUCUCCAUUACCCUUUAUCUUAGCGUAUACGUACGCCUUCACAUGUUUAUUUGCUGAUAUGCAGCUUGAGUAAAAAUUUCUUUUUAAGAACAUAUAUGUGAAUAUAAACAUAUAUAUCUAGUGAUCCAUGUUGCGUUAUUUAAAAAUAAACAAAUUAAUUAAUUAAUGAACUGUGUACCUGUCUGUGUAGAGUAAUCCAUAUGCAUGCUUGAAUCCUGAUCACCACGAAACCAUAAUAUAAGCUACUCAAGGCCCGGAAGCUAGGAUUGAAGAGAAAAACACCCAGUCAGAUUAAGCCAAUACAUCAAAGUUAAUACUUCCAAAUGUAAGCUUUAAGAUAGAAAAAUCACUUACUUCCUUGAGCAGUCGAGCUUCUUCAAUGGCAUGAAGCUUUUAGCAUGAGAUUGACUGCAUCACAACUAAAAUUUUCUCUUGGAAACUACAUAAGGAAUAGCAUGUAUACCUAUAACGUUGAGAAAGUACGCCAAUUUUUUCCUUCUGCACAUUCAUGUUUAAAAGUAAUCCUCAAAUGAACUUGCCCACAAUGAAAUGCAAUUUGAGGUAGUCGAGUGUGUUCCAUUUCCAUCCCAUCGGAAUUACUACUAAACUUUGAGAUGGUAGAGGAUUCAUGAAAUUUUUUACUUUUGAAAUAGUCUCCUUAGCAUUUCUCGACUAUAACAAUGAGGAAAUACUUCACCUUGUAUCAAACAAGGGAGACCGAAAAUCAACUACUAAUAGCAUCACAGAGCCAGCAGAAGAUUGAGGAGGCCAUGAAAAGGAAAGAGAAAAUACACUCUUUUUUUGUAAGGACAGAGAUAAUACAUUCAAUAAAGGGUACUGAUGUUUAUAUGCAAAGCUGAUUAGGUUUAAAUAGUCGUAUUUAUUCUGUACAGUGCCAAUAUUACCACCCGUUAGUACACUUUCAAGACACUGUAAUCCAGUGUAUGCACUAUGCAGUACGUAGUACUCCUCAUUUUUUUGGGGAAAUUCAUUAUUGGUCUUCAUAUCUUCUUUAUUUUCCUUGUCCUCAUUGUGCCACGUGUUUAAAUCACUAAUUAUAGGUAAUCUUUCAAUUUAAUUAAAUCUUAUGUAAAAAAAGAUAAUUAAAUAUCAUUUAGUAUUACAAUAUAGUGAUAUUCCUCUUUAGUAUAAAAUUUUUAUAAUUAAAAGCGUUCAGCUUUUUAAUCUUCAUUGGAAUAUUAUCUAUAAAGAAAAAUUAUUCGAAUCAGAGAUCAUUUAUGCAUUCAAAUGUAUAAAAUACAUCGACAGUGUGAGAACCAACUAAUAUAUUUUUGAUGAAGUACAAUUAUUGAAUACAUUUGAACGAUCAAAUGAUAUAUGAUUCAAAAUACAUAUUAAGAUAAUAAAUAUAAAAGAAUUGUUAUUUGCACUUCAAGAAUCUCAUUCUACACUCUAAAUUUUCUAUAUAUUAAAAGAAAAAUAAAUUUGUGAAAAGUGUAGAAUGAGGUUUUUUUAAAUGCUAAUAACACUUCUCUAAAUACAAUUAUGAAAUUAAUUAAGUAAAGAUACAUGACCUCGUGAAUGAUGAAUGUAUUAUUCAAAAAAAUAUUAAAAACAAAUUGAAAAAGGACGCUGUUGUUGCCACCACUUAUGCAAUGAUCGUCGCUGCCAUCACCAACCCCCAACACCCCAUUACAGCUCAUAAAAGCACAUCAUAAGCAAUUUAUGAAAUAAAUUUACUGGAAUACUAAUUUCCCCCUUAGUUUAGGUCACCAAUGUUUAAAUUUAGGGAUCGUGAUAUCCACACACAUUUUUUACUUCUUUCACACUUUUUUUUUCGGUUGUCGGAUCAGAUGAAUUGAAGAAAAUCAAUGAACAGAAAUUAACAAGGGGUGUGUGAGAAGUAAAAAUGAAUGUGUGGAUAACACACCCCUAAAUUUAUCACAACUUUCAUUCCAAAUUUAAUUUUUAUCCGUAGUUUUGUUUGUUCAAAUUUACUUUGACAUUUCCAUUAGUAUUAAAAUCUAAUUUAAAUUUUAGUGUUCAAGCUAGAAAAAGUGUUCCAUUUAAUAUUUAAUCUCAGUUUUUCUCUUUAUUCUUUUAUUGGGAUUUGGUUGCAUCGUAUCUCCAUUUUUCUCGGUGUUGUAUGUUCAUAAGGCCUGUGAAACGUUGGCACGGAGUGAAGGGUACUCACUUUUUGGCCCAAAAUGCAUAAGGCAUGUAGAUAUGUUAAUCAAAUUUUGUAAACUAAAGGAUAUAGAAGUUGAUAAUUAGAUUAUAAUUUAAGAUAAUACUAAGGAGACUAAAUUUGCAAACUAAAUGAUGUGUCACCAAUAAAAAUAAGCACGUUUAUCAACAAUUAAGUAAUAAAUCAAUCAUCAACUUUCAUGUCCUUUAGUUUCCAAGAUUUAAUAUACAAAUUUAGUCUCCCAAGCAUUACUCUAUUACUUAAGUAUUGAUUAACAGACUUAUUUCUUAUGGUGACACAUUAUUUAGUUUACAAUUUUAGUCUACCCAACAUUACUCUUUUGAAAUUGUCUUGUCCACUGAUAUAAUUCUAUUUUUCUUGUGAUCAAAACUUCAAAUGUUAGCAAGUCGCACGUAAAGUCGCUUAUGAGAGAAUGUGCUCACAUUGUAGUUGAAAGAUUAUGUGGCUAGCAACAUUACAAAUUUAAUUUGGUAUAAUUCUAAAAUAUAGAUUGAGGAAAAAAUGAUCACAUUAACUAGAAACUGAAAAGGUUUCAGCACAGUUUGUUCAAGCAAGAAAUUCAAUUUUGAUGCUACCGAUCUUAACAGCCUGAGCGCCGUACCUGGGCACCAAAGUCACCACCACACUCUCAUCAUCUUCAGCACCCAAAUCCUCCAACAGGUCCGUUAACCCCAACCUUAAACAACUCUUGCUCUUUUCCUUCUGCUUAUGUGGCACACUCACAAAACUCCCAGCAAACUCGCUCUUGUCGGGUCCACUCGGUGCCGCAUCCUCAUCGUCCACGUCAUUCACAUACACACAUCAAACUUCACAGCCACAUCUUUGUCAAGCUCAAUCCCCUGAAUCACCAAUAUCUCCUCCUCAUCCUCUUUCUCCUUCUUGCUCCUCUUCUUCGGCUUCGGCCUUGACACCACCGUACUUAUCUUCGUCUCCAAAUUUAUUGGAAAAUCUUUACCCGCCACCACCUUCCCUGAUGACGUCGUCUCAGUGGCCUUCGCCACUCCAGCCGCCUUUGCCUUUCUCGCAAGCUUUGUCCGACGUGGCGUCGGUCUAGACUUGAGCCAUGGAAUCUCAACAUCUUCAUACGUAUACCCUAGCUUUUUAUUAUCAAGAGUGUCCCUCACCGUGACCCUAACAAGCUCAGCAUUCUCGUCAUAAAACAAAAACCCCGUAUCCAACCAAUCCUUAUCGUUAAUAUCGUUAUUUUUAGUCCCUAUACUUUUCCAAAUAUUCCACAUUCGAUCUAUAUUCGAAUGGUGCGAAAAAAAUAUUGGAUCCCUUGCAGCGGAGUAAAAAUUCCCCAUGUCUUCAAAAUUAGGCUGCGUGUUAUCUCCGGUCCAUAAAUGAACCGGACCAUGUGGGGUCGUUUCGAUUGAACCGCCCCCUGGAUCUGGUUCAGUGUCAGCCCUGUAGGGCGAACCAAAGAACAACAGCGGUUUCUUGGAGUUGGAAACCAUCUGCCUAUACAUGAUUUUGAGGUUGGCGUCGAUUUGAGCAUCCUUGGACAUUGUUUCAUCCGUGCCGUUGAAGUCAAGAUCGAUGAGAGUCGGCGGCUGAUGGCUGGCAGCGCGGAGCUCGUCGUAAAGCGGAGAGUCCGGGUUAGCGAACAAGGCAGGGAGUUGCAUGCCAGCUGGCGCGUCCCAGUUCCAAAACGGCAACGCGAACGUCGGAUCGUCUAUGAGUUUGGCCAAGAUUCUUUCGUAGAAGUAUACGUAGUAACGAUGGAAGGGGAAGAAAAGCCAGCAUUGAUGGAUUUGGAGCUCGAGGUUGGGGAAGCCGACUUGGUCGUACGCGCCGUCGCAAUAGGCACAGUGGAGAUCGGCUUGCUGGGUGAAGCUACGCGGAUCGUCGUCCGGGAGGGCUUUCAUGAGCUCGAUGGCUUUUGAAUAUUUUUCGAUGUAGGCUUUAUCCACGGUGUGAGCUGCCGGCCUGACGCGGAGUUUGGUAGGGGAGGGGAAUUUGAAGUCUACGAUUUUUUGGGACGUUGGCGGGCAACAGUUGAUCGGGACUGCUCCACUUGGAAAGUCCGCAGCUCCGCAUUUGGCUAGGUCAGGCGGCAACACUGGCUUUGCAACAGCGAAGGGGUCGCUGCCAAGACCAGCCACUCCGGCUUUGCAACAGCGAAGGGGUCGCUGCCAAGACCAGCCACUCCACCGUAGAGGCUUCCGAGACCUAUAAGAAGAUAGAAUUCAGUUCUUGGCAGUAGAGGACUCUAUUGCAGGGAAAAACUGAUUUGAAUUAGGAAGGCUUAAGUAGUUUUCCAUAAGGAUUUUAAUAGGGAAUCCAUAUUCUAAUAUGAGAAGGAUAUGUGUGUACAUAUAUAUAUAUAUAUAUGGCAAUCUCUUCUCUCACAGGUGUGUGCUCUUUUGGAACUAAGCCCUAUUCUUAGUUUGAGUGAUAAAUACCCUGACAGAGAGAAGAAGAAUUGAUGUGCUUUUCAGGUUGAUCGAGAUCCACCAUGACUGCAUCAAACGGGAGUUCUACAGGUUAGUAUAAUUAGGUUUUAUUUGGAUUGAUGUUUUGUGUCUACUUGGUUGUAGUUUAAGUAACUGAAUCUUGCAGCUAGAUUUUGGUUUACAUGUGGUAUCAGAGCCAUAGAUUCAUGUUCUUAAAUUCAAUCGAUAAAAUUGAUUGAAUCCAAAAUAAAAUUCCGAUCUUCAGACUUCGAAACAGGUUCUGGUAGUUAAAAUUAGGAAAAGAAGAAACGGUGCGUUUUGAUUAAAAUAUGAUGAUUAAUACUUGACCGUUAAGAGCUAAUAAACUAUCUUCUCUUCCGAAUUGGGAAUACAAAUCGACAUCUAUCGAUUUCGAUUUCGGGGUUUGAAAAACUGGGUUAUAUGACAUCUAUCGAUUUCGAUUUCGAGGUUUGAAAAACUGGGUUAUAUGAAUUGUUAUUGAGUAUCCACAAUUUAUAUUAAUUGCUUCCGCUGCUGGGUGUUGAUGCUCAUAGAACAAACGGGUAUGUCUCCUGAACAUUGAAUUGAAAUUUGUUUUUUAAUCAAUCUUAUCUUGAAUUUCAUUAUGUUCUACAGCAUGAUUCGAAUAGUGAGCAUAAAAAUAUGCUUAUUUAUGCUGAUUAGUCCUAUGUUUAUGCGUUUUUCUCUAACCAUCUAUGGAAGGGAGUUCUUCGAUAAGAACCUCUGCAGAUUUCACUUGUUUUAUGCAGAAAGUUUUAUGAAGAACUGUUCAUUUGAUAAAGAUCUGCUAAAACUGUGUUCUUAAAUGGAAAAAUCUUUUAUUCUAUAUGUGCUUAUCAAUUCUUCAUUGUUAAGAUUAUAUAUAUGGAUAAAAGGUUUUGAUGAUAUGAUGUACAAAGGAUUGUGAGAUGAAAUCUGGAACUCUAAACGUUCUUCUGUGAUUCAUUGUGAUUUCAUUGUGCUACAGUGUCUGCAAUAUCAAUGAAGACUCUGAAUUUGGCUAACAUCCCAAUUCUUACUGGUGGGGGAAAUUACAAGAAGUGGAGAAGGGAAAUCAGUUUGCUGUUGACUCUAAACGAGUUUGAUAUAGCAAUCGAGAAUCCCAAACCCGUGGUCAAUGAUCAGAGCAGCACAAGGGCUGAAAAGGCAGAUUUUGAGAGAUGGACAAGGGCUAAUAAGGUAGCAUUGUCCAUCCUUGAGAGUGGCAUGACUGAUACAAUCAGAUGAGGAAUUAAGAAGCACGAUUUGGCUGCUGAUUACCUAAAAGCUAUUGAAAAGAAAUUUCAAGAAUCUGAAAAAGCUGAAGUGAGUCAGUAUAUGUCUUUAUUAACUACUUACAAGAUGGAGGGUACAAGCUCUAUAAGGGAUCACAUAAUGAAGAUGACAUAUGCUGCAGAAAGACUCAAUGCAAUGGAUAUAAACAUAGGUGAAAAGCAGUUAGUAUUCAUGAUUCUUCAAGCACUUCCCAGUAAAUAUAGUCAGUUGAAGAUCUCCUACAAUACUCAAGACAAAAACUGGGAUAUUGAUCAGUUGAUUGCACAGUGUGUGCAAGAAGAAACUCGUCAAAAACAAGAAAGAGGCAAAGAAGUUGAGGACAUCAACUUUGUGCAAACUAUAAAUGACAAAAAGCAGUUCAACAACAGAAGCUUUUCUGGUUCUGGUAAGAGUUCUAAGCCUUUUAAAACUUCUAAUAAGUUCAGUAAUUCUGCUAAAGUAGUUGACUCCCCUAGAAAAUCUAUCAAGUUUAAAGCUAAACCUAAAGAUGUGUCUAAAUUAAAAAUGUUUUUGGUGCAAAACUAAGGGCCAUUUAAAAGUUAACUGUGAAAUUUUCAAAGAUUAUGUAAAGAGCAAAGAAAAGGAACAAGUACUUGUCUGUAUUGAAUCAAAUUUGUGAAGUAUACCUGUUGAUUCUUGGUGGUUUUGAUAUACCGGAUGCUCAGUGCAUAUAACUAAUUCUUUAAAUGGUUUUCAAAAACAAAAGGAAUUUGGAAAUGCUACAUAUAAUGUUUUUGUUGGGGAAGGAACUAAAGUUGCAGUAGAGUCAAUUGGGAUAGUCAAAUUAGUCUUAUGUUCUGGUUAUGUUUUAGAGUUGAAAGAUGUGUGCUAUAUGUGCCUAAGAUGAGAAGAAACUUAAUUUCUGCCCUCUAAAAUUGUAAAAGAUGGUUUUUCUUUUCUUGGUGAUGAUGAGUGCCUCAAAAAUUUUCAAGAAAAACUGUCCUUGUCCUAACACUAUUUUAGGGACUGCUUUUUUGUCUGAUAAUUUAUGGAAUCUAAAUUGCACUGUUAAGGCACUCAAUCACACGAUUUUCAGCAUUAGUACUAAGAGAAUGAUAGGUCAGGAUACUUCAUACAUUUUAUGGCACAAAAGACUAGGACACAUCUCUAAAGAAAGGAUAAUUAAGCUGUAAAAAACUGACUUGAUUCCAAAAUUAGAUCUUUCUACUGCAACUGAAUGUGUUGACUGCCUAAAGGGUAAAAUGACCAAUUUUAGAAAAACAGAUGCCAAAAUGAGCCAGGGGUUACUUGAAAUCAUACACACUGAUAUCUGUGGUCCUUUUCCAGUUAAGACAAUAUGUGGAAACAAGUAUUUCAUUAAUUUCAUAGAUGAUUUUUCAAGGCUGGGAUAUACCUUUCUGAUUAAUGAAAAAGCUGAUGCCCUUAAGUGUUUUAUAAUUUACAAAACUGAGGUUGAAAAACAGUUAGGCAAGGUUAUUAAAAUUGUUAGAUCGGAUAGGGGAGGUGAAUACUUUGGCAGGUACACUGAAUCCGGGCAGCAAAAGGGACCAUUUGCUCUCUAUCUCGAGAAGAAUGGUAUUGUGGCGCAGUACACCACACCUGGAACGCCUCAACAGAAUGGUGUUUUUGAAAGAAGAAACAGGACUCUUAUUGGUAUGGUUAGAAGCAUGAUGUCCAGAUCAAAAUUGCCAGGAUUCUUGUGGGGAGAAGCUUUGAAAACAGCUAAUCAUAUAUUGAAUCGAGUUCCAAGCAAGGCAGUAUCUACCACACCCUAUGAGUUAUGGCAUGGGAGAGUUCCUAGUUUUACUUAUUUCCAUGUUUGGGGUUGUAAAGCAGAAGCUAAGUUAUAUAAUCCUAAUGAAAGAAAGCUGGAUUCAAGGACUCAGUCAUGUUAUUUUAUUGGCUAUCCUGAGAAAUCAAAAGGAUACAGGUUCUAUAUCCCUCAAGGUCACACUCGGAUCCAAGAGACACACAAUGCAGUUUUCCUAGAAGAUGAAGAUGUCUCUCAUUUGUCAAGGGAAAAUUUCAUAUUUGAAGAGAUGCAUUCAGAUGGUGGGGACCAUGUGACAAUGGAUUAUAAUAUCGGUCUCAUUGUUUCCCAAUCAAUCAUCAAUUGCCAUUGAAGAUAUGAGUGAAGAUUUAGGAGUUCCUGAUGACAACUCUGUAGGAGUUGAUUCCACAACAUAAGCUGCAACAAUUCCUUUUGCAGAAGCAUGUGAACCAGUUGCUGUUCCACCUCCAGUUGAAAUCAGAAGGUCACAAAGAGCUCGGAAAACCACUGCAAGCAAUGACUAUGUGUACUUAUAAGAGACUGAGUUCGAUAUUGGUGACAUUUGAUGAUCCUCUUACAUAUACUCAGGCAACUGAAAGUCCUCAAGCAGUUCUUUGGAACAAUGCAAUGAAGGAUGAGUUAGAUUCAAUGUCCAAAAACCAGGUUUGGACAUUGGUGGAAUCCAACUCUGAAAUUAGGCCAAUAGGCUGCAAGUGGGUAUAUAAAACCAAAAGGGAUGCUGCUGGAAGAAUUGAAAGAUAUAAAGCAAGGUUGGUUGCUAAGGGGUUUACUCAAACGGAGGGGAUCGACUAUAAUGAUACUUUCUCUCCAGUUUCCUCCAAAGACUCCAUGCGAGUUAUCAUGUCUUUAGCUGCCUACUUCGAUCUUGAAUUACAUCAAAUGGAUGUAAAAACCGCUUUUCUUAACGGAGACUUACAAGAGGCUAUAUACAUGAAACAACCUGUUGGAUUUGUUGAAAAGGGGAAAGAGAAUUUAGUAUGCAAGCUCAAUAAGUCCAUAUACGGCUUGAAACAAGCAUCAAGGCAAUGGUACCUAAAGUUUGAUCAAAUUGUCUCUGCAUAAGGUUUUGUAGAAAACAAACUGGAUGAUUGUAUAUACAUUAAGUUCUCAGGUUCCGAGUUCAUCUUCUUAGUACUUUAUGUUGAUGCCAUUCUCCUAGCUAGUUCAUGUCCCCAAUUGCUUCAUAGCAUUAAGAGAAUGCUAAGUGAUAACUUUGAGAUGAAAGAUCUUGGAGAAGCACAUUAUGUACUAGGAAUAGAGAUUGUUCGAGAUAGGAAAAUGAGGCUCCUUGGUUUAUCUCAAAAGGGGUACAUUGACAGAGUGUUGGAGAAAUUUCAUAUGGCAAAUUGCAAUUGUGGUCAGGUUCCAGUCAAUAAAGGUGACAAGUUUUCGAAGAUUCAAUGUCCAAGAUCUGAUUUGGAGGUGAAGAAAAUGCAAGCUAAGCCUUAUGCCUCGUUGAUUGGAAGUCUUAUGUAUGCAACUAUCUGUACAAGGCCUGAUAUUGCCUUCAUAGUUGGUAUGCUAAGACGAUUUCAAGCAAAUCCUGAGAAGCACAUUGGGGGUGGCAGCCAAGAAGGUUCUUCGAUACUUGCAGAGAACCAAAACUCACAUGUUAGUAUAAUGGCCGAACUGAUUCUUUGGAGCUCAGGGGGUAUAUACUCGGAUUUAGCUGGAGAUGUGGAUGACAGGAAGUCCACAGGGGUUAUAUCUUCAUACUCAAUGGAGGGGCAGUUUCGUGGAAAAAUGCAAAGCAAACUAUUAUAGCCACAUCAACUAUGGAAGCUGAGUUUGUAGCCUGUUUUGAAGGCAUGAAACAGGCAGCAUGGUUGAAGAAUUUUUUGACAGAUUUAAAGAUUGUGAAUUCGGUUCAGAAACCAGUAACAAUGUUCUGUGAUAAACAACUCGGCUGUGUUUUUUGCUAAGAAUAAUAAAAGGACUUCAGCAUCUAGAUUUGGAUGGACGAAGUUUCUUAAGGUCAGAGAACAAGUCAAGAAAGGAGUUAUUGAAGUACAGCACAUUAGCACUACUAUGAUGAUUGCUGAUCCCUUGACUAAGGCACUGCCAAUUGGAGAAUUCAAGAAACAUGUUUCUUCAAUAGGAGUACUAGAAGGUUUUGAUCAGUGGGAGUAAUCACGUGUGUGUUAAAGGCUUGGGAUUGCAGAAGCAGAAGUAUAUAUGUGUUUCAAGAACUGUAUGUGCAAUUCUGACAAGCUGAACUAAGGAUGCUUUAUGUUUUAACUUGCUUUAGUUAGUUUGUUAAGGUUGUUUGUGUUUUAAUAAGUGUCCUUGUCUGCUACUCAAUACUUUGGCUUUCAGGUGUUGAGGUACGGAUACUGGACUGAGUUAGAAUUUAGUUUCAUUAGUAACUUUGAAAGAACAGUUUGUCUGUUUUUUAAGUUUGUGGUUAAUGAUGUUAUAUAGUCAAUUACUAUGUUGCUUUUCUGUGAAGAUUAAUGUGUGUUGUGAUCUUUUGAAAAGUGGGAGCAUAAUGUUUGACGGUUUAUGUUAGUCAUGAGUCAUAUUUACAAAUUGAAUAUAUGUGAGCCUUGAAUUAAUACUACAAUUUGGUUGUGGUCUGAGAUUCUUGGUUUCUAUAUUUUGAGAUGUAAUGGGACAGUGGUCAUGAUGGUUAAAUCUUAGAUGAGGUUAUGUGAUCACUUCUUAUGAUUGGUGACGGCAAGGUUUGAUCUUUGUCUCAUGUUCAAGUGGGAGAAUGUAAGAAUGUGAACAUGAGAUAAGAUGAUCGGAUAUUAGUUGUUUGAGUCCAAUCCGAAUAAGAAAGCCUCUAAGAAGAUGGAAUUCAGUUCUUGGCAGUAGAGGACUCUAUUGCAGGGAAAAACUGAUUUGAAUUAGGAAGGCUUAAGUAGUUUUCCAUAAGGAUUUUAAUAGGGAAUCCAUAUUCUAAUAUGAGAAGGAUAUGUGUGUACAUAUAUAUAUAUAUAUGGCAAUCUCUUCUCUCACAGGUGUGUGCUCUUUUGGAACUAAGCCCUAUUCUUAGUUUGAGUGAUAAAUACCCUGACAGAGAGAAGAAGAAUUGUUGUGCUUUUCAGGUUGAUCGAGAUCCACCAUGACUGCAUCAAACGGGAGUUCUACAGGUUAGUAUAAUUAGGUUUAUUUGGAUUGAUGUUUUGUGUCUACUUGGUUGUAGUUUAAGUAACUGAAUCUUGCAGCUAGAUUUUGGUUUACAUAUUUUUCGAUGUAGGCUUUAUCCACGGUGUGAGCUGCCGGCCUGACGCGGAGUUUGGUAGGGGAGGGGAAUUUGAAGUCUACGAUUUUUUGGGACGUUGGCGGGCAACAGUUGGUCGGGACUGCUCCACUUGGAAAGUCCGCAGCUCCGCAUUUGGCUAGGUCAGGCGGCAACACUGGCUUUGCAACAGCGAAGGGGUCGCUGCCAAGACCAACCACUCCGGCUUUGCAACAGCGAAGGGGUCGCUGCCAAGACCAGCCACUCCACCGUAGAGGCUUCCGAGACCUAUAAGUACAUUUCUUCUGUCUAGGUUUACUAGAGAAGGGUUUUCAUGGUCGUGAUCGUUGGAGCUAGUGGAAGGGUUUUUGUUUUGGUCACUACUAUUAUUUGUGGCUUUGCACGAGACAGCUUGUAAAUUGGAAUGCCUAGGGUUUCCAAAUGAGGAUAUUCGGUGAUACUUUUGGGAGAAAGGGGAGAGAGAAGUUGUGGGGAUGAUACUUGUGGCGGAGGUGACGAGUGGAGCUGACAUAGAAGCCAUGGUACUUGACUCUGAAUAAUACGUUGUAUUGGCUUUGCUUUUAUAAUGUGUUCUAGGUUUUACGUUUCUUUGCACGGGUGGCAGGCCGUACACACGUGGUCGGUCCUUAAGGGUUUGACGAGGAAUACUACGCAGUCAUUUAGUACAUGACAACCAUACACUAUAGCACGUGGCAUGUAUUUAGAGAUCGAGAGAGAAUUGGGUAAGGUUCACGAGGGAUUGUAGUUUCAGAAGGUGAAUUGGUUUUGGUCUUCUUGUGUACCAAUAAUUUUUACUUAGUCAUUUAGUGCAGGACAACCAUGCACUAUAGCACGUGGCAUGUAUUCAGAGAUCGAGAGAGAAUUGGUUGGGUAAGGUUCACGAGGGAUUGUAGUUUCAGAAGUUCAAGCGGUUUUGGGCUUGUUGUGUACGGCUGUGGGUCUGCUGUCACGGACUCUCUGUCUCAUUUGUGUCUUAUUUUUUAUUUUUUGACACGUUUUAACGUCAAAUCAUUAUAGCAAUGUUAUGCAAUUGGGAGCUAAAUGACCGAUGCUCUUAUUUUUUAGUUUGCUUUUUUUCCAGAUCUGAUCAAAUCAUGAUAGCAAUGUUAUGCAAUUUUCAAGAGGGAGAGAUGCACCUGGGAGAGAAACGGUACGGUGACUUCUAAAUCACCGUCCAACAGAACAAUUCUCAGUAGAGACUACUAGAGAGAGAUGCACCUCACCAAUGAAAAAUUUAACUGCAAAAAUUCUGGGUAUCGGGAGUUGUGGGGUGGGUCUUGGCAGUUUUCUUAUUUCUUUGAAUUUUUUAUAAUUUAUUUUAUAAAAGUAACAGUGUUUUGUGGGGGUUAAAUUGUAAAACACGUGUCAUCAAACUAAAUAAAGAGACACCAAAGAGACAUGGAAUUCGGGACAACAGACCCACAGCCGUUGUGUACGGAGGCAGACUCUCUGCUCUCCUACUUUCUGUGUCCUCCUGUUUUGUGUAGUCACGAUUAAAUCACGUCAAUAUUUUAUAUUAUUAUUUUAUAGAUAUAAUAAGACAAAAAAGAAUAGUAAUUUAAAAUAUUAACGUGACUUAACUGUGACCACACGAAUAGGAAGGCAUGAGAAGUGGGAAGGCAAAGAAUAUGCCUCCGUUGUGUACCAAUAAUAUUAUAUAUAUAUAUAUAUAUAUAUAUAUAAUUAGGAUUGAAGGAUGUAGAGCUUAUUUUGUUAUGUAUUCUAACAAUUUAAGUGCUUAUCUUUUAGGUUUUCUCUUAAACAGCAUGCCUAUAAAAAAUCACCAAAAUUCAAACCAUAUGACCAUUAGAUCCAUAGUCAUUUUAGUGUUAAAUGAACUUCACAAAAUAAGUCUCAAAAUAUGUAUAAAAAAUGGACAGCGUGAAUGGUUUGGAAAUUGGAAUAGGUUUGGAAAUUGUGCUUUUUGUAGCAAAUUGCAGCAAAGUUUGCUUGGACUUUCACAACCGUAUAAAUUAAACUGUUCGCUUUGUUGGGAAAAACAAGUUUGCCGCUGGUCUUGGGUUCCAAGAUCGGCCAAUUUGACGGCACACUUUUUGGCGUUGAGAAGCAGUACGGAGAUGUGCAGAUUAACUUGGAUUGAUACUCCUCCAUCUUCGUUGGUUCGUGUAUUGAACAAAGAUGGCCUUCCUUGCCCUCCUUAAUAUUUUUUGUUCUUCCUGCAGUGGAGGCGGUGACGCCUUGCUCUUGGUGCAGCGUCUAGUGUUCUGUACCCUCCUCUUCUGCAUAUGUUUGUAUUUCCCCUCGUUGCCCCUUCUAAGUGGGCUUCCUAUUGUUUUGGCUUCGGCCCUGGUUAUGAAAUAUUUCCAAUCUUACCCAAAAAAAAAAAAAAAAAGAAGAAGAAGAAGAAGUCAAGCACGGUGGGAGACUGGUCAUAGUUUCUAGAUUGAUGCUCUAAUUCUAAUGUUAUACAACGCGUACGCUAAAAUAUUUUUAUCAAAAUAUUAGUUUUAGUGUUAUCAAAACAAUAAUGUUAUUCUUACCAUGUUUUUGUAUCACAAUUAUAUACCACCUUAGAUGGCAUAUGAUGUAGAUAGCCACAUCAUUUAAAUUAAUAAGCAUUUAAUUUCAAAUGUUAAUCAAUAAUUAAUAAAAUGAUUGUUAAUUAAAUGAUGAUUAUGGUAUACAAGGAGUCUCCUUCUUCCUUCCCCUUUCCAUUCUGCUUUUUCUUCCUACCACUUUCUGUUUUUUUUUUCAUGCCAGUUUUUGUAUUGAUUUCUAUUGAUUUCCAUGAUUAUGGUCAAUCUUUAUAGAAUUUACUCGUAUACCACAACCACCAUUGAUUUCUAUCUCUAGACUCAUGCCCCGUAGCCCUAAUCCUCAUUCCCCUUCAAGUAUUUCUGUCUCCAAUCUUCUUUGGUACUCCAUGGUUGUUCAUCUCGUGAUUUUUUUUUAUUAUUUCAUUAAGUAACGCCUAUUAGCUUUCAUGCGAAUUAGGAGUCAAAAUCAAAUUUGUCUAUCGGAUUAGGGUUCAUGCCCAAUUAAGUUACUAACGCAAGAGAGAUUUUGAAGUCUACAAUUUUCCUUAUUUAAGUGUUUUAAUUAAUAAGAAAAUUGAAAUUAAACGAUUUAGCUUGUCCAACUCAUCUGCCACCUAAGAUGGUAAAUAAAUGUGGUAAGAAUAGCAUUACUCUUAUCGAAAUUACAAAAAAAAAAAAAAAAAAAAAAAAAAGCUGAUUCAAUAUUUAGUUAUUAAAAAAAAUAUAAAAAAAGUGAUCAAGUAACUAUCCAAUACCCAUGUAUUGGGUGCUUUGUUUGAAAAUUUUCAAAAUGAUAUUGGGCUCGUUUGGAUAUGUUUUUAAAAUGACUGAAAGCGUUUUUAGAGAAAAUAUUUUUUUGAUUCCAAAAGCACUUAAAGUGUUUUCUGCAAAAAGCACUUAAAGUGCUUUCUGCAAAAAGCACCAGUUAUGUGCUUCUUCCUAGAAGCACUUUAAGUGUUUUUCAAGCAUUUACUUGCUUUUUUACUAAGGAUUGGUUCCAAAAACAUUUUCACAAAAAGUGUUUUCAGUCAUUUUAAAAGUACAUUCAAACGAGCUCAUUGUUUUUCCUAUUUUAAUCAAGUGCGUCGUCCCCUGUUGAGAAUGAAUCUCAUAUUAUGGGGAGAGGGGUCUUGCAUGGAUGAGAGGAGGGACCUUGCAUGAGCUUAUAAGUAAGUUGGGUUACUCUCUAUAUUGCCAAGAGAAAUUUUAUUUGGACCUACUUUUCCUCUCUCUAAACCCAACUUUAAUAUUUUGUUACCUAAACUCUCUAGUUUACCCUCAUAAAUUAUAAACAUAAAUAAACUGGAAAAAGAAAAACUCAUCAAACCUAUUUCCCAACUGUUCUGGCGUCUCUUCCCUGUAUUUGUUGGGUCUAUCUCCCUCCCGACUGUUUUUUUUCCCUGAUAUUCUCUGUGUGUUCCCCCACCUCUCCCACACCCACCGAUUCUUUGUGGUGGCUAUUCCACCCAACGUCCAGUGAAUCUUUCCAUUUUUCUUCUAUUGCGCGUGAUAGGGCCUUGCUGUUAAUAGGCAAAACUAAGCGGCAUCGUCGACUCUGUAAGCGACUUGUUGCAGAAGUCCAAAAUGGAGUCAAAAGGAUUUUGUAUUGGGUCGGGUUGUUGAAGGCGAUGGCUGAUUUAGCAAUCUCGCCUAACUACUUCUAUAUGCAGGAGAAGGAAGAGGGAGGAAGGUCUAAAGUGGUGGUUGAGUGGUGGCGAUGUAUGUGGGUUCUAUCUCGGUUGAAUGGGUGUAGAAAGAUAUUUAAUUUUCAGUUUCUUAUUUUAUUUUGUAUAAGGGAUAAUAUCGGAAUUACAUAAAAAGUUUUUUUUAUAGCUGGGUGUAGAAAUAGUAUUGUUGGGUCUAAAUAAAAUUACCCUAUUGCCAAACAUAGUAUUGUUGGGUCUAAAUAAAAUUACCCUAUUGCCAAUUAGCUUUGUUUGAAAAUUUUCAAAAUGAUAUUGUUUUUACCAUUGAACCCUUGUUAUAUACAGUGAUGGCUAAUUUGUCAAGUUCUACGAAGUUGGGAUACCCAGCGUUUUAGCAUAUAACAUAACUUAGUAUUACAAGCAUAAUUAAUUAAAAUAAAGGAAAAUGAAGAGGAUAGCUUAGUAUUACAAGCAUAAUUAAUUAAAAUAAAGGCAAAAGUAACAGCCUGUCCCUAAAAAUGACGAUUUUAUAAUCUUAACACGUGAGUUUAUGAAGAUGCCCUUCGAGGCAAAGUGUUGACUUGUGUUGACUACCGCAUCGUGUCAUGUGAGACUCAUCUUCUUGGCGUAUUCUCGUUUUACUUGUCACUACGGACGCAUGGGCGCAAACGGGACAUGAUUUGGAGCUAUAACGAAUGAGUUAUUAACAUUUAAAGUUAAGGACAUUUUAGUAAAUUAAUUAAUUUCAGAUUAUGUUGAGGGGAAAAUCUGGAGUGCCGGUGGGUGGCCCAGAUUAAAGGAAAUGAAGAAUGGAUGGUGGAGGUGUAAAGGAAAGAAGAUAAAAGAAAAAUGAGAGGAAGUGUGUGACUAAUAGGGAGAUGAGAGAGUUAGGAUGGCCCAAUCAGAAACAAACGAAAGGAGGAAAAAGGAGAGAAGAGGGGAGCGGGGGAUCCCUUCGACCCGGUUCCAUUUUCCGACCCGACCCGAUCCUUUUCAUCUUCUUUGAUGGUUUUUCGUCGGUUUUUUCCGACGAACCACGUUAUCUAACCCCUUGGAAAAUGUUCCACAACCUUCCCUCAACUAUUACAAUCCAAAAUUGUAGAAAUUUAGCCAUGAAAGUAUGAAAACCACACCGGUGGGUGCGGGAAACCCUUGUCGUCGAUUCUCCCAUUAUUGCAACGAUUUUCACCAAUUACCACCACCUACAACAUCCUCUUGAGGUCUGGAAUAAAGCCCAAACAAGUUUUGCACUACUACAAUAUUAGCUUUAGAUGGCAGAUGAUGGUGGCGGAUUUAGAAAAAUAUUGUCGGAUAAAUUAUAUCUGACACAUUAUUUAAUUAGUGGUGAAUAUAAGAAAAAUCAUGUCGGUUAUAACCGACAUAAAUUCGUGGCAGAUACUAGCAGAUAUUAAAAAACUCAUGUCGGUUAUAACCGACAUAAAUUCCUAGCGAAUAAUUACUGACAGAUAUUAUAAAACUUCUGUCGGUUAUAACCGACAAUAUUUUUGAAUUGGGGGAAUUUAAAAUUUUGGGAGGGAAUUUAAAAUUUUGGGAGGGAAUUUAAAAUUUUGGAGGAAAUUUUGGGGGGAUUUUUACCCAUAUUAAUUCAUGGCGGAUAAUUACUGACGAAUAUUAUAAAGCUCAUGUCGGUUAUAACCAACAAUAAUGAAAAUGUUUAUGUCGAUUUUUAUUAAAAAAAUGUUUCUGUCAGUUUUAACCGACAUUAAUGAAAAUAUUCCACAGUAAAACCCCUACUUCUUCUCCUUGUGCUGGUGCCUUCUCCCUUCCCCCUUCUUUCCCCCUUUUCUCUUCUCCUCAUUUCCUUUUCCUUUGUAUUUUUGAUUUUGACAAGGUCUCUCCUUUAUUUGAUUCUUUGUUGUUCAUCUCUCACAAAUGUAGAGAGAGUAAAGGAGAUGCUUAGAGCGCUUUCUUUGUUCCUUUUUUUUUUCUUUUCAUUUUUUCCCUUUUCAAACUCCGACUAUGUCUUACAUGGCCGGUCCCAAGCCCGGAUAAAGGAGGAGGGGGAGGGCGUCAGGUAGUCGACAGCCGGCACUCCAUGAUCACGUCGAAUCCUUAUGAAAAUGAAUCCAGAACAAAAUCGCGCUAAAGCUAGGGCGCCACCCGUAAGUGGCGCGCUGUGUGGCCCGAGCACAGUGAUAAGUGAGCAAGGGUCGCUGUAUCUCCAUCGGCACUCGGAUGCAGUGUUAAAUGAGCAAGGGGGCCAUAGAAACUUCUUUUCGAACGACUCCACUCAAAGUUGUUUGGGAGCAUAUGCUCCUAUCAACUUUACCCGGGACACACAAAAGAAGUACUUUGAUCCUAUUAGACGGGGGAGGGUGAAGAAGCUAGGACAGAAGGGUAGAGUUCAAGAGAGCAAAAUGCGUUUAGGAACGUGGAAUAUAGGAACCUUAACGGGAAAAUCUAUGGAAGUAGUGGAAGUUAUGGUGAGGAGAAGGAUAAAUAUUAUGUGCCUACAAGAAACUAAGUGGGUUGGUAGUAAGGCAAAGGAUCUAGAAAACUCAGGGUUUAAACUUUGGUAUUCGGGCACAAAUAGAACGAGAAACGGUGUUGGCAUCAUCGUGGACAAGACCUUGGUACAAGAUGUUGUAGAUGUCAAGAGUGUAGGAGAUAGAAUCAUGGCAAUCAAGAUUGUAAUAGGACAAGAACUUAUCAAUGUGAUUAAUGCGUACGCACCUCAAGUAGGGUUGGAUACGAGUUCGAAGGAGAAAUUUUGGGAAGAUCUUGGAGACUUGGUGCAAGGAAUUGCUCAGACGGAGAAGUUAUUUAUAGGAGGAGAUUUAAAUGGACACGUGGGCAGGGAGACAGGCAACUAUGGAGGUUUUCAUGGUGGCCAUGGUUUUGGGGAGAGAAACGAGGAUGGGGAAGCUAUCUUGGAUUUUACAAUGGCAUAUGAUCUCUUCUUAGCCAACACCUUCUUUAAGAAGAGAGAAGAACAUGUGAUCACCUACAAGAGUGGGUCGUCAAAAACACAAAUAGAUUUUCUUCUAAUGAGGAAAGGGGAUCGUAUAACUUGUAAGGAUUGCAAAGUUAUACCAGGAGAGAGCGUGGCUAAUCAACAUCGCUUGUUGGUGAUGGAUGUACAUAUCAAAAGAGUAAGACAAAAGAACAAGACUUGGAAGUGCCCAAGGACUAGAUGGUGGAAUCUAAAAGAAGAAAAACAAGUCAUUUUCAAAGAGAAGGUAAUCACCCAAUGUGUGUGGGAUAGAGAGGGGGAAGCUAGCCAAAUGUGGGAUUUCAUGGCUAGUUGUAUCCGAAAAGUAGCAAAAGAGGUAUUAGGAGAGUCUAAGGGCUUUGCCCCACACUAAAAGGAAUCUUGGUGGUGGAAUGAGGAGGUACAAACAAAGGUGAAGGCUAAGAAGGAAUGUUGUAAAGCCUUAUACAAGGAGAGGACCGAUGAAAAUGGUGAAAGGUAUAGAAAAAAAGCGAAGCAAGAGGCGAAGAAAGCUGUCAGAGAAGCUAAGUUAGCGGCUUACGACGAUAUGUAUAAACGACUAGAUACCAAAGAAGGAGAGUUGGAUAUCUAUAAACUAUCUAGAGCAAAGGAAAAGAAGACAAGGGACCUAAACCAAGUGAGGUGCAUCAAGGAUGAGGAUGGAAAGGUUCUUGCUACAGAGAACGCGGUUAAAGACAGAUGGAGAGGUUAUUUUCAUAAUCUUUUCAAUGAAGGACAUGAAAUGAGUGCUUCUUUAGGGGAGUUGAGUAACUCAGAAGAGUGUAGAAACUACUCUUUUUAUCGUCGAAUCCGGAAGGAAGAAGUGGUUGUAGCUUUGAAGAAGAUGAAGCAUAAAAAAGCAAUAGGCCCAGACAAUAUACCAAUCGAAGUGUGGAAACUUUUGGGAGAGACAGGUAUAACAUGGCUCACUGACCUUUUCAAUAGGAUUUUGAAAACGAAAAAGAUGCCAAAUGAGUGGCGAACGAGCACUUUGGUGCCUAUCUACAAGAAUAAGGGCGACGUACAAAAUUGCAUGAACUAUAGGGGUAUUAAGCUAAUGAGUCAUACAAUGAAGCUCUGGGAGAGAGUCAUUGAGCAUAGAUUGAGGCAAGAGACACGGGUUUCGGACAACCAAUUCGGGUUCAUGCCAGGGCGCUCAACCAUGGAGGCAAUCUAUCUCUUACGAAGAUUGAUGGAAAGAUAUAGAGAUGGGAAAAAUGAUUUACACAUGGUCUUUAUAGAUUUGGAAAAAGCGUAUGAUAGGGUCCCAAGAGACAUUCUUUGGAGGAUUUUAAAGAAGAAAGGAGUACGAGUAGCAUAUAUCCAAGCUAUAAAGGACAUGUAUGAAGAAGCAAAGACUGCCGUAAGAACUCAUGAAGGACAAACCGAAAGCUUUCCCAUAACUGUAGGAUUACAUCAAGGCUCAUCCUUAAGUCCUUACCUUUUUGCGUUGGUAAUGGAUGAGUUAACAGGACAUAUUCAAGAUGAUAUUCCUUGGUGUAUGCUUUUCGCAGACGAUAUAGUGUUGAUAGAUGAAACUCAGGAAGGGGUAAAUGCAAAGCUUAACCUUUGGAGAGAAGUGUUGGAAUCUAAAGGUCUUCGCCUAAGCCGAUCAAAGACAGAAUAUAUGGAGUGCAAGUUCAGUGCAAAUGGAGGCCAAAACGAGUUAGGGGUGAGGAUCGGAGAUCAAGAAAUACCAAAGAGUGACCGUUUUCGUUACCUAGGAUCUAUCUUGCAAAAGAACGGAGAAUUAGAUGGAGAUCUCAACCAUAGAAUACAAGCUGGAUGGAUGAAGUGGAAGAGUGCAUCUGACGUGUUGUGUGACCGUCGUAUGCCACUGAAGCUCAAAGGAAAAUUUUAUAGGACGGCAAUAAGGUCGGCGAUGAUUCAACUUGGCGGGUUCGAGCAAAUAGGCGUUGGGCCAUAUUAGACACAGAACCUGCACACUGAACACUGAGAGCUAGCGAAUCCUUAACAGCUAACUCAUCAGACCGUUUGGAAAGUAGUCUGUUAUCUUUGGGAGUGAGAAGGUUCCUGGCCACCACCGCAGCGGUCAUAUCAUUCUUCAUCACGGAAUCCCCAACGGUAAGAGGACCAGUAGGGGAGACAAAGGAUGGGCGCCAUAUGUUGUCUGGAGAAGGCGGGGCUGCCUCUUCAACAAGGUUCAAGUCAAAAAACGACGGUCGGAGGGCCAGACAUUUUCAAAGGUGUUGAAGAGAGAAGAGGUCGGACACAAAUCAAGAUCUUAGAAGUGCAAGAAUGAAGCUUCUACUGGUGGAGAUUCAAGUGUGCUUUGGAACUUAAUGCCAGCCCCUAUAAAAAUCUGCACUCGACGGAGCUUCAGAAAUCGAAGAGGCGUUUGCUUUCUCAAAAGCUGGGCUGCUUAGAGAUCACGAGGGUUGAUCUCAGGAAUCGAAGAGGCGUUUGCUUUCUCAAAAGUUGGGCUGCUCAAAGACCACGAAGGCCGAUCUCAGAAAUCGAAGAGGCGCUCACUUUCUCAAAAACUGGGCUCCCCAGAGACCACGAGGGCCGAUCUCAAAAAUCGAAGAGGCACCUACUUUUCCAGCCUUGUCAGCACCUGUCACACGCACACUCAGCUUUGCGGAAAUUAUGGGCAUUCUGUCGAAGACUUCUGGGGAAGUAGAAAACACAUGAAUCUUACUGUUCAAUCACCCACUUCCCACACGCAAUAAUAGCUCAUGGGUACCACAGAUAACUUUGCCAAAGUUCUCUGCCAAAGUUGAGCACGUGAAGCUUGCAGCUCCCACUACAUCGCUCUGACCAAGAAGGGUAAAAAGAAUAGCAAAGAAACAGCACUAACAAAGUUUAGACCCAUAAAUUUUGAAGGUCUAGCUACCAUAUUAUUACCCACAAGGGUAAAGGAACAGUACCACUGCUGGAUAAUUGGAAAGUCCCUAUGUGUCAACCUCUGUGCUUCGUGGCAAGGUAGACUAGCAAACAUGCCCAACCUUUACUCACAUUCGAGAAAACACUCCCAAUAAGAUUGCUUGCUCCAAAAUCGAAGAGGCACCGUCCUCCGAAUCUCGAGAGCCAGACUCCCAACAUGACUACUUUCUUAAAAAUCGAAGAGAGGGUAAAGGAACAGUACCAUUGCUGGAUAAUUGGAAAGUCCAUGUGUGUCAACCUCUGUGCUUCGUGGCAAGGUAGACUAGCAAACAUGCCCAACCUUUACUCACAUUCGAGAAAACACUCCCAACAAGAUUGCUUGCUCCAAAAUCGAAGAGGCACCGCCCUCCGAAUCUCGAGAGCCAGACUCCCAACAUGAUUACUUUCUCAAAAAUCGAAAGAGACACUGCUCCCCGAAUCUUCGAGAGCCAGACCCCCAGCAUGAUUGCUUUCUCAAAAAUCGAUGAGGCAUCGUUCUCCGAAUCAAUCGAAGAGGCGCUCGCUUUCUCAAAAGCUGGGCUGCUCAGAGACCACGAGGGCCGAUCUCAGAAAUCGAAGAGGCACUUACUUUUCUAGCCUUGUCAGCACCUGUCACACGCACACUCAGCUUUGCAGAAAUUAUGGGCAUUCUGUCGAAGACUUCUGGUGAAGUAGAAAGCACAUUAAUCCUACUGUUCAAUCACCCACUUCCCACACGCAACAAUAGCUCAUGGGUACCACAGAUAACUUUGCCAAAGUUCUCUGCCAAAGUUGAGCACGUGAAGCUUGCAGCUCCCACUACAUCGCUCUGACCAAGAAAGGUAAAAGAAUAGCAAAGAAACAGCACUAACAAAGUUUAGACACAUAAAUUUUGAAGGUCUAGCUACCAUAUUAUUACCCACAAGGGUAAAGGAACAGUACCACUGCUGGAUAAUUGGAAAGUCCCUGUGUGUCAACCUAUGUGCUUCGUGGCAAGGUAGACUAGCAAACAUGCCCAACCUUUACUCACAUUCGAGAAAACACUCCCAACAAGAUUGCUUGCUCCAAAAUCGAAGAGGCACUGUCCUCCGAAUCUCGAGAGCCAGACUCCCAACAUGACUACUUUCUCAAAAGCGAAGAGAGGGUAAAGGAACAGUACCAUUGCUGGAUAAUUGGAAAGUCCCUGUGUGUCAACCUUUGUGCUUCAUGGCAAGGUAGACUAGCAAACAUGCCCAACCUUUACUCACAUUCGAGACAACACUCCCAACAGGAUUGCUUGCUCCAAAAUCAAGAGGCACCGCCCUCCGAAUCUCGAGAGCCAAACUCCCAACAUGAUUACUUCCUCAAAAAUCGAAGAGACACUGCUCUCCGAAUCUCGAGAGCCAGACCCCCAGCAUGAUUGCUUUCUCAAAAAUCGAAAAGGCAUCGUUCUCCGAAUCUCGAGAGCCAGAUACCACAGACCACUUUUUCAAAGUGCUCUGACAGAGUUAAAACAUGUGAAACUGGCAGCUCCCACUACCGUGCUAUGACCAAGCAGGGUAAAGGAAUAGCAUUACUACUUGUUGUUAGGGAGACUCCUAUAUAUGUCGACCUCCAUCCCCAACGGACAGGCAGACCUGCAAAAAUGCUCAACCCUUCAUCAUAUCUGAGUGGGCACUCCCAACGAAGCCUUUCGAAAUAUUCAGCUUUCUUUCCCCCCGAUAAUACCUCUGCAAACAAGCUAUACUAGAGCAAGAAUAUCUCAUAUCAUCAGGGUUAAAAGCAAGAGUAUCCCAUAUCAUGCUUUUUCCCUGUCUUUUCCUUUGGCCUUGUUUUUACCUGCAAGACAAGGAGAAAGAGAGCAAUCAGUCAGCACUUGGAAUCAAGCUUCCAACCAGGAAAUGACUGCCUGGAACCCCUUACUUGGCAUUGCUCUCGAGUACUCAUCUUCAACAUCUUAUGUUUCCAGGGAAGAUUCUGCAUCUGCUUGAGGAACAGAUAGGGCAAGUGCGAAGGAUACAAGGAAGCAUGCGGAGACAAGCGUAACAGCACACGUGCCGAUACAUCCAUUACUCUGUCAAAAGCAAAAGUAUCCCAUAUCAGCAGGGUGGAACGUACUCUAGAUUUGAUGGACUUGUUUUGACCCUCAAAUUCUUCAGUCGGCCUUAUAUUCUGGAGGAAACCAGAAAACCCUCCAGCUCAGUUCAAGAAUAAGCCUGUGGAAAGUUACUUCUUCAAAAGCAAAAGUAUCUCAUAUCAUCUCUUCUCAUUUUUCUUCUCUCUUUAUCCUUCAUGCUGCUGCAAGAUGGGGAGAAGGUGAACAAUCAGUCGGAGCUCUGAUUGCUUACCUUGUCUGUCACCUCUUUCAGCAGACCCCCUAGCUCGGCGACUUGGGGGACUCCUACUAAAUGGUUUGUAUCGCGCUUGACCAAGCCUGAAACUACAAGUAAGCUUCAAGUGAAAUUGAUACAUUACCUUGUGCAUCUCCACCAGUUAAAGAUACCACCCCUGGAUGGAGGAAGAGUACUUCCAGAGAAGAUGCCACAUCUACCUAUGAGACAGAUAAGGCAAGUCAAGACGACACCACACUCCGAUACUUAGAAGUUUCGUGAUUAUGAGAUCAUUCUCCCACAAUAUUUCCUAAUGUCAUUUGUACUAAAUCAUUCACUUGUACUCACUAAAGGAGAGCUUGAACCUAUGUACUUGUGUAAACCCUUCACAAUUAAUGAGAACUCUUCUAUUCCGUGGACGUAGCCAAUCUGGGUGAACCACGUACAUCUUGUGUUUGCUUUCCUAUCUCUAUCCAUUUAUAUACUUAUCCACACUAAUGACCGGAGCAAUCUAGCGAAGAUCACAAAAAGCGACCGUUUUCGCUACCUAGGAUCUAUCUUGCAAGAGAACGGAGAAUUAGAUGGAGAUCUCAACCAUAGAAUACGAGCUGGAUGGAUGAAGUGUAAGAGUGCAUCCGGCGUGUUGUGUGACUAUCGUAGGCCACUGAAGCUCAAAGGAAAAUUUUAUAGGACGGCAAUAAGGCCAGCGAUGUUGUAUGGCACAGAAUGUUGGGCGGUGAAGCAUCAACACGUACACAAAAUGGGUGUAGCGGAGAUGAGGAUGCUUCGUGGGAUGUGUGGGCACACGAGAAAGGAUAAGAUUGGGAAUGAGGAUAUCCGAGGUAAAGUAGGAGUAGCCGAAAUUGUAGGAAAGAUGAGAGAAAAUCGGCUCCGGUGAUUUGGACAUGUGCAAAGAAGGCCGACUGACGCUCCGAUUCGAAGAUGUGACUACGGGACAGAGGUUCAGGGCCGAAGGGGUAGAGGAAGACCUAGGAAAACUUUGGAAGAGACUCUAAGAAAAGACUUAGAGUACUUGGAUCUAACGGAGGACAUGACACAAAACCGAGCGCAAUGGCGUUCUAGGAUUCAUAUAGCCGACCCCACUUAGUGGGAAAAGGCUUUGUUGUUGUUGUUGUUGUUGUAUUUUUUCCCUUUUCAAAAUCGAAAUGUUCUAAAUUAUUUCACUAAUCCUUGCUAGUUUGAACUGCAGGAGUCUGUCUCUGGAUUUGAAAGAUUAUCUGGACUUACAGUUUUGAAGAAUUGGGAUUCUAGUGUUACACAUAUUAUUGCAUCGACAGAUGAAAAUGAAGCAUGCAGAAGAACCCUUAAAAUUUUGAUGGGUAUCUUGGAGGGGAAGUGGAUUCUGAGUGUGGAGUGAGUUUUACUGUUUUCGUUUUAAUUGUUCUUCCUCAAGUGCUUGGACUUUACAAUUGUAAUGAGUACAGAAGCCGAAAUGAGAUAUUGAUAUACAUGUUCACAUUGCUGAUAAUUCGUUAUCCGUCUGUUUGUGUAGGAAUUAAUGCUUGCACAUAAGUAAUGAAACUAGUUAAUGAGGAGCCUUAUGAAAUCAACGUUGACAUUUAUGGAAUCAGGGAUGGUCCUCGACUUGGUAGACUAAGGCUGCAGAACAAGGUUAGCUUUUCCUCGAGUUUAACUAUCAUCACGAAAACUUUAGAUUUUCAUGGAUUCACCAUAGGCAUUGUUAAUCUUGUUCAGUCCAUAAAUAGGUUACACACUUAUCUUAACAAAGGUGAGACCUUCUCAAUUCCUCAUCGAGAUGAAUCAAGAGCAUAAUUGUAGCAGUGAUCAAGAGCAAUUUUUUUAUGUUUCUUCCAAAUUGUUGAGAUGAAUCAUCUGUGUUUUGUUCUAAUAAUCUUACAAAUUUGUUGAGCAAUUUUUGUAAAGUCAGAAUCUUUGGUUUCGGUUGUGAGGUAUCUGAUUUGGGUAUAUGUGUUUUGCAGGGCACGGUGGUUGUGGCGGAGGAAGAUUAGGAUUGACGACAGAGCUCUGGCCAUGAACUAUCAGCUCUGUCUUUCUCUCUCUAACUAUGAAUUGAAUACAAAAGUCUGUGUUGAUAUGGAAAAUGUAGCUCAAAAUUAUUACACAAAUGGCAAAAAAAAAAAGUUCGAGUGUGGAGUUUCACUUACUGAUACAGGGCUUUUGAAACAGGGUUGUCUAGACUGUAGAAGAAAUCCAUGGCUUUUGGAAGAGGGGAUGUUCCAAAUCUAUCUUUUCUCCCUCUCUAAUGUUCUUCGAGGGGUUCUUGUGAUGCAAAAAGUGGUUUAUAUAUAUUUUUUAUUAUUAAUAAAUUUUCUGUCGGUUUUAUCAGACAAUAAUUCUUUUAUUUAUUCUUAUUAAUAAUUUCUCUGUCGGUUAUAUCUGACACAAUUUCUGUCGAUUUUAGAGUAUUUUCUAUCGAAAAUUUCAUUUCCUGACGCAUCAAUUAUGUCGCUUAUUAUAUCCGCCACUGCACUCAUUUCAUGUCGGAUUUUGCUUAAUUUCCAACAGUAUUAUACAUUUCUUGUCGGUUUUUAAACCGACACUAAUGGGUACUUUUGUAGUAAUGUUGGGGCGUCGGAGUUCGUUUAAGGUCGAAUUGAGCACACCCAAAUUCAAGGGUUCCGUACGGUUCAUGGUAAUUUGAGGUAUUUCUCAGCCAAAUUGUCCUUAGUCACAGAUAUGAAAGUUGCUCCACUCGUUGAGAUCUUCAUUUAUGUCAAAUUUGAGAAUUUUUAGAAAUAAUUGGAUUUUCCAGCGAAUCGGGGCGGCGGACCACCACCGGACAGCGCAUGGCUAGUGGGCCCCCAAUGUCAUUUUACGUUAAAUUGGUAUCUUGAUUUUAGGUUUGAUGUCUAUAUGUUAUGACUUGAUAUGUGAACCUAGUUUAAUUAAGGUGCGUUAAUUGGUAAAAAUAUGAAACGACGAUCCGACCGUGGGAUCGUCACCAAUCUUUAUUAUGUUAUAGUACAUUAUAUUUGAGAAUCAUAGGGACUGACGGAUAGGAAAUCCGAUAUACGGAUCUUCCUGAAAUGGAAUUGUAAGUUCGAAGAAUAAACGUUAACCGCCACUUUGUUUUGACUAUUGGUGAAGAUCCAACCGUUGGAUCAUAAUGAAAUUUUAGGAUGAUGUUUUAGAAGCAUAAUGUGGAUCUUUGGAAGUUAUUGAUUGGAAAUCCGAGGAGCGAAUCUUCCGGAUUGAAUUACGUAAGGUUGUGGACCCUACCGUCGAUCGUUGACUGACGAUCGACUUUUGGUCAAUGGGGCUUAAAUCACUCUAAAAUGUUUUUAGGGAUGUGUUUUACGUAAAUUACAUUAUCUAUGGAUAAGAAUUCUGAGAUGUGGUUUGAUAAUUGUCCUGGGCGCCGAUCGUUAGGAACGCUUCGAUGGUUGUGCUAGGAAAUUGUAGCAUAGACUCCAGGUGAGUGAAUCUUUUCCUUCUUAUAUAUAUAUAUAUAUAUAUAUGAUUGACAAUUCCACAAACGUUUAUAAAUUGAUUAUUGCAUAUAACUACUGUAAAUACUUUGAAGUACUUAUGCGAACUACGAAUGGCUUGAUCCCUAUUUAGGGUACGUAUGCAGUCUAACAAGACAUUAAAUGCAGUCAUACAAUAAUUGAGAUUAAACAAUUGAGACAAAGCCUUGUAUGGGGAACUGGGCAAGGUGAACGAAUUUGGUAAAAAUGUGAGAUUUAACCUUCUGAAUUGGUGAUUAAAUGUUGGUCAUAAAUCAAUGUGUAAAGAAUCAAGAAUUUGAAGUAAGGAAACGUAAGUAAUGAUAAUUAAUUAAACUAGUGUCUAGUUGGGCUUGUCACCUAUAAUUAUCCCCAAAAAUGAAUAAUUCGGGAGUAGGGCGUUAUAGCUUCUGCAUUUUUAUGCCACAUUAUAUAUAUAUAUAUAUGUGUGUGUGUGUGUGUGUGUGUGUGUGUGUGUAUAAUUGGAAAUGCUAUAACGUGGUUGAGUAUCAGAUUUCAUCAUGGUUUAUCUAUAUGUAUAUUACCUGCACACAAUUAUUAUGAACACUUUGAAGUGCAAAGGUGAACGCAAGACACCCAGGAAAGUUCAGGUGAGUUUAUGGUAUUAGUUGAAAUGAUGGGGUUAUGGUAACUACAUGUAUGUUUAGGUUGCAAUGAUAGGCAACUCCGACACUGUCGUACAAGUUGCCCAUGAAUUGUAUAUGUUACAAUAGAUAGAGUUAGAGGUCAUAAACCUGCACCCCGGUGUUAGUGCUCCCACCCGUGGCUAGGGCACAGUCUUUCACGAGAUGUUCACCUCUCGCAUCUUACGCUCACCUUGGAUCCAAGGUAGGUGCACAGUCAUGUCAUAAAGACCACUAUAGGUGGUUCCGACUAGUAGAUGACCCGUGAUUAUUCGCACAGUCUUCACGUGAUUGUAGCACUUGAGCGUAUUUAUUUACACCCAGUCCUGUCGUACAGACCACUUUAGGUGGUUCCGACUCGUAUGCAGGUAUACUUAUUGAGCUAUGGAUAAGUCGUACAGGUCACUAAAGGUGACUCCAACUUAUGAGCUAGCAUAUGUGAUGAAAUAUGUGAUGAGCUAGCAUAUGUAAUGAGAUAAGUGAUGAGCUAGCAUAUGUGAUGAGAUAUGUGAUGAGUUAGCAUACGUUAUGAGAUAUGUGAUGAGUGAUAUAAUCAUAAUUGCAUACAUUUUCAUGCCCUUUUAGUUUAGAUUUUUGUUAUCCUUUUGAGUGAAUUUAGUUUGUUUCACUUAGUUUUAUGUUUUUCUUAGAUUUGAAGUGUGAAGAUGAAGAAAGAAGAAAAAAGAGCAUUUUUAGCGAUUGAAAUGAGUUUGGCAUGCUGGAAGCAGAGGCUAUUUGUGCGGAUCAGCCAACUUUACGGAUUAAACUGUACUUCCUUAGAAUGCCAGCUGUUGAGUCUUAUACCAUUGGAAAGAUAUGAAAGUUAGCUUUCAGAGGAAUUUUACGAUUCGUGAUUCCGAGUUUCCUAGAAGACGUUAUAGUGGUUUUUCUACCAGAUGUCUGCCAGCAAGGUUUUACGCGGGAUUUGCAAAGAGAUUCCAGAUUUACAAAGUUUAAUUAAAGGAAACAAGCAGAGAAAAAAGAAGAGGAAGCUUUUAGAAAAGUUCAGGACUAUUCUAAACGGUGCAUAGUUAAUAUAUUUAAUAGUUUAGUGUGCCACAUCAUCAAUAAACUAAUCUAAGUCAGAAGAGAAAUUCAAGAGUCCCAUUCAAGUAAGUAUUCCAGCAGUUUUAUUCAGGAAUAAAGGAGGGCAGACCGUCGGACUUUAGGAGCGGACAGAGAGAGUUUUUGGGUUUUCGAAGGUGCAGAGAAGAGGUCGCAGCAAGGAGUGAAACAGAGUCGCCGAUCAUCUGGGCAAUCCAUCACCAUCGUGUGGAAGUAUUUUAUGUUUUUCAGAUUUUUAAUUAUGUUUUCAGAUUUUAUGAGUAACUAAACUCUUUUUCUAAGGUUAGGAUGAUGCCCUAGCAUGGAUGUUUAUGGUUUGUAAUGUUAUUCAUUGGAUUUCCAGUUUCUUUUAGAUGAAUGCUUAAUCACUGUUUGAAUUGUUACUGUUUGUUUGAGUUCUUUGAUUGAUCACCUUAGGACUUUGCAUCUAGUAAGAUUGGAAGAUGAAUUUGAGACUGAACUAACAAUAUAAUUCAAUUAGCUUCUUGUGGUUAAGUGUGGUAAAUUACAUUAUUGCUUGAAAAAGAAUAAUGGUUUGUUUGGGUCCCUUGUUUUCUAGAGGGUAAAGAGUCCUACUUGUUAAAUUUAUGCCUUAACUAGGAUAGACUGCUUGUUAGGAUAUACGACCUCUGCCUAAACUAGGAGAGAAUCAUUCACAUAAGGAAAACUAUGGUCUAAUAUGCCUGACAAGGACUUAGAUACGGGAAUUAUCAUCUAAAGAAUUGAAAGAUCCAUUGAAUGCAUUGAAACCUAAACUAGAUUGCUUGUGGUUGAUUCCGAAUCCCUAGAUUUUCAUCACUUGCCUUAAAACACAACCGUUUCUUUUCUUUAAUUUCAGUUUUUACUUAAGGUUCUGUUUUUGUUCAUUUAUAAAAUCAUCACAACAAAUUUUUUACAUCUUUGAUUGACUUAUUAAUUAAGAUCGAGUCUAGUUCGUUGUUUGGGUUUGUGUGUCUUUAAUAUAAUUAGAUUUGGUUUAGUUUAUCAAAUUGGAGAUUGAAUUAGAAUCCUCGUGGGAACGAUACUUGGACUUGCAAAACGUUAUAUUACGACUAUCUUGUGCACUUGUAAGUUUACACCAAGUUUUUGGCGCCGUUGCCGGGGACUCUAAUUGAGUCCCCCAAUUUGAUAUCAUAUUCCAUAUCUAAUAAGUAGUUUAUUGUAGAUUAUUCAAUUUGAUUUUGUUUUGUUCUCUAGUUUCGAGUAAGAGUCAUAACUAUUAAGAUAAGUAAAAGUAAUUUUCGUCACUGUUUUAUUUCAGUUUUGUAUCACUGUUUCGACACAGUUUUGGACUAAACUAUUCGAUUUUUUACCAGGAAUAUUGUGUAUCGUUGGAAAGCCCCAGAAGUCUAGUUUUCAACCCAAAAAACAGAUCAAUGAUUGGAUUUUUGAGCUGCAAGAAAUGUACAAAAUACUGAGCAGUGGUCAAACAAGGAGCACAGUCUGGUCGUAUAUGCAAGGUAGACGUUCGUUGCAAUUUGAGUUGAUUCAUAUAGACCAAGAACUUGUGCGUACUUUAAGAGAACAGUGGAGGCAGCGAGUGUGUCAAGAACCAGCCAUGGAGGAAGUAGUUAAUAAUGGUGGAAAUAAUCCUCCACCAUUGCUACCACCACAACCAAGGCUCAUGCGUGAUUAUACAAAGCCAACGGAGUACAACGCACCGUCAUGCAUUGUUUUGGCUCCAAUUGCGCAGCGAUUUGAGAUUCGUCCACAAAUCUUUCAGUUGCUGCCUAUAUUUCUUGGGAAGGAGGAAGAAAAUCCAUACCAUCAUAUCAAGGCGUUUUUCAAGCUAUGUUCCACAUUCACAUUCACCAAUGUUACUGAAGAGCAAAUUCGACUUCGGUUAUUCCCAUUCUCUUUGAGGGAUAAAGCAAGCAGUUGGUUGGAUUCUCUUCCCGAAGCAUCUAUCGACACAUGGACAAAAUUAUCGAAGAAGUUUUUGUCCAAGUUCUUCCCCGCUCGAAGAACCAAUGCUCUGAUCAAUGAAAUCAUGAGCUUUCGACAACAAGAAGGUGAACAGUUUCAUGAAAGUUGGGAGCGCUAUAAGGACUUGUUUCUUCAAUGUCCUCAUCAUGGUUUCAACACUUGGCAAAAGGUUCAUUAUUUUUACAAAGGUUUGAACUCUCAAUGUAGGAGUUUGGUUGAUUCAACGGUUGGUGGAACCUUGAUAGACAAAACUCCAGAAGAUGCCAUACAUGCCUUUGAAACUAUAUGUGAAAAUUCUGAGCAUUGGGAUUUUCCUACAAAAGAUUUGAGAGUUCCAACUGCAUCGUCAACAAAAAAAGGAGGCAUUUAUGAAGUUAAUACAAGGACGGGCUUAGAGGCACAAGUGGCAGCCCUCACCAAGCUUCUCACACCACUUGUAAGCAAGAUAGCCACGCAGCCAUGUACUUUAUGUGCGAGCAUCGCCCAUGACAUGGAAAAUUGUCCAACAAAUGCUAAUCUAGAAGGCAUCCAAGAGGUCAAUGCAUUUAGUGGGAGGCCCCGGAAUGAUCCAUAUUCUAAUAAUUAUAACCCGGGAUGGAGAGAACAUCCAAAUUUUUCUUAGAGAGAUUCACAAAAUAGCAUGGGAUCAUUCACUUCAACAAAGCAAUAUCAGCAACCUUAUCAAGCUCCUCCAAUUCAACAAAAAGACUCGUCUAUCAAGGAUAUGUUAUCUCAACUCUUAAAGAAAACUGAUCGGUAUGAACAUGAAGUUGUGUCGCUUAGACAAAGUCAGACGGUGUUGGAAAAGGCUCGAUCUAAUUUUGAGACUCAGUUGGGACAGAUAGCUACUACUUUGAACAAGCUGGAGUGAGCACAAGGGCAAUUUCCAAGCCAAACUGAAACAAAUCCUAGGAAUCAAAAGCAUGUUCAAGCUGUCACCACUUUGAGGAGUGGAAAGACGAUUGGUAAUAAUGUGGAAAGUUCAAAAAUUAAUAAGGAAGAAGAUGAAGGGGUCAGCACAUAUCGGGCAGCAGCUUGACAAGACAAGCUAAAAAAGAGAAGUAUAUGGGAGAUAUUUUAGAGCAAUUUAGAAAGGUGCAGAUUAAUAUUCCUUUUCUCGAUGCCAUCAAACAAAUUCAAUCAUAUGCGAAGUUUUUGAAGGAACUUUGUACUAACAAGAGACGGUAUGAAGAACAUGAGGAGGUGAAGUUAUCAGACACGGUUAGUGCGGUUCUUCAAAGAAAAUUGCCACCAAAACUUCAAGAUCCUGGUAGCUUUACAGUCCCAUGUGUCAUUGGAGAAAGAAAAUUCGAAAAAGCUUUGCUUGACUUGGGAGCCAGUGUGAAUUUGAUGCCCUAUUCUGCUUAUAAACACCUCAAAUUAGGCGAACUAAAGCACAUAUCCAUUUCUCUACAAUGCACUGAUCGUUCUGUGAAAUAUCCAAGAGGGAUUGUUGAAAAUGUACUUGUGUGUGUUGAUCAAUUUAUUCUUCCUGCUGACUUCAUCAUUUUGGACAUGGAAGAAGCCGAAAUUCCUGGUCGUGACUUGCCUCUCAUUCUUGGCAGACCUUUCAUGGCUACUGCAGGUACGAAGAUUGAUGUUAAAUCGGGAUUAUUAACUAUGACUGUGCAAGGUAUUACUGUAGAAUUUCAGGUCUUCGAAGCAUUGAAGAAGCCCAUGGAUCUUUAUGACUGCUUUCGUGUUGAGGUAGUGGAUCCAAUUAUAAAAAAAAACAUUCAUUGAAUCAAGCAUCUCAGAUCCUCUGGAAGUUUGUAUCUCUCAACAUGGGAUGAGUUUUGAAAAGGCUACCAUCAUUGAAGCAGAACGAGAUCUCAAUGCCGUAACGUCCUACUCUCUUAGAUGCCAGCCCAAAUUUGAAGCGUUGCCACUCACAAGCCAAAAUUGUACCAUCCAUUAUACAACCUCCAAAGCUUGAAUUGAAGCCUCUUCCAGAGACUUUAAAGUAUGCAUAUUUGGUGAUUCAGAGACUCUUCCUGUGAUUAUAGCUGCUGAUCUUAACCAAACAGAAGAGGAAAAGUUGAUGCAAAUGUUGAGGGAGCAUAAAACAGCAUUGGGAUGGAGUAUUGCAGACAUAAAAGGAAUUAGUCCUCAAUUUGCAUGCAUCGGAUAUAUCUUGAGGACAAGUCAAAGCCUUCUAGAGAGGCACAGCGACGUCUAAAUCCACAUAUGCAAGAAGUGGUUCGGGCAGAAGUUCUUAAAUUACUGAAUGUCGGCAUUAUUUAUCCUAUAUCUAACAGCAAAUGGGUAAGUCCACUGCAGGUUGUACCACAGAGAUCUGGAAUUACAGUUGUCAAGAAUGAAAAUAAUGAGCUUAUACCCCAGAGGACUGUCACGGGUUGGAGAAUGUGUACAGAUUACAGAAAGAUCAAUAAUUCAACUCGAAAAUAUCAUUUUCCACUCCCUUUCCUUGAUCUCAUGCUUGAGAGACUUGCAGGCCAUAGUUAUUAUUGUUUUCUUGAUGGCUAUUCCAGAUAUAAUCAAAUUCCCAUAGCUCCGGAAGAUCAAGAAAAGACUACUUUCACAUGUCCAUUUGGAACUUUUGCCUAUCGACGAAUGCCUUUUGGGUUAUGUAAUGCUCCCGCAACAUUCCAAAGAUGCAUGAUGAGCAUUUUCUCAAACUUGGUGGAAAGGUGUAUCGAAGUGUUCGUGGAUGAUUUUUCCGUGUUUGGGUCAUCGUUUGAUCAAUGUCUUCAUCAUCUUUCAUUGGUGCUCUAACGGUGUCAAGAAACCAACUUGAUUUUAAAUUGGGAAAAAUGUCAGUUUAUGGUGAAAAGUGGUAUUGUUCUUGGUCAUGUAAUUUUAGCUGACGGAAUUGAAGUUGAUAAAGCUAAGGUGGAGCUGAUUUCGAAGCUUCCUCCUCCCACUUCUGUAAAAGAAGUUCGAUCCUUUCUCGAGCAUCCAAGUUUUUAUCGCCGAUUUAUUAAAGAUUUCUCGAAAAUCACCAAGCCACUUUGUGAUCUGCUUGCUAAAGAUUCUGUGUUUAAUUUAAAUGGUGAGUGCUUACAAGCUUUUGAGACCCUCAAGAAAGAAUUAACACAAGCCCCAAUCAUAAAAGCUCCAGAGUGGUCUCUUCCUUUUGAAAUCAUGUGUGACGCCUCUGAGUAUGCAAUAGGUGUUGUGUUAGGGCAGCGAGUUAACAAACUUCCUCAUGUUAUAUUUUAUGCUAGCCGAAUUCUCACUUAACAACUUUCAUAUCCCUUAGUUUCCAAAAUUUAAUAUACAAAUUUAGUCUCCCAAGCAUUGCUAUAUUACUUAAGUAUUGAUUAAUAGACUUAUUUCUUAUGGUGACACAUUAUUUAGUUUACAAAUUUAGUCUAUCUAACAUUACUCUUUUGACAUUGUCUUGUCCACUGAUAUAAUUCUAUUUUUCUUGUGAUCAAAACUUCAAAUGUUAGCAAGUCGCACGUAAAGUCGCUUCUGAGAGAAUGUGCUCACAUUGUAGUUGAAAGAUUAUGUGGCUAGCAACAUUACAAAUUUAAUUUGGUAUAAUUUUAAAAUAUAGAUUGAGGAAAAAAAGGAUCACAUUAACUAGAAACUGAAAAGGUUUCGGCGCAAUAUGUUCAAGCAAGAAACUCAAUUUUGAUGCUACCGAUCUUAACAGCCUGAGCGCCGUACCUGGGCACUAAAGUCACCACCACACUCUCAUCAUCUUCAGCACCCAAAUCCUCCAACAGGUCCGUUAACCCCAACCUUAAACAACUCUUGCUCUUUUCCUUCUGCUUAUGUGGCACACUCACAAAACUCCCAGCAAACUCGCUCUUGUCGGGUCCACUCGGUGCCGCAUCCUCAUCAUCCACGUCAUUCACAUACACAUCAAACUUCACAGCCACAUCUUUGUCAAGCUCAAUCCCCCGAAUCACCAAUAUCUCCUCCUCAUCCUCUUUCUCCUUCUUGCUCCUCUUCUUCGGCUUCGGCCUUGACACCACCGUAGUUAUCUUCGUCUCCAAAUUUAUUGGAAAAUCUUUACCCGCCACCACCUUCCCCGAUGACGUCGUCUCAGCGGCCUUCGCCACUCCAGCCGCCUUUGCCUUUCUCGCAAGCUUUGUCCGACGUGGCGUCGGUCUAGAGUUGAGCCAUGGAAUCUCAACAUCUUCAUACGUAUACCCUAGCUUUUUAUUAUCAAGAGUGUCCCUCACCGUGACCCUAACAAGCUCAGCAUUCUCGUCAUAAAACAAAAACCCCGUAUCCAACCAAUCCUUAUCGUUAAUAUCUUUAUUUUUAGUCCCUAUACUUUUCCAAAUAUUCCACAUUCGAUCCAGAUUCAAAUGGUGCGCAAAAAAUAUCGGAUCCCUUGCAGUGGAGUAAAAAUUCCCCAUGUCUUCAUAAUUAGGUUGCGUGUUAUCUCCGGUCCAUGUAUGAACCGGACCAUGUGGGGUCUGUUCGAUUGCACCGGCCCCUGGAUCUGGUUCAGUGCCAGCCCUGUAGGGCGAACCAAAGAACAACAGCGGUUUCUUGGAGUUGGAAACCAUCUGCCUAUACAUGAUUUUGAGGUUGGCUUCGAUUUGAGCAUCCUUGGACAUUGUUUCAUCCGUGCCGUUGAAGUCAAGAUCGAUGAGAGUUGGCGGCUGAUGGCUGGCAGCGCGGAGCUCGUCGUAAAGCGGAGAGUCAGGGUUAGCGUACAAGGCAGGGAGUUGCAUGCCAGCUGGCGCGUCCCAGUUCCAAAACGGCAACGCGAAGGUCGGAUCGUCUAUGAGUUUGGCCAAGAUUCUUUCGUGGAAAUAUAGGUAGUAACGAUGGAAGGGGAAGAAAAGCCAGGAUUGAUGGAUUUGGAGCUCGAGGUUGGGGAAGCCGACUUGGUCGUACGCACCGUUACAAUAGGCACAGUGGACAUCGGCUUGCUGGGUGAAGCUACGCGGAUCGUCGUCCGGGAGGGCUUUCAUGAGCUCGAUGGCUUUUGAGUAUUUUUCGAUGUAGGCUUUAUCCACGGCGUGAGCUGCCGGCCUGACGCGGAGUUUGGUAGGGGAGGGGAAUUUGAAGUCUACGAUUUUUUGGGACGUUGGCGGGCAACAGUUGGUCGGGACUGCUCCACUUGGAAAGUCCGCAGCUCCGCAUUUGGCUAGGUCAGGCGGCGACACUGGCUUUGCAACAGCGAAGGGGUCGCUGCCAAGACCAGCCACUCCACCGUACAGGCUUCCGAGACCUAUAAGUACAUGUCUUCUGUCUAGGUUUACUGGAGAAGGGUUUUCAUGGUCGUGAUCGUUGGAGCUAGUGGAAGGGUUUUUGUUUUGGUCACUACUAUUAUUUGUGGCUUUGCAUGAGACAGCUUGUAAAUUGGAAUGCCUAGGGUUUCCAAAUGAGGAUAUUCGGUGAUACUUUUGGGAGAAAGGAGAGAGAGAAGUUGUGGGGAUGAUACUUGUGGUGGGGGUGACGAGUGGAGCUGACAUAGAAGCCAUGGUUACUUGACUCUGAAUAAUACGUUGUAUGGGCUUUUGCUUUUAUAAUAUGUUCUAGGUUUACUUUUCUUUGCACAGGUGGCAGGCCGUGCACACGUUGUCGAGGAAUAGUACGUAGUCAUUUAGGAGAAAAAUCUAAUUGUGACGGAGGUGACGAGUGGAGCUGACAUAGAAGCCAUGGUUACUUGACUCUGAAUAAUACGUUGUAUUGGCCUUGCUUUUAUAAUAUGUUCUAG